rnacentral:lncRNA from 1 species
UUUUUUUUUUUUUUUUUUGUUGCAAAAUGUUAUUGAGUUACUAGGGUGACUCUACCAACUUUUGGGUGAUAUGUGGUCACUUUUGCACAGCCCAAUCAAGUUUGGACUUGUUUUUUUGGACCCAGCCCAAUGGACCUUCAACUUUGCCACUAACUCUAUUAGGUUUUACCAAAAUAAAAUCCGUUAUCAAAAUCAAUAUAAACGGCAAAUAUGAGUUAUCAUAUUUGCCAAAGUGUUAUCAAAUGCGGUUUAACCGUCAAAUUGCGUUUUGUCCGCUUUCUUAUAAAGUAUUAUCAAACGAUGGCAAACUGAUUUAAGCGGAUAAACCAUUUGCCAGGAACCGGCAAAUGUGUCUUUUGCCGCACUUUUGUCCGGUUUGUCUGAAUGCCUAACAAAGCGGGAAUUCGUUUUCAAACAGACCCUUAGAGGAGUGGGGAUGGUGGUGAGUAGGCCUGUAAAAAUGGCCCUUUGACCCUAAACCCGGCCCGGCCCGCCCGGCCCAUUCAAUGAAAAAAGCCCUUAAAUCUUGACCCUUAUGAUUUUUAGGGUAGGGUCGGCCCGACCCUCUCCUUUUAAGGGUCGGGUUAGGGUUUAGCUUUGGAAAUCUUAGACCCUACCCUUAGCCCGACCCUAAUUAACCCUCUCAAAGCCCUCUUACGGCCCUCAUAAAUAUAUGUAUAAUUUUUAAUAUAUUUUUCUAUAUAUCAAAAUUUGAAUAUUUUCUUAGAGUUUUAAUCGUAAAGAUUUUUCCAAUUAGACAUAGAUAUCACUUUUGUUUAAGUUAUAUUAUAUUUAUCAAAUGUUUCUCGAAUAUUUCCCGAACUAGUUGUUAAAAAACUAUUAUAUAACUAAAAGAAAUUGAUUCUCAAUAGAAUUAUUUUUUUAUUAACCAUCUAUUUCAUUAUUGAGCAUGCAAUAAACGGUAAUUAGAUUAUUAUUUUAAAUGUGUAUUUUAUACUUAUUAUGCUAGAAUUUUAUAAAUUUAGGAUUAAAUUUCUAAAGUUUGAAAUUUUAGUAAUAAGAUAACAUCUAACUACAAGUUCUUUGUAUUUAUUAAUUGUAAUGCUCUUGGAUAAAAUAAUAUCAUAUACUAUAACAAAUUUUAUGGUAAAAAAAAUAUAUUUGUACAUUUAAGAAUUGAAACAUAUUAUACGUAUUUUCAAAAAUAUUAAAAUGAUAUUAAUAAAAACAUGAUCACAUAUUUUUUUUCAAGUAAAACAUAAUUCUAUGUAUUGACCCUAUCAAUCGAGCCCGUUAGUCCGGCCCUCAACCCUUUAAAAUAAAGGGCUAAGGGUCGGGUGAGGUUUUCACAAUUUUUAUGUUGGCCCGCCCUAACCCGACCCUCUCAUCUUUUAGGGUAGGGUUGGCCCGACCCUUAAAGUGGGAGGGCUCGAGGGUUCAAGGGUCGGGCUAGCCCUACCCGGCCCAUUUUACAGGCCUAGUGGUGAGCAAAUAAUUUCUCUUGCCUCUAGCACAACCCCAAAACAAAAAAAAUUCUGGAUAUAGGAUCAUGGACCUACUAAAUUGUAGGUACAGUACUCACACUCUCACAUUCUCACCUACGUCCAGCCCAUUCGGAAGAAAUUAUUUAAAUGACAGUAAGAGCACUGUAUCAUUCACAACUUCUUACAUAUGGUCGUUUCACUUGGCGUUUGCUUUCUUUUUCUUUAAAGUAAACAACCCUAACGCGCAUUUUAGCAUAAAAAACCCUAUAUCCCCAAAUCAUUUCUUAGGUUUCUUUCUUUACAUCUGAAAAUGGUAAAUGAGUUCAUAUAUUUUACAAUUUUUGAUUUCUUCUCUUCAAUUUGUUUCGAUUCGUAACUCUUUUUGUUGGUUGUUCAACUUUGCAGGCCGAUUCACCUAUUGGAAGAAGGUAAAUUAACCCUAACUCUUUAUCUCUGAAGUUCUCUAAAUCGAUUUAAUUGAAUUUUAAGCUUUUAACCUACUUGUGAAAAGAAGUAAAACAGAUCUUGAUUAUGAUAUGAAUUCAAAAUUUUAAGGUUUUUUUUUUUUGAUUGUGUUUGAUUCAUGCUUUGAUGUGUUUCGAUCUGUGAAAAAAGAUUCUUGUUAAACUUAAAUCUAUCUGUUUCAGAUUUGGGGUUUUUGUUAUGUUUUUAUGUGUCUGGUUAUGAUCUGGUAAAUCAAGUGAAUACGAGAUUCUGUUUUUUCUUAUUUGAUAAUUUAAACCUAACAUUUGGUGGAAAACAAGCAAGAAAGGUGUAGGUUUCAUUUGAUUGAACAAUUAAAGUAGUCAACCUAUGCGUUAUUGUUUGUUGCUUUUGUUCCAGGUAACUAUUUGUAGAUACUCAAUACAAUUUUUUCGGCAUAUUUUGUUUUGAUCUUUGAGGUCGUAAUUCCAUUGUCUUUCAAAUUUGGAGCUCAGAUAUAAAGUAGAAGCCUAUCUGUUGGAGUUUGGAUGUUAGAAAUCUCAUACAAUCAUUAAAAAGUACAACUGCAAACAUCUAGGUUGUCUGUGGCACUACAACUUUACUGUAUAUAUUUUGGUCUAUGUCACCCGAUCUGUAACAAGGUUAGUACUGGUAAUACGUUCAUUUUACUGUGCUUGAGAGAGACCAUAGGAACAGCUAGUAAGGAACACAUUUCUCUUUGACAUCCCUACAUUUACAAAUUGUUUGAUACUGAAAAUAUGUUGUUGGCUGGUUGCAUACUAUUAAAUUAUUAGAACCUUUUAAAUCUUUAAUUUGUUGCGUAUAUCCUUAUAUCUGUAUUGGGUUUUCAGGACUUCACGAUCUCCAUCCCCUAGAGUACUUUCCCGAUCAAGAUCCAGAUCCAGAUCAAGGCCAAUGUCAAGAUCUAGAACACCACCGAGGUCCAGACCAAGGGAGCGGUCUCGAUCUAGGUCUAGAUCCAGGUCCAGAAGCCGUGGGAGGUUUGUCAGUUCCAUUGCUACUUUUUGAAGCAUGUUCUUUUAUAUUAAAAGAUGGUUUAAUCUUUGCAUUGGUAAUGCAGGCCGACAGAUGCUCUGAACCCCGGAAACACGCUCUAUGUGACUGGCCUAUCUACUAGGGUCACAGAAGAGGACCUUGAACAUCACUUCUCCAAGGAGGGAAAGGUUAGCUUUUGACACCUCCUGUGCAUGCUUAUGGGUCAUUGUUUAUGCUUGCUUUACUAAGGUCCUGUCAAUAUGCUUUUAGGUAUCAGCAUGUCGUUUGGUUGUGGAGCCUCGUACACGCAGCUCUCGGGGUUUUGCUUUUGUAACUAUGGACACACUUGAGGAUGCUGAUCGCUGCGUCAAAUAUCUGAACCAGUCCAUUCUAGAAGGUCGUUGCAUAACUGUGGAAAAGGUAAUUCUUGACCCAGAGUUGCUGAGGCGAAGGGUUGAUUGGCUAUUCUUUGGUUUUGACUUGGAGGUUUUUGGUUAUAUUCAGAAUACAUUGCGUCAGCUAGAUUGGCAGCAAUCAAAGAUGUUGAGUUCAUCGAUUUCAACUUUUUCACACAGCUUGAUCAGUCAGCCUGCUUAACAGCUUAUGUCAUGCAUCUCAUCAACUAAACAUAGCAAAUAUGCCCAACUUAACAAUCUCAGCAUUCACCUUCAACUCUCAACUAAUCAACGGACAUUACCAACAACACUCUAAUCGGGAAUUAAUGGUACCUUACACCUGGCAUUCAUUUGAUGGUGCUGCUAGACAUGUGUGCCUAGAUUUGUUUGACUCGUUACAUUUUCUUUAGUCUUUCAUUGCAUGACCAUUUUCUUAAUCUUACAUGGCCGUUCUUAAGAUUGCUUAUAUAAGUAAUAAUUUAAUGUUACCACAUGAUAUUUGUAAUCGUAUUUUCGUGUUUUCAAUUUUAUUUUACUAAAUUGGUCAUGGUGUAGUGGUUUUUGUUGGGUGAGUGUAAAUUUAUGUUGUCAAGCUGUUGGUUAUUACUUAUUAUUAUCAGCAAUUCCAACUUUAUUGCAUGUUAAGUCUGAGGUGAUUUUGUUUCAGUCAAGGAGGAAACGCCCGAGGACACCGACACCUGGACAUUACCUUGGAUUGAAAAGUACCAGAGAUACCAGAGAUACUGGUUCGUAACUAUCUUACAUAUUGCAUUCUCUGGUUUUUGUGUACCAGAUUUAAAUAUGUGAUUUAGUAUUGGUGGCACUUACUAUAGCCUAAUUUUCUGUAUAUCUGUUGUAUUCUAUGUUUGUAUAGGUUAUCGUGGUGACCGUGGUAGAUACCGUGGCGGUGGUGGUGGACAUGGCAGGGAGGACUAUGGAUACCGGAGAUCACCUAGGCGCUCGCCCUAUCGAGGAAGCCGUGAUUAUUCUCCAAGGCACUCACCUUAUGGUGGUAGGUCAAGAAGAGAACGCUCCAGGUCUCGAUCUUUUUCUCCUUAUGGUAGCCCAGUGAGGAAUUAUCGCCGCUAGUAACUUAGUUAACAGUUUUUCUGGCUUUUCGAAGCUGUUGGGAUCAUUUGAUCAUUACCAUUUUGUGGAUUUGGUGUGGUAGAAUAACUUUAUGUUGUAUUUUGGGAUGUUGAAAACAUAGGCCAAGAACCGAUCAAACAAAGAAAACUUUGACCAAGUUUGAUGUUUCUGUAAACCAAAGAGUGGCUUUGAUGUUUGUAUUCCCUUUUGAUUAUACUCUUAAUUCAAUUUGGAACAUAGAAUCUCCGAUUUAAUAUAUCUGUUUGAAUUUGCACUCAGUCUUGUUGUUGUAGUGCAUGUAUGAAUUUGCAGUCUUGCAUAGCAGUCAGCAGAAGCUUUUGAAAUUUGGCUGUAUCAUUUACAUAAUGGGGAUUGGAAAGUUGAGCAGCUUGUUAUUAUUAUUAUUUUUUAUGUGAUAAAGCAGUUUGAUGUUGAACCACGCUGAAACCAUUCCAUUCAAGAUUUAUGGUGAUCUUUCAAUGUUGAAGACAGAUUUAGAUUUAUUGUGGUCUUCCAUGUUUCAACUUCUGCGGGAUGUCUUUUUAUGUAUGGCCUUGUGGAUUUAAAGAGAUUAUUCAUAUUUCUCUCAAUCCCUCCACUUUCUCUUCUCCUUUUCAAUCUCACUGAUGAUGCGACACUCCAACUUUUCUGAAUCUUAUUGAUGGCAUUAUGCAAUAAGGUCCCAUAUCAAGUGAUGUGGACGGUGAGCUUGUCUGGAAGGCACAAUUUUCUGUAGAGCCAUAGCUCAAGGUUGCAGUUGAUCAUUCUUUUUGUAACAAUACUAUAACAAUCUGGAAUUUCCCAUUUAUUUUAGCUAGUUUCCUGAAAUAUUCAAUUCAGGGUGGCCUCAUUUCGGUGGGAAAGCAGGUUAUACUCUGAUGUUAUCCUCCUCUCACUAAAUUGAGAAUCCUUCUGCAUAUUGAUUUCUUUUCUCUAGUGUCUUGGCCCGUGCUAUGCACGGGCUAGUUUUAUUUUCAUCUUUAUAUGUUCUUAUUAUAAUUUUAUUUUAUUCUUUUUCUUACUAAAACAAAAUUUAUUGAUAGGCUCAAAGAAUUACACAAAAGUGGAGGACAAACGCGCUACAAACUGUGCGACAAGUUCUUUCUGAAUAGCAAACCCGAUUCUCCUAAAUACAUAUUCGUUCGAACCCACAGUCAUCACGUUGCUAUCAAUUACCUUCUGCACUCUCCUGGGGAGCUCAACUGCUUCUAAGCCUAGCAAUCCAAAUGUAUCAAAUGCAAAGGGGAUGAAACUAUGUUGGUUAGCCCUACAAGCUCCAUCAUGUUUCUUUACUUUAUUUGCUGCUAACCCCACCUCAAAAAUCCCAGCACCCAGCCUGACCAUUGGAGAUGCCUUUGUAACAUCAACACACGCAUGUUUCUAAUUAAUUUUUUAUUUAUUUUUAGUUUAUGUAGUCGUUAUAUUUUUGCAUUAAUAAUGUAAAUGCACAUUGUAAUGAAAUAUAAAUAGAUUAAAAAGACUCGUGAAAUUAAGAGUAUUCUUUUCAUGUAUGAAUAAACUCUUAAUGAAUAACGUGUCUCAAAAUUAAUUUAAAAUUAAUAUAUCUUAACUUAAACAUAAAUAGUCAAACUUAAAAACUUUGAAAACAUCUCAAAUAAAUAUUGCUACUUAAUCUAAUUUAAAGAAAUAUCAACUCUUUUCUUUCAAUUUUAGACAUUUAAUUGUUUAUUCUUUCUUUCAAUAUGUAUUUAUUUUCAUAAGAGUUUACCAUUAAAUACCAUUCCUACGACUUAAAGUUCCAAUAGAAUGUUCUUGUAUUCAGAAAUGACGUAUGUAACGAAGUCUGGAAGAGCAAACUGGCGAGAUCUUGCAGAGAAUGGAACCGAGUAGUAGUUGUUCACAAAGUCAUUUCCAGCAGCUGUGAUAAGCACAAGUGCUCCAUUCACUAGUUUUUGUGUCUGAACAGGUCCUAUGAGUGCACUCACUCUCUGCUUAUACUGUUCGAAGUACUCAAAUUGCCUGGGGAUCCCGAUUAUGUUUAACUGCAUGAAAUGUGCAGUUAAUUCACCUGAUUAGUCACUCAAUAUAAUAGUUCAUUAACAAAACUUUGUACCGAGUUUAAAAUUUGAGACAUGAAAUCGUGAAUGGCUUACAAAUUGGACUCCGGUAUCAUUGAGAAUUCCAAUCCCAGCAGACGCGAAGCUUGCACCAACAAGUAAUUUCUGUCCCCUGAGCUGUGGGUUUAAGUAUGCCAUUGUGGGUUCCUCACCCAUUGACUGACCUGCACAACAUAAAUAUGGCCUCUAUAAAGUUUAUAUGUAAAAAGAAUUCAGUACUUUUACCAUGGAAAAAAAAUGUAUUGAACAUAUAAGCAAUAUAACUGAAAUGCAGGGAAAAAGAAAUGUUACUGAUGAGAUUGGGAAUAUUCAAGCCAUUAGAAAAACGGCCAGUGGCAUGGUGAGUUGGAUAGUCGAUCCCAUAUGGAUAUGAAUCUGCAUGAGCAGUUGUCGCUAGAUAAUUGUUGUUGCCGUAUCCACAAGUGAAUCGCCAUAUACAAAGAAGGCACGCGCUUCUGCUUCAGGGACAACAAAGCUUAACACAACUAAUACUAGGCUGAAAGCAACAAGAGGUAAAGAAGCACUGCUAGCCAUGGAGAUGAAGGUAUUAGUUCUGUGAGAUUUCAACGAGUGCAACACUUCUUAUGUACAACACAUACAGUAGUCAAUGUAGCACAAAUAAAGAAAUUAUCACAACCAACUCAAACACUGAAUAAUGUAGGGUUACUUAUAUAGCAAAAUUUUGGUUGGGAAGAGAAUAAUUUGACUGUGAGCUGGCUAAGCAAUUUUCAAGGGUGACCAGCUGGGGAAAUUAGUGUCUACUGCCCUAUCUGAAAAUCUAAUCCCUUUACUUCACAUUGAUAAAAACCAUAAUGGAUUUAUAUAUCUCAGACCUUGAUGUAUAUUUACACAAAUCAAAAGUGUCACUUAAUCACAGGUCCAGAAAUUUAACUGCAUUGGCUAGAUAUUUCAUGAGAAUUACGACAGUAUUAAAAAAAAAAUUCUUGGUUUUGAAUAGGUUCACAUGCCCUGCCCGGCUGCCCCGUCACUACCUAUAUUUUGCUGCUCAGUUUUCUACCUCAGAAGGCAGUUUAACUUUAGUACUUGAUAUAGAAUCAGGCAAUCAGGUGGAAAAGGUCCCGCAAGAUUGUGGAAGGGCACUGUGUUGUGCAGUGACACACUGCCACCCUAUUUUGCCUCGAGAUUUACCGUUUUUUCCUGGUGGUAGGUGUGUGACCUAACACUAUUCAAUCACAUCUUUAUGCAAGUAGAGAUGCCUUAUGCCAGAGAGAGCAUCAAUCAUAGCAUCAAAUAACUCAGAUUUUAUUCAAAAUCAACUCGAACAAGCUACAACCUCUCAAACAUUACUACUGCACUCAUACAACCUCAAUCAACAAAUACUUAGAUAAACUGACGCAAUAUAUACUUGUUUUCAAAGGCAAACUGAAGUGAAACAAAUAGCGCGCCAGGAUGGACUAUUGAUUAUUCUUUGAAUCCAAAGCUAGGACUGUGCUGAGAUUCAUGGGGUGCAUUAACUCAUUUGAUCCAGUCAUGAUUUGUCGAACUAUGAUCUUGUUUGCUUUCUCACUUGGAUGAAAUGGAUCCCAAAAUGCGUAUAAAUCACGGUUAGGACAUAAGUUUGAAGCUGGAGUGCACAGCCCAAUUCCAUUGUAAGGUCCUUGUCCACAACAUGCUAUCUUCGAUGUAACAAAGCCUAUCAACGAAAAAUAUAAGAGGUCAGGAGGUGAAGGUUUAAUUUGUCAGUCACGAGUUUAUAGUCAGAGUUCGUAUAAAAUUGGCAUUUAUUGUUGUAUCAACUCACCAAAUUGCUGGGGGUUAGUGAUGAAGUUUAAGUGCAUUUGGUUCGUAUUAGCUGCAAUGAACACAUCUGAGCCCACUUGACUGUUGAUUUGGUUGAUCAAUUGUGUUAGUUGGGGGUUGAAUAACCCUGCAGCCCGUUGUAGCUCGGCAGAGCAACCACCAUUUGUGCUCCUUUGGGCUAGUUCUGCUGGAACACAACCCAAGGGCCCUGUUCCAGUCACAAGAACUCUACGUGCUCCCAAAUCGUAAAGCUUCUGCAACAUUGAUGAUUACCAUUCCAUAACCACCAAGAAUAAAGAAGAUCAAUCAGCUACAUGCUAUACAUAUACGUAGUCAAUAUUGAGGAAAUUACACGUGGAACAUGAUAAAAAUAAUUAACUAUAAGUAAUAAAUCUAAUUAAUUUUAUAAAAUUUGAAUCCAUAUUUGAUCCAGAAAGUUAGAAACUAAGCUAGGUUUCCACCAAAGAUCUUAGUACAACAUACUACAUAGAACCGUGAAUUGCAGGCUCAAUAAAUGUAUGCUCAUGAUAUGUAAAGGCGAAAGUAAGAGAUUAUCUUACCAACUAGCUUCAAUCACCUUAUUGUUAUGACUCAUUAUGUAUCGCGCAUUCCCUGCCCCUCUAAAAAUGCAUAUAGUAAAGAUUAUAGUACGACCAAUAAGAUUAAGUUAAUUACCAGUAGAAUUUUCUUAUAUUCUGAAAUGAGAUAGUGAACAUAGUCUGGGAGAGCAAACUGGCGAGAUCUUGCAGAGUAUGGGACUAAGUAAUAGUUAUUAACAAAGUCAUUUCCACCAAGUGUGAUGAGAACAAGUGCCUGAUUUACUAGCCUCUUAGCCUGAGUUGAUCCAACGAGUGCAGUCAACCUUUGCUGGUAGGUUUGGAAGUUCUCUAAUUGUCUGGUAAUCCUGAUUAUGUUUAACUGCAUAAAAUGUGGUACAUCAUGUAAGGUUAGUUAUCCAGGUUCAUAUAUUGGUAUUCAGAUUAGAGUUAGUUUUAGAUGUGACUUGGCUUACAAAUUGGAUUCCAGUGUCAUUGAGGAUCCCGAUCCCAGCAGAUGCGAAGUUGGCACCAACAAGUAAUUUCUGUCCUCGGAGCUCCGGGCUUAAGUAUGGUAACGUAGCUUCCUCACCAAUUGACUGACCUGAUCACAAUGCACAAUAUAAUGGUCUGGUUAGAUACAAAAUUAAAACAAUAUAGUAACGCUCAUGAUGGUAUGAACGUCUUUCCUUAAAUUUGAUAAACAACAAAUUAUGGUGAAGAACAUUUGUGGUGUUAGCAAUUAGAAAUGUGGUAUUAGGGAAUAAGAUAGUUAACUAAUAAGAUCAGGAAUGUUAUAGCCAUUAGAGAAGCGGCCUGUGGGGCGGUGAGUUGGAUAGUCAAUUCCAUAUGGAGGAGCAUCGGCACGAGCAUCUGUGGCUAGAUAGUUGUUGUUGCCAUUGUCAACAAGGGAAUCGCCAAAUACAAAGAAUGCACGAGCCUCUGCUUGAGGAACAAGCAUGCCGAAAACCAAAACCAGGCCUAUCACCAUGGAAACAACAAGAGCUGAAGAGUUGUCCAUGAAGAUGGUUGUUUUUUAUGACUUCUCUUCUAAUGUCUAAAGCAAACAAAGUGUGACACAGAUAAAUGUUCUUGAUCACACUCUGUUUCCACAAACUCGACUCUGAUACUAAAUCAAAGGUUAGUAUGCCAUUAUAUAUAGUAUUUUGAUUGUGAAGAGACAAUAAAAACUGCAAGCUAAGCAUUUCUUAGUGGGUAGCUCAAGCAUGUGUGCUUGAGAAAAGUAAAAUACAGUCUAGCUGUCUCAAAUUAAGUCAUAUUCUUAAAGAACAAAUUUCGCAUUUGUCGGGUUUGGAAAUAAAGCUUGCCAAUUGUGACAAACUGCAUUUGGAUUAUGAUGAUCAAGAAACAAUUCAAUGACUGUAUAUUAGAUAUAUAAAUUAUUAACCUGGUGAUACAUCAACCCAUUUAUCUGGAUAUGUUUUUAUUAAGCAGUCAUUUAAAAGUUUCAUUUUAUAUGCUUAAUACGAAACAAAAAAAGAUUUGAGUAUGUGUUAAACUGUAUUAGCAGUACAGUAGAACCUCUUUAAAUUAAUACUUGAUUUGUUAAUAAUCUCUAAGUUAAUAAAACUGUGUACAUGGUAAGUAGCUAAAUCAAGACUUAAUAAUCUCUCUAAGUUAAUAAAAUUGCAUAAAAUUACAUAGGUCCCAAAAUUAUAAAUUUAAAGAGGUUCUAUUGUAUAUAUGUUUACAACUUAUUUUGCGGCUGAGGGAUACACUACCAUAUGUACCAUGCUCUUCAAAUUCAGGUGAACACUCAGCUUUUCCAGUGAGUGAGGUGUAGUACUUAGAUUCACAAUGAUCUUUGGGAAAUGUUCAGAGUUCAUCAAAGGGAAGUACCUGGGGACAGAGAGUUUUCGGCCUAAAUUCUGGGAUCAGGUCCAUUUUUUGGAGGGAGAAAUAUGGGAAGAAACAGUUUAUCGGAAAAACAUCACUGGAAUGAGGUAAAUGGAUAGGGAUUCUUCUAUGCCAAAUUUCUAUUGGAAAAUAGUCAUGGGUUCAGUGUUUAGAUUUGUGGAAAAUAAGCUGUCAAUGAUUGCGACGUUGAGGGAUAACCGAAGGGGGGCUUUUCUCCGGAUCUAGUUCAUUACAAAGAUGUCGAACAAUCAAAGGAUGAUGAUUUGUAUUCCGGCGGGCGAAAAUCGGAGGGGGUGGACAAAUUUUGGGGGAAAGCUUUCAACUUUGUUGUCACAAGGGGAAACAUAGAACCAGCAGAUUCCGACAAGGGCCAAAUUCCCACAUACUUUUCCUCAGAACCAAGGAAGGAGACCAACUUUCGCUCAGGUAGCAGGAAGAAUGGACACCAGAUGUGACUUCAAUCCAACCCAAGUGUUGGAUUUCAACAACUCUUGGUGGUCAGCUGUGGCGGUUUGUCAACGAAGUGGCCCAAAUCCAAAUUGGGAUUGGGUAAGGGAGAAAUGUUCUGGGGUGUUUGGGGGAGUAGGUCUGAAAGUGAUUGAAGGAAGGAAAGCUCUUAUCUUCCUCAACUCAGAAGAAGACCUAUCAAAGCUGCUUGCCAUGCCUCCACUAUCAAGUUGGGAAGGUUUCUUUACAUUUACCAAAUGACACCCAUCUUCAGGAUCGUUAAAGGUGAAAUCAGGAGUGAAAAGAGAUGUGGAAGUAGCUUUUGUUAGCAUUCCAUACCAUCUAAGGGUGAAAACGAUAAUCGACAUGCUGAGCAAGAAAUGUGGUAACACUAUGGGUCAGAUCAGAGGUGAUUCUGAGUUUACAACCCCGUACUGUUUUGUGGAGCUGAAAAACUGUGAAAUCCAUAAAAUCCCGAGAUCGAUCACCCUUGAAGAAAAGGAGAAAAAUAUUUGAUAUGGGUCGAAGUUAUCUCAGAGGAAGUCUAUAGCCUGGCAAAACUGCCGAACUGUCGGUCUACGACGGAGGACGGUGGUUUGACUGACCAGAGAAGAAGAACUUUAUUGGCUGACGUGGCACUCUACUAACCAUGGAAUUGUACAGCUAUGGGACCUACUAGAACAACUCAUCCACCACCAGGUUUUGAGAGGGAUGUGGUGUUAGUUCAAAAUUCAAACAUCCCGCCUAGAGUGGAGAACCUUGCUGGAGUUUUAGCCAUUGAAAACGUACCACAUGUAUCCACAGAAAGUGUGGGAAGUUACCGCCAGUCUGUACCUUGUUUUAUAUCAUCAAAUCAGUCUGCCCAUCUCGAGGUGGACAGGUAUGACCCAGGUGAAGGGGAGGAGAAUAGAAAUGCACAAGAAGCCCAGACAGAUUUCUUAACCCCAAUCCAAUUUGGCACACAUGCCCAAAGUCCAUGUCUAGACUUGUUUCAGGAUCCAUCACCACUUCUGCCAAUUUAUGAGCCGGUCAGUGGACAUAGACCCAAGAGUCGAUCCAGAGGGGGAACUAAAAUGGGUCGGACUUUUCUCCCAGCUAUUGGUUUGAACAAACAUAUGCUUCGACAUGUUCAAACCCAUAGAGGGGGCAGAUCAGUUUCUAGAGAGAGGAGAUCUCGACGAGGAGGUGAAUUAGAAUUAAGAAGUGAAGUUGCAAAACAAUGGAGAAACUAUUCAAAGUCAAAGAGAAUGUUAUCUCAAUUGUGAGGGAAACAAGAGAGUUAGAACCAGGUUGUAAUCUCACUCAUACAAGUUUACAACAUGCAAGUCUUAAUGCAUGAAGAGAAGACAUGACCACUGAAAAGGUUAAAGAAAUAGCAAAAAGCCUCUACAGGUGCAGAACGAAAGAAGAUCUGAGCAACUGGAUCAAAUGGCUAGUGAUUCCAACACGAGGAGAGCUAGGUGUCACCACUACAGCAUCGCGACAAGGCCAAGAAAAAUUGUACACUGAAUUGGCGGCUCAAGACUUACGAGAAGAAGGUGAAAUUGGAGAUGGAAAUCAGGGAAAGAAUUAGUUGAAUAAUGGCGAUGAAAUUUCUGUGUUGGAACGCAAGGGGUUGCGGUAAUCCACAAAAAUGUAAUCAUAUUAGAAAUCUGAUGGAUAAGCAAAAACCAAUGGUGAUGAUGAUACAGGAAACAAAAUUAGCUAGUAUUGAGGAGUCUGGUUUAGUGGAUGUAUGGAGACACCCAUAGACGUAUGAGGAGAUUCCUGCGGAAGGUGCUUUGGGCGAUAUAGUAAUGGCGUGGAAUACAGAUCUUGUGGAGCUUAAAAAGGUUAUUUAAAAGGUUUUCUCCAUCUAAAUGGAGUGUGUUAUUAAAAUUUCUGGUUUCAGAUUUUUGCUGACUACAAUUUAUGGACCGAGCACGAAUGCUAGAAGAUCAGAUUUCCUUACAGAAUUGGAAGAAGUUUGCCAAUGGAAGGAAUUACCAUGGUGUGUAGCUGGUGAUUUCAAUUUAACAAGAUACAUAGAUGAAAGGAAAAGAAGUAACACAAUGUCUAGAAACAUGAGCAAGUUUAAUGAGGUUAUUGAUAACUGCGGUCUUAUUGACUAUCCACUGAUAGGAGCAAAGUAUACUUGGUCAAACGCUACAAGUGCGAGCAAAAUUGACAGGUUUUUGGCUACGGAAGGAUGGGACGAGCAGUUUCCAUUUGCAAGGGAAUUGGCUCUCUUAAAAAAUUCUCUCAGAUCACAAAGUAUUAGUGAUGGAAUGCAAACAAAUUAGGAGAGGCCUUAUCCCCUUCAGAUUUGAACUAAUGUGGUUUCAGGAAGAGGGUUUGAUUCCUCUAAUGCAUGGAAACAUGGUAGAAAUCUAUGGAAGCAACAGGCAGUCCCAACUAUCAGUGGUGGAGCAAACUGAAACUCCUGAAGGAAAACUUAAAAAUAUGGAAUAAAGAAUGCUUUGGAAGAGUUGAGAAUCUUAUGGAGGAAAAAUCAAAAGAGAUAGAAAUGUUGGAUCAGAAGGAAGAGAUGGGGAGUCUAACAUUAGAAGAAGAGGCAUAUCGAAAUUCUAUGAAGGUUGAACUGAUGGAAAUUAUUAGGAAAGUCGAGAUUAAAUGGAGGCAAAAGUCUAGAAUCGAGGGGGAAAGUAACGCGUCCUUUUAUCAUAAAGUAGCUAAUGCUCGAAGCAAAAUCAAUAUUAUGGAGACUCUGGUUAUAGAUGGAGUGGAGGAGAAUGAUCCAAAGGUAAUAGAAGAGCAUGUAAUGAGUUACUACGAUAAGCUGUACACAGAUGACUUUCUAGUAAGACCUAAGGUUGACAAUCUGCAUCUCAAGUCCAUAACUGAAGUUCAAACGGCUGAUCUAGAUAAACAAAUUGAAGAAGAAGAAGUCUUUCUGGCACUUAUAGAGUUGAGUGGGGACAGAGCUCCAGGGCCAGAUGGAUUACCAAUGGAGUUCUUUAAAAAAUGUUGGAGGUUUCUAAAGAAGGACAUCAUGGAAGUGUUUGAUGAAUUCCAGAACCAGGGCUUCAUGGAUUGGAGAAUCAACACUACAUGUGUCACAGUUAUUCCAAAGAAAAAGGGGGCACUCUCAAUCAGUGACUACAAACCAAUUAGUUUGGUUGGAGGUCUAUAUAAACUUAUCUCAAAAGUACUGGCAACUCGUUUGAAAGGAGUCCUUCCAAGCAUAAUCUCUCAAACACAAACUGCUUUUGUUGGUUCAAGGCAAAUUACUGAUGGAGUGUUGAUUGCCGAUGAACUAAUUGAUUCUAAACUAAGAAGUAAAAUCCCAGGAGUUUUAUGCAAGGUGGAUCUGCUUAAAGCAUAUGAUAAUGUUUAAUGAUCGUUUCUAGACUAUGUGCUACAAAAAAUGGGAUUCUCAGAAAAAUGGAGACAUUGGGUCACAACUCUGAUAUCCACUGCGUAUUUCUCUAUAAUCAUCAAUGGCUCACCUCAUGGACUGUUUAAGAGCCAAAAAGGUCUUCGGCAGGGAGACCCAAUUUCACCCAUUCUCUUCAAUCUGGUUAUGGAAGUUUUGAGUGGUUUAAUGUCAAAGGCAAGAGACCUUGGUUUUAUAAGAGGCUUUAGAUGUGCAGUUUCAGGUCCUGAAAUAUCUCUCCUUCAAUUUUCUGACCACACCCUUCUCUUGUUUGAUCCAGAAGUUUCACAGGCAAUGGCUAGAGCUAUUCUACUAAUGUUCCAUGCAGUUUAAGGCCUCAAGUGCAAUCUGAGGAAGACAACCAUUACUACCAUUGGUGAAGUUCAAAACUUUGAUGUAUUAGCAAGGAUUUUUGGCUGCAAACAAGGAAAACUACCUGCUAGCUAUCUAGGCAUGCCCCUAGGAAGCUCAUUCAAGAAGAAAGUUGCAUGGGAUCCAAUUAUUGAUACUGUAAACAGGAGGUUGGAAUGCUGGCAAAGCAAACAUCUGUCCAAAAGAGGAGGGUUAGUUUUGUUAAAGAGUACCCUGGGUAAUCUGCCAGUGUAUCAAUUGUCAUUAUUUGUAAUGCCCAAGAGCGUCAUCAAAACUAUUAAAAGCAAGAUGAAGAACUUUCUGUGGGGAUCAAACCAAAGAGAAGAGAAAGUAUCACUUGAUUGAUUGGCAGACUGUGUGCAAACCAAAGGAGGAACGAGGUCUAAAUAUCAGAGACCUAGAAAUCAUGGGAAGAGCAUUCCGAGCCAAAUGGAUUUGGAGAUAUGGCAAUGAACUAGACUCUUUAUGGAGAAGUAUUAUUGAUCCAAAGUAUGGGGAAGCGAUUAAUGAAUGGUGGCCUCAAGUAGUACACACUAGUCAUGGAACAGGUCUAUGGAGAGGGAUUCUUCAAGACUAUGAGAUUUUUAAGCCCAACAUUCAGUGCAGGGUUGGAAAUGGGGAAAGAACACUUUUCUGGAAGGAUAAAUGGAAGGGUGAAACAUCUCUGCAAGCAAGAUUCCCUCUGAUCUAUACGAUCACAAUGGUCAAGAAUAGCACUGUCAGUGAAGUGAGAUUAAUAAGUGAAGAGGGAAUGACUUGGAAUAUGCAAUUGAAAAGGAAUCGAUAUGAUUGGGAAGAAGAACAGUAUGGACAACUAAUGACAAUUUUAGCUGAAGAAGACCUUGAAGAAGGAGAGGACACAUGGAGAUGGAGAGUAGAUAAGUAUGGUCAAUUCUCAGUUAAGUCAAUGUACAAAGUGUUAAGGGAACACCUUGAUGGGCAGAACAUGGUGGCUACAGAUCCAUUUCCAGUCAAGUUUGUUUGGAAACAGAGGAUACCACUGAAGAUAAGUUUCUUUUUCUGGACAAUUAUGCAUGAUAGAACCUUGACUACUGAUAUCCUCAUUCACAGAGGUAGCGACAUAUCUCCACUGUGCAGUAUGUGCGAAAGUGUCAACGAAUCAAUUAGUCACCUUUUCCUUCACUGUGCGUUCUCUCUGAGAGUGUGGAAGAAGAUGACUAGUCCAUUUCCAGAAGUUUAUCAUCACCUGUUUACAGUAGACACUGUUUAGUCAUGGUUACAUGAUUGGAAAGGAAGACAGAGUCAGGAAUGGGAGGCAAAAAUAUGGAAGCUGCUACUGUAUGCAACCAUCUGGAUUUUGUGGAAGGUAAGGAACGCAAAGAUCUUUCAAGGUAAGGAAAUAAAUCUUGAAAGAGUUUGUAGUGAUAUUAAAGCAACCAUAUGGUACUGGUGUGGCAACUGGAUGGGGAAAAGGAGAUUCAAAUUUGCGGAUCUGGUCUUUAAAUGGGAACAGGUUAUUCAAGGGAAAAUUGAUCCAGGUUGAGUCUUUCAUUAUAGGUUUAAGUUUCGUUUCUUUAUAUGGUUUUCUUUUUUGUUAGGGUGCACUCUUGGUGCACUGAACAAAGGUAUCAAAGGUAUGUAAAUCUUUUUUGUUUCAUCAAUAAAAUACAAAUAAAGAAAAAAUCCACAGCCGCCGCCGCCACCAGCAACCUUCUUCUUCUUCCUACUUCACAUCACAACCACCAUCUCUUCUUUCCCCUUUCCCUCCCCCUACCACCACCAUCAACCUCUUUCUCCAUCACCACCACCAGCAACCUUUUUUCCCUCUUCCCUACCACCACCAUCUACCUUCCCCUCCCCCUCCCCCACCAGCAACCUUCUCUUCCCCUCCCUCCAAUACCCUAAAAAAAAAUAAAAAAAUAUUUUGCCUCCUCUCUCGUAAAUUUGGCUGCUCAGAUCUGAGCCGAGCCGAUCUAAGCCACGUAAGCCGAGUCGGUACCCGGCGGAGCCGAUCCAUCUAGCCAACCCAGCCGAAUUAGCAGCUCAAGCCAGUCAGCCAAGCCCCCCCCCCCCAAAAAAAAAAAAAAAAAAAGCAGCCAGACUAGUCGAACCAGCAGCCAGACCAGUCGAACCGGUAGCCAGACCAGCAGUUCAAGCCAGCCAAGCCAAGCUAAAAAAAAUAAAAACAGAAAAACAGAAAAAAAAUUUGGCUGCUUAAUGGAGAGUAUCCAUUGUCCAUUUCGACACUUUGAUGGAUGCACAAAUGGACCGUGUGGAAAUGGAUACAAAUCUUCGUACAUCCCAACACAUGUUAAGAAAGAUCACUUAAAGAGGGUAAAUAACAUCGACAGGCUGAGAGAUGCAAUCAAAGUUGAUAUAGGUUUAUUUUCGUCGCUUGACAAUACUUUGAAGAGGAUGAACAAAUGGAUGUGUGGUGAUUAUUUUGGUAUCCAUGCAUCGACCAUAAAAUGUAAACAUACGGAUGGUGCAGUCAUUAAACCACCUGCGCGAAAGGAGACCGGUGAAUUAGAGUGUGCAAUUGUAGGUAUACAACCACCACAGCUUGUGCAUGUUGAUAAUCCACCUGCACUUACAGCAGGAGGGGACACUGGUAUCGAUACUCACCUUUCUAUUGUUGCACCUUCUUUAGAUGAGAUAUCACUUGAUCGUAUUUUCUGUAGACCUUUCUGCACAGUGAAAAGUAUUCCACGUCCUUGUCGGUUAACAUUUUUCUAUGCAUUGAAGUCAGUCUUGUAUGAGGUUACUGCAGACCCCAUGUCGACAGGGCCAUGUGUUAGAUUGCUCCUGUUUCCCUAUUGUACAUUACAAAUGUUCCAUCCGCAGAAUCGCGAAGAGCGUCGAUCUGGUACUCGAAAAUAUCUCCAACAGAAUCAGAUUUUGCAGGCUCUCUCUAUUUGGAACGAGCCUAGGGGUAUAUUUUAUCUGAUUGAAAGAGUCACACACACAUAGCCUCCGCUGGAACAACCAUCUCGACAGUCCCAAAGCAAGAAUGUACGAGAGUGUUUGCAAAAGGUUGUAGACGGGCAUUUUGUAGCAGCCGUGAAGGUGUUGGCAUCAUCAGAGGUUGCUCCGAACACUCUAGAGACGCAGCGGGCUUUAGAGGAUAAACACCCGAAGCAUCCACCACCAUCUGUCCCCGACAUUACUUUAUUUGAGUAACCUCUGUCAGUUGAGAGGGAUGAGAUAUUAUCAUGCAUCAGGUCCUUCCCCAAAGCGACGUCUUGUGGACGAGAUGGUCUCCGGGCCCAACACCUAUUGGAUGCUAUGAGUGGGGCUGCAUUCGCUGUAGCCACAGAUCUUAUGGAGGCCUUGACACCGGCCGUGAACUUAUGGCUACAAGGUCGAUGCCCACGGGUCUUAGCAGAAUUCAUAGCUAGUGUGUCUCUCACCCCACUUCUUAAGCCAGGUAACGACAUUCGCCCAAUAGUUGUGGGUAUGGUUUGGCGUCGCCUGCUGUCUAAGAUUGCAAUGAGAGGAGGUUCUAAGGAUAUUGUUCCAUACUUAGAGGAUUUUUAGUUUGGGGUUGGUGUGCCUGGUGGAGCAGAGGCAAUUUUGCAUGCUGUUAAUCGGUUGGUUUAUGCCAACAAGGAUGACACAUCGCUUUCUAUGCUGCUUGUGGACUUUCAGAAUACCUUCAACCUUGUUGAUCGGUCUGCUAUGCUACGGGAGGUACGCAGUCAUUGUCCAUUUAUUGCUCUAUGGGUCGAAUACCUCUAUUGCCAACUUGCUCGAUUGUAUCUAGGGUCUACUCAUAUUUGGUCAGCAGCUGGGAUACAACAGGGGGACCCUUUGGGGCCUCUUCUCUUUGCUUUGGUCUUGCAUCCAUUGAUACACCGUAUUUAGUCAGAAUGCCACUUGGAGUUGCAGGCAUGGUACUUAGAUGAUGGUACUAUGAUUGGUAGUACAGAACAUGUGGCUAGAGCUAUUCGUAUCAUUCAGGAAAGAGGACCAUCUCUUGGGCUCGUGCUUAAUGUGUCUAAGACUAAGUUGUUCUAGACUUCUGUUGAUCCUGACUACUCCUAUCCAGAUAUUUUUUCGGUUGGUAUAUCAUGUCCUCAGCGAGGGGUUAAGUUGCUUGGAGGGGUUGUUAGUAUUGAUGCAUCCUUUAUUGUGGGUAAUGUUCGUCAACGAGUGGAUAAGACACUUUAGCUUAUGGAUUUAUUAUCACAGCUAAAGUAUCCGCAAUGUGAGUUGGCAUUUUUACGUUCUUGUAUGGGAUUAUCUAAACUCACAUUUGCUCUCCGUACUUGCCCCCCUGAUUAUGUUCAGGAAACAGCCGAAUGGUUUGACCGCAGGCUUCGUGCAGCCCUUCAGAAUAUUGUGGUUUCUGAUGGACCUGGUUUUGGCGAUCUACAGUGGCAUAUGGCAACCCUCCGAUUACGUAUGGGUGGACUUGGUAUCUAUUGUGCUAUUUGAGAAACUACAAAUAGUGCUAGUAUAACAAUUGUAAAUUCAACCAAGCAAUCAAACAAUACGCAGAAACUAAAUAACACACAGAGAUUUUUAACGUGGUAAAACCCAAACAGGGAAACGUCCACGGUUGUCCUCGCGACAACAAAAUAAUCCACUAGAUGCAAAGAUAUGUACAAACCUAUCAACUACCUGCACUCACUGCGAGUUGAUACUCCUGGUUAUCUCUAACACCUUGACUUCACCAGAGCACCUUGAUGUACGCACAAGACACUCGACUUCUUGAUGAACACACAAGAAGACUCGAAGCCGAAUUCACAAUAACUCUUGAAGAUCACAAAGUUAUGAAUUGAGAGAAGGGGGAAGAAAGGGAAUUGAGUUCAAUAGCCACAAACACUUUCAAUACCAAAACCUAAACCAAAACACAUGAACUAGAAGAAGAAUGGACGGCCAAAGAACUAACUUGUUCUUUGGAAGAGAAACCCUAUUUAUACUUAGGGUUGGAAACCAAGGAAAAUGGGCCGAAAUACUGAAAAUCCAUAUUGGACGUACGUACGUCGAAUCAACGUUCGUACGUCCCCACACGGUAAAAGUUUGCUGCCUGCUUGGACGUACGAACGUCCUAACUACGUACGUACGUCCUGACCAAAAGAUGUUUGCUGCCUCAGUGGACGUACGUACGUCCUAACUAGGUACGUACGUCCAGUACCCAAUAACUUUUCCUAGACAGAACCAAGAGACACGAAGGACACGAGACGACCAUGCGUACAUCUUGAUUUUCCUAACAAUGAACUCAACGCGAGAUAACCAAAGACACUUUGUCACAAAAUUGAUGUCAAACCACUUCGUGCCGGUUUCAAUCUCCCCCUUUGACAUUGAUUUUGUGACAAAAACCUAUGACUCUAAUAGCACUUAUAAAACGUGCUUACAAGCCCAAACCAUGGCAUUUAUAAAACAUGCCUACAAAAUCACUCAAGAUAGAAACACAUAACAAGUCACUAAUUCUUGUUAUCCAGCUUUAGCAAGAUGCUUUAACCAUCAGAGACCGAACGGAAGCAACUAGGAAUUUCCAAAGCAAUCAAGGAUUCAACAGAAGUUCCUUCGAGCAACUCCCCCAUACUUCAUGAGCUCCAAAAUAUUUUUGACACUCGAGCUCCCCCAUAACUAUAUAACGUCUAAAAUCAUCAACACGUUCACUCCCCCAUACGUGUAGCAUACCUGAAACAUGACCCAAAAAUAACCUAACAACAAGAAGACGAUUGUUAGUAAUUAGAGUCAUAAAUCUCCCCCUUUUUGUCACAACAAGUGAACAAAAUAACCAACUAACAAAAGAAACGAUAAAAUAACAACAAUAAACAAAUAACCAAAAAAAAAAAAAAAAAAUCAAUACCAAACAAUGAAGACAAAACAGAUAAAAAGAUAAACCUAACCCAACUGUUAAAAGUUCAUGAAAUCAACUAAUAACCAAACACAGGAAUCCAUAAGCAUAAAGAACAAAACGACAAAAACACAAGGCUUAAGUUAACGAAUUCGAAAAACCCGUUCCCAAUGACCUAGAGGAAGCUUGGAGAAGUAAGCUUCCGCACGAGCCGAAGGUCUAUUCCACCGAGCUAUCACAUGAUCAUCAUAAUCCUCCAGCCAUUCACUCUUACAAAACAACUCCUCAAUUCUGUUGUCCAAGCCACAGUCGGUAAGUGGAGCAGCAAGUCCCGGAACCUUCGGAUAACCAACCAACUCCAAGAUGUGAUUUUGAAGAUGUCCCGGUAAUCUCUCCCAAUGAUUUACAUGAACCAAACAAGGAUUAAGAAAAGGUCGAUGAAUAUAGUCAUACCCAUGGGGAACGCGACAUAAACGACAAACCUUAGCAUUGUUUUUGUAUUCCAUCACCAUAAACGAGACAUACCCAACACCCGGAACAAAUACACCAUGAAGUUCAUAUUCUGCCAUUGGAAAUUCUGAAGAACAAAGAGAGAACUAGCAGGAGGUAAGAAGACACAAUAGGAGUAAAAGAAGAGAAGACUCCCCUAUAUAUAAGAAUGACAUCAUGUUGAGCAAGAAUGACACCAAAACGAUCCAAACGAGCGUCCGUAUGAUCUUGAUGAUGCCGAAGAGAGGAAACCCGGGCUGCAACUGCAGCAACUGCCCGGUUGCUUCUAACUGAGGCCAACGGAGGACGGCCAGGGGUCAAUGCCCGAUCAAAAUCAUCAUGACGAUCAAGAGCCCGGCCUCCCCAGAUGAGGUGAUGCGUCAGACGCGCACCCACUGACUCAAAAGCAGCCUUCCUAGAAUGGCAGCCUUUCUUGAUGGCGUUGACCCAGUCAUGGCCAACGAACCUCGAAGGGCUCACCUCCGUGUAUCUUCCCUGAAAUCCUAAAUACUUAAGGAUUGUCAUAAUAAAGCUAGGAAAGGGAAGAGUACCUUUAGCUGCAUCAAUCUGAAGCAUUCGUGUGAAGAUGACCUCAGACAAAUGAAGAUGGUGCACCGACAUACAAACCACCAACUUGACCAUGUCAUCAGUCAUGAUGAUCUUGUUGCCCUUGGUUGGGUAGAUGUUUGAAUGAGCAACCAUGUGAAGGAGGAUGGCGCUGUAAAACUUUGCAUGAUAUCGUUCCGUGACCCCAUCAAUAAACAUCUGUUGAACUUGAUUGACAAAGUCAAUCUGAAUCGCAUCCGGAACGGGCCAUCUGACAGGAACAGCACCUUCAGGAAGAAAAUCAUCGUCAAUACCCAACGCCUCACGUACCACCUUUGGAGAAAUAGUGUAUCUCCGACCUUCAAUUAAGACCGAAAAACUCGAGCGAUUCUGCGAGGGUGUCUUCGUCUCAUAGAAGGCUAUCGUAUGCUCAACCGAGUAUUUUGUGAUUGGUUGAGCCACCCUUAACCAAUUUCUAGUCUCAAAGAAAGUGGCUAUGUUGCCAAGUUGAGAAGCCCCUAGAGGGGUGGCAGCAAUGUCUCCCAAAUCGAAGAAACGCUCGGAAACAAUGGCCUUAGCCCGAGGGUGAGCGCCAAGGGAUGGAGAAUGAGACGACAAGCCCGGAGUGGAACUUCUACCCCGUGGAGCGCGAGAAGAUGAUGCACCCUUAGACGCAGAUGCAGUGGUGAUAGGAGUGGUGCGGGCGCGCUUUGAAGCCAUUGUCUACACAAGCACAACAGUAAACAACCGAAAAUGUAGAGAAUCGACAGAAAAACCCAAAGGAAGGUUCAUUUGGAGGGCANNNNNNNNNNNNNNNNNNNNNNNNNNNNNNNNNNNNNNNNNNNNNNNNNNNNNNNNNNNNNNNNNNNNNNNNNNNNNNNNNNNNNNNNNNNNNNNNNNNNNNNNNNNNNNNNNNNNNNNNNNNNNNNNNNNNNNNNNNNNNNNNNNNNNNNNNNNNNNNNNNNNNNNNNNNNNNNNNNNNNNNNNNNNNNNNNNNNNNNNNNNNNNNNNNNNNNNNNNNNNNNNNNNNNNNNNNNNNNNNNNNNNAUUUCGAGUAUCGAACCACCAAGUUCCCAUGAAGACAUUAUGAGCAUACACCAAUAGACCAAACUAUAAAGCAUGACUAACAAAGCUUCAAAUCAAGGCCGAAUAAACACAGAACAUGACAUAGAGAAGAAAGAAGGAACAAGAGAAAAACUUACAAAGGAUAGUGAUUGAGGAUGACCAACAAGUUUUCGGACCAAACCACGUGACCAAAACAGCGACAAGAGAAGGAGAACAGAAGCAAAACAAGAAAAAAAAUAGAGGAAAGUCUUCUAAGACGAGCCAGAAAACCAAUAUGCUAACUGCUGAAAUGUGCCCAAAAGGAGGGAAACACGAUUGAUGUAACAGCAAAUGGCUUUGUGUUUAAAACAAAUUUGGUUUUAAACAGCAAAUGGGCCGAACUGUAACAGGAACGUUCGUACGUUCUAAAGACGUUCGAACGUCGGGACCCAAAAACCAAACAUCUGACAGAGAACACGGUCGUACGUCCUAGGAACGUUCGUACGUUGCACAAACAAAAAGAUCUGCCCACCUAAACGUACGAACGUCAUGAAAGCGUACGUACGAAUGUUUUUUUUUUUUUUUAUUUUUUUAUAAUGAAGAACCAUCUUAAAACAGACAACCAAACCGAAUAACGACCCAAAACAAAAAUUGAGAGACAUCACAAAGAAACAUUUCUACUUAUUGUAAGGAUUCCAAUUACAGAGGACUACAAUUUAAACAACCCUCAACCACAAGUAAAUGCAAGAUUGAAGAACUACAUCAUACACCAAGGCAUGGUACUUACUAGAAUGAUGCAAGCAUGUAGAAAAAACGAAUAUACCAAUACCAACCUCCGGAAACAAACUAGAGACAUGAUCAUUGAAGUCACUUGCAACUAGACCAAUGUGACAAUGAACUAGAUCACUACAGAAGCAAAGAAACCCCCUUUUUUUUUUUUGAUAAACCCAUAAGAGACAAAUGCCAUUCCCGUGUGGGAGUAUUUAACAUCUCCAUGUUGUACCAAAACACGAGGGUAGGGUGUAGCCUACAUCUUUUCGGCAAAACAAACUCAAGAAGUGCAAUACCAUGGUAACGUGCAACACAAGAACUAACAUCUCCUGAGUGCAUCCGUCAGAGCAUGACCCUCACAGCCCCAACGUGUUCUUAGCCAAAUGAGUAUGCUCUCAAGACAUUCAAAUGGCUGGGGAUUUUGUGAGUCAUUGACCACUUACAAGAGAUAUAUAAAUAUAAACGAAGACGAUGAUCAUGAAGGAAGAUCAUAUAAGACUGGAGAUAUACAGAUAUUCAAAUGACAAUCCAACUACAUGUAAAUGCAUCAUGUAAGAACUACCAAGACGAAGAGAGUAUGAUGGAACCCUACAACUAUGCAUGACAGAAAAACACAGUUGAAGAUGCCAAACUAGUAAUAUCUGUAAGAUGGAAUCCACACAAUAAAGAAAGUAGUAUGUCCUCAAUACCAACAACAAUAUAAACGAAACAAACGAAUAACCAAACUUAAACAUCCUAAACACACACAGUUCCAACUGACACAAUUAGGUAGAUAGAUGCAGAAGGGGUGUAGUGACAAUAAAACAGUUAUCAGGUGAGCGACUACCAGUUAACAGCAGGACAUGAUUUGAAUCAAAAACGUCACACUUAUCAUCCUCAAACACAACCUUACACUUAGCAUCACAUAACUGACUAAUACUCAAUAGAUUGGACUUAAGACCCUUAACAAAAAGAAGCUCAUGACUAUUGAGCGAUCCAACCUCAGAAAAGUUACCUUUACCUUCAACCGAAAGCAUUUUACCAUUUCCAAAACUAACCUUACCUCCAUACCCAAGAGUCAAAUUGUCAAUUAGAGUCUUAUCACCUGUCAUAUGACGCGAACAACCGCUGUCAAGAUACCAUGAUGAAGACAUUGGUUCAACCAAACGAGCCAUGUGAGAUACCAUUUUCCUAGAUGCAUCCAUACUCCUAUCCCAGAAAUGUGGUGGUGGAGUAGGCAUGGGUGUUGUUUGAGGACGAUUUCCAUAAGGAGAAGUUCUGGGUAAACCCCACGGAGCAUAGCCAUUCCACAUGUAUAGAGCCUGCAUGGAGAAAGUAGAAGACUUGUUCCAAUAUGAAUUACCUGCAAAAGAGGGAUGAUGAGCAGGAUACAAAUUAUUCCAACAAAAAGCAGAAGUGUGACCCAUGCGACCACAUGUUAGACAUUUAAAGCCUUUGUGUCUAAAAUUCUUUUUCGGGACAUGCUUUACUCGAGUGACCUUGGGUGGGGAAACCACAGUAGACACCUGCACAGGAGCAGGAGAAGCGACACCUGUUGGUUUGACAAAAGUAGUACAGGAGGUACGAGCAGUAGAAAUAGGAACAGAUGUGUCAUAACCCAAGCCAGAUUUAUCUGAAUGGGAUUUACCAAUUCCCAGCAGAGAGUUUAGAUUAUCACUAGCUUUACCAAACCCAACCAGUUGUUUGUUAGCCGCAAACAACUCAGCUUUUACUUUUUCAUGUUCCAAUACAAGGGAUCGAUAUCGCGUCUCCAGUUCAUUAUUCAACUUUUCAAGAGUGGCAAUACGCACUUGGAAAUCCUCCUUUUCCUUCACAAAUUCUUCCUUCAACAUAUUGGAGUUACCUGCAAGAUUACAAAUAUCCUGCCCAAGACUAUCUACCUGUUCCUGUAAGACAGUGUUAGUUUUUUCAAGCAACUUUACUUGUUGCAUGGAAAACUUAUACAUAUCACAUAAUUCACUAGUAGUAGCAUGAACACCAGAAUCAGAAACAUUAGUAUCAUCAGUAGAGGAUACAGUACCUCCUGGAUGCUCAUCCAGGGAUGCACUGAAGACCACAUAGUUGGAGACAACAUUUGAGGAACUGCCAUCCUCAUCUUCAUCUGAAUCAUCCCACGUCACUGUGAGGUUUGCUUUGGAAUUAUCACCAGGUUUGCGACCCACCUUCUUGUCACAUUCAUUAGCAAAGUGUCCAUAUUCCCGACACUUGUAACAUUGGACAUUUUUACGAUCAACACGAGCUCUUCUUCCAUCCACAGAGAAUCGCUCAAAACCACGACUCCUAGGAGCAUUUGAGGAGUCAGGAAACCGCUUUCGAGGGUCUCGAUUCUGUUGAUAUUUCAGAAUCUUCUGAAAGCUACGUGACAAAAACGCAUAGUUAUCAUCCAUAUCCUGUUCUUCAUCAUCAGAAGGUCCUGUGAAAGUUUCUUUAGACGAUGUAGCUCUGAAUGCCACAGACUUGUUCUUCAAAGGUUCUUCCAUGGCCUGUUCCAUCUCACAUGUCCUUAGUUUCCCCGCAAGAGUCUCAAUGUACAUGUUCUUAAUCACAUUACUCUCAGUAAUGGCAUCCUUACGAGAACGAAACCGAGGAGGCAAAGCACGCAAUAUCUUACGUACCACUUGUGUGUCAGUAUAUACAUGACCAAUAGCCGCACUGCAGUUUAUGAUGUCUUGGAGACGAAUAAAGAAAUCAUCAAAAGUCUCAGAAUUAUCCAUCCGUAGAUUUUCAAACUGAGAUGUUAACAGUUCCAGCUUGCUUUCUUUGACAGUUUCGUCACCUUCAUGUGUACAGAUAAGCCUAUUCCAUGCAUCUUUAGCCUCUUCACAGCCUUGCACACGACGAAACUCACUGGCAUUUAAUGCCAUGAAAAUAGCAUUGAGUGCCUUAUUGUUAUAAUUCGCCAACAACUUUUGUUCAGAUGUCCACUUUUCACAUGGCGUCAAUGAUGUAACGGCAGUAUCACCAGUACCUGUAGUGGUCAGGGGUUCUUUCCAUCCUGUAACAACAGAAAGCUAGACUUCUUCUCCUAAGGCUUGGAGAUAAGCUCGCAUCCGUACUUUCCAAUGACCAAAGUCUUUUCCACUGAAUUGUGGAGGAAGACUUGAAGUAGCAAACUUGUGAGGUUCCAUAAAGCACUAUUGAUCGUUAGCGUGAGCCUUUACGCUCCUUAACCAGCCCCCAGCGACUGAUACCAAUUGAGAAACUACAAAUAUUGCUAGUAUAACAAUUGUAAAUUCAACCAAGCAAUCAAACAAUACGCAGAAACUAAAUAACACACAGAGAUUUUUAACGUGGUAAAACCCAAACAGGGAAACGUCCACGGUUGUCCUCGCGACAACAAAAUAAUCCACUAGAUGCAAAGAGAUGUACAAACCUAUCAACUACCUGCAGUCACUGCCAGUUGAUACUCCUGGUUAUCUCUAACACCUUGACUUCACCAGAACACCUUGAUGUACGCACAAGACACUCGACUUCUUGAUGAACACACAAGAAGACUCGAAGCCGAAUUCACAAUAACUCUUGAAGAUCACAAAGUUAUGAAUUGAGAGAAGGGGGAAGAAAGGGAAUUGAGUUCAAUAGCCACAAACACUUUCAAUACCAAAACCUAAACCAAAACACAUGACUAGAAGAAGAAUGGACGGCCAAAGAACUAACUUGUUCUUUGGAAGAGAAACCCUAUUUAUACUUAGGGUUGGAAACCAAGGAAAAUGGGCCGAAAUACUGAAAAUCCAUAUUGGACGUACGUACGUCGAAUCAACGUUCGUACGUCCCCACACGGUAAAAGUUUGCUGCCUGCUUGGACGUACGAACGUCCUAACUGCGGACGUACGUCCUGACCAAAAGAUGUUUGCUGCCUCAGUGGACGUACGUACGUCCUAACUAGGUACGUACGUCCAGUACCCAAUAACUUUUCCUAGACAGAACCAAGAGACACGAAGGACACGAGACGACCAUGCGUACAUCUUGAUUUUCCUAACAAUGAACUCAAGGCGAGAUAACCAAAGACACUUUGUCACAAAAUUGAUGUCAAACCACUUCGUGUCGGUUUCACUAUUGAUGUUAUGAAGUUUGCUUUCGUAGCUUCACGUAUGCAAACCAAGGAUCUCCAAGACCACAUUCUUCGAGGUUGUGAGACUGCACCUAUAGGUAAUGUUUUCGAUACUGCCAUUGUUAGUUUACAUAUUUCUAUACCUGAUUUUGAUCUCAGUAAUCUUGCUACAACAAGAUUAGUUUUGGUGUUGAGAGAGAAUUUGAGUUGUCAGCUAGAUAAAAGGCCGUGAUUGGGUGUGUGCAGUCAGAACAUGCCAAAGAUUCUCCUUGCUAUCCUGAUGGAAGGGUUUGGACAACACAUGACUCCUGUAGAAUAUCGUGUCAUUCUUCGUUAUCGAUUGAUGAUCCCUCUAUAUUCAGAUGGUGAGCUUUGCCUAGUAUGCAAGAAGAGCAGAUUUGAUGCUUUCGGGGACCAUGCGGCCCAUUGUAAGCAUUACCCCGGCUUCAAGUACAGACAUGACCACAUUAGAGAUAUCUUGUGUGAUGUGUUCUGGCGGGCUGGAGUACAGGUUAAGAAGGAGGCUCCUGUUAACUUUCUUAUUGAUCCUAAGGAAGGAAGAUCGACAUUACGUCCUGCUGAUAUUCUGGUCUACAACUGGUCUGAAGGUAAACAUGCGUGUGUUGAUGUUACAGGGGCGUCUCCAAUGGUUGGGCUGGGUGCUGGGAUUUUUGAGGUGGGGCUAGCAGCUAGCAAUGCAGCAGCAACAAAAAUGGAGAAACAUGACGGAGCUUGUAGGGCUAACCAACAUAGUUUCAUCCCUUUUGCAUUUGACACAUUUGGAUUGCUAGGUUUAGAAGCAGUUGAGCUCCUCAGGAGAGUGCAGAAGGUAAUGGAUAGCAACGUAAUGACUGCGGGUUCGAACGAAUAUGUAUUUAGAAGAAUCGGGUUUGCUAUCCAGAAAGGACUUGUCGCGCAGUUUGUAGUGCGUUUGUCCUCUACUUUUGUGUAAUUCGUUGAGCUUAUCAAUAAAAUUUAUUUAAAAUAAAGAAAAGCAAAAAAAAGGGGUAAAAUAUGAGCUGGGUUACCUUGUAAAUUUUUGCCCAGUUUUUGUUUUAAAAAAAAAAAAAACAACUUAUUUUGCGGCUAUUAAUUAAUUCGGCAAAGGUACUUGAAAAAUUAAAGUCUUGGAUUCAGCUUUACCAGCUAUGUAUGCUUCAUUGAUAUAUAGAUGCAAUUCCUACCUUUUCUACCUUGUCAUUAAAUUCAUGAUACUUUUAUCCGGCACUUUUAAGGCUUGUGCUUGCAUUUAUUUGAAAUGCACCUGCAAUAGUACACUGAUUAGGUCAAUACAUACAAUCCAAUCUUAAGACUAAACCUAAGAAAAUCAAUAGACCAGCUUUAACUUCCCAUGUUAUUGUUCUUGAAAAUUCCUGUUUAAUUAGCACAUAAUUGGCACAAUCUCUUCAAAUGUCGCAAAAGAUAGGUCUGUGGAAAUUGAAAUCUCCAGAAAUGUGAUAUGUAGUUUUGAGUUUUUAGUUUUGACAAUACUAUACAGUAGAAAGAACGAAAGAUUACAUGUAGUCUUGGGCUUGGGCCUAAAGAUUAGCCACAUACAAUUGUGCGCGUGGUUUCGAUGGUGGCGAAAUGGGAAAAUAUUGCGAAGGCACUUUGAAUAUUUCCGAUGGGAAAUAUUUGUAAAUGUUGUUAUUUUCGCUCGCUGGAAGAAUUUCCUGAUUUCCUUUCCGUCUCGUGUGUGUGUGUGUGGGGUUAGGGUUUUAAUCUAUCUCUCGACAACGAUACAAAUUAAGGUAUCCGAUCGUUAAAUUAUCCCUCUAUUCUCUUUGAUCUCUUUGAAAUUGAAUUUGAUUAUGUGAAUUGGUUCAGAUUUCGAGCAUGUUAACUUGUUGUUGUUGUUGUUGUUCAAUUUGCUCGUUUAAGUUAAAUUUCUCUUGUUGGAAACAAAUGAAAUCUACUCAAGUUUAAAUUUCUGCGUUCAAUUUGGUGAAGAAUGAGAUAAAUUUUUAUGUUUAAUUUUCCGGGAAGAUUCAAAGGUUGUAUAUUUGAUAAUAAGUUGGCUGUGAUGGGAUACUAAUGAGAUUUACUGAUCGAUAUAGGGGGCAGUGUAAAGGACUUGAUGGCACAAAAUAGCAGGAAGAAGCCAAACAUACUAGUAACUGGAACUCCUGGAGUAGGAAAAACUACAACCUCAUCUUUGCUAACUGAUGCCACACAGUUACGCCACAUCAACAUUGGGGAACUGGUGAAGCAGAAGAACUUGCACGACGGAUGGGAUGAUCAGUUUGAUUGUCACGUCAACCUUAACUUUGUGACCUUUUUUUCUUUCAUCUGGCUCGCUGUUUUUUAUUUCUAUAUCUUACUUAACCCAUGAAUCAAAUAACUUAAUCUAUCAUAUCUGUAUUAAUGUGAAUAAAGCUUAAUGAAUAUUUUACAUAGAGGUAUUUUUAUCAAUGAAUUAUAUGGUCAUUCUCAAGGAUUCCAAAUAAGUCAGGCAUGAAUAAAAUCAAGUUGUUAGUAUCAGUCGAUAGUCUGUAUACGUUUUCUUUUCGAGUAAUAUAGUGUACCAGCAGGUAAAGUAAUAAAUACCAUUCCUAUGAUUUUGGAUACUUAAUACCCUAUUCUUGGUUAGUUGGUAGGUGAAAUGCUAGGGUUCACAAAAUCAUUUCAGCUAAGCAUAAACUGAGCUACCGACUAAACUACAGUCGACAUGUGGUUUUGCAGGUUUGUGAUGAGCUUGAGGACAUUAUGGAAGGAGGCAACAUCGUGGAUUACCAUGGCUGUGAUGUUUUUCUUGAACGGUGGUUUGACCGUGUGGUGGUUCUUCAAACCAGCAACCCUGUGUUGUAUGAUCGCUUGAGUAACAGGUAACUUUACAUAAUGCUCAUCCUUAAAGUAUUCACUUUUGGGAUUACAUGUUUUGUUUGAAUUUAGACCAUUGGGACUUAGAAAUAUUAGUUCCACAUGAUUGAGUCUUUAGAUUAAGAUUUCUGUUCCAAAUAGGUUAUAGGUCUUUAGUCCCUCUCUGUCGUGUAAUUAAUGUAUCUUUGUAAUCUCAAUAAACCAUGUCCUUUUCCAUAGACCUGAAUUCUAUUGGUACCAAUAAAAUUUAAAGUAAAUAAACCAUGUAAUCUCAAUAAACCAUGUAAUCUCAAUAUAUGGAAGACGUUUCAUGGUUUGAAAAAUACGAUGGGUCGAUGGCAUUGGGUCUGCAAUGGGAGGUUGGUGGAGAUUUCAACAUAAAUGCAUGGGAGGAUAGUUAGUUCUCUGGGCUGAAUUCAUCGCUGCCACAUCUACAAAAAUCUCAUGCAUGUCGAUUUAAGAAAGUUUUUGAUUUUGUUCGUCGUGAAUUCAACUAUUACAAUCAUAUGAACGUGUUACAGAGUUUUGGCCACUCAAAUACACUACAGGAAUUCUUUCUCUCCCUUUGAAUUCUUGAAACAAAGCUGAUUGAUUCUAUUUUUCGGGUUCCAACCAAGUUCCAAAACUUUACUGUAAAGUCUACUUACCAUUUUACUGUAUAAUGUGUUAGUAGCUGUGAACUAGUGGGUAAUUAUUAGUGGAUCUGUCAUGGGUGGAAGUGGAUUGGACUUUUAAAUCCCACAUAUAUGGGCUUUCGUUGGCUGGCAUUUAUGUAUUUGGGCCCGUCUCAACUCUUUCAGUCUGUAACUUUUCUUCAAGCUUCAACGAUUUUAUGGAAAAAUAACUCUUCUCUGUUCCGAUUAAUUAACAAGUGUUUCCUCCCAGAUUGAGUUGGUGAAUUAUAGGUAUGUUUAUUCCAUUUGUUAAUUUAAUUAUUUUUUUCUAUAUGAUUAUCUUUACAAUUUUAUAUUUUCUUAUAUUUUGUAUAAACAACAUUGGUGUUAGAACUAAAUCAGAAAAUAUUAAGGGGAUCUAUAAGUGAAAAAAAAAAAACUUAUACGAAAAAAAUUAAAGAUGAUAUAAAAACAUGGAACAAACAAGCCAGAAAGAAUAUUAGAUUUAGAUAACACAACAUAACAUUACAAAUUAGAAUAUGAUCAUGAUCCAGUUAGAAACCAUGACCUAAAACGGUACAUAUAUAUGACACCUCUCUGAGAAUAAUAGGUCACACUUUACUAGCUAAAUUAUUCAAGAUCAGAGUACACAGUUAUUGUCACAACUUCUUGAUCAAUAAGCAAGCUCUCCAAUUCAUCACCAUGGCCGCUUCCUUCAAUAUGGAAACUAUGAUAUUUCUUGACCAGCCCAUUAAGCAUAACUGCCACUUCUGUCCUUGUUGGCCUAAUCCUUGGCAUUGCUACACAUCUAACUGCUAGUUUUGUGACCAUGUUGACUUGUUCUGUUUCACGUUCAUUAGCCACUCCAACCUUUAAGACCUGAUCGAGCUGAUUAUCUUCUGCCGCUGACGUGAAGGCAUGGACAAGAUUGAUCAUUUCUCCAGUCUGUCCUUGAGAAACUGGUUUUUGUUUGCUUAUUAGUUCCAUUAAAACAACACCAAAACCAUAAACAUCACUCUUUAUUGUGAGCUCACCUGUUUGUAGAUAUUCAGGAUUGAAGUAACACAUGGUUCCUUGCCCUUGUGUGGUUGCAAUAGUUCGAUCCAAUGGUAUUAACUUGGAAGCUCCAAAGUCGGACACUUUUGCAGUGUAUGUAGCAUCUAGGAGUAUGUUACUUGACUUAACAUUCCUGUGAAUUAUGGGUGGAUUUGCCUGUGAGUGCCUGCGCGGUCUCAGCAACAAUCCUCAAACAAAAACGCCAGGAACUCAAGAUUCUAGAGCUAGAUGUUUGGAUGUGGUGGGAGAGAGUUCCAUUUGGUACACAAUCAUAGACCAACAUUGGAACUUUGCUUUCCAAACAGAAACCCAAUAGUUUGACCACAUUCUUAUGAUUGAGUUUUGCAACAAUUUCAGCUUCAUUGGCGAACUGCUCAAUUUGGUUCUGAUCUACUACUUUCGAUUUCUUCACAGCAAUGUCAAACAUGUCUGCUAAUGACCCUUUAUAUACCCAACCAUUGCCCCCUUGGCCAAGAAGUCGCCAAGCAUCUAAAUAGUUAGUUGCCUUUUCUAACUGUGCCUCCUUAAAGCUCUUCACACUCAGGUGUUCUAAUAACAAACCUCCAUUUUUUCGAUGAUUUCUUUCUAGGAUUUUCUUUUUGUAUAUCCAACACAGGGUCAACACCAAAGUUGAAAGCAAAACACCACCUCCAAUAGCUAGAAAAAAGAGAAAUGUAUUCAUAGCCGGUCAGACAACUUUCUAAAGUUAAAACCAAAAAAAAAGGCAUAAAAAUCAUUCUGAUGUAAAAUGGUCAAUAAAUGUACUAUCUUAUGUAAAUUACAUCUAUCAUAUCUUACAAGUUUUCAACCAGGAUCAAGAAUAGGAUUACCGAAAAAGGCAUUAGUGAUGGUUUUGAGAUCGCAACUAACUUUACCAUUCCUUUGAUAACCAAAUGGGCAGUGGCAAGUGUAAUGCCCUGGCUUAUUUUCACACUUUCCUUGGCAGGGGUACUUAUCUCUGUAUUGUGGAGAGCACUCAUCAAUAUCUAGAGUCACAAAACAACCAUCAUGCAAAAACUGACAAACAUGAGAAGUGUCAGUAUGUAGCCGAACAACGUAUGAUAUCAAGGACCUGUACAGUCAAAUCUUUCAUGAGAUGUGAAUAAAAGAUCAAGGACCAGGAGUCUUAGAGAUCUAACUGUCCACAGAUUGGACCCAAUCCCAAUCUCAAGAAGAAAAAAGAGUGAUCAAUUAGAUUUGAUUCACAAAUCACAGGAACGUACCUGUGCAACCCUGCUUGGUAUAGGGGUUGCCUUUGUAUCCUUCCUUACGUAGACAACGAUAUCCAUAGCCAUGAUCUGAGAUGUUGCAGGUUGUAUGGAGACCACACAUGUAUUCAUCAUUCCCGCCUCCACCUUCUCUAAUAGCUUGUUCACAUGUCUUAUUACCUAUAGCCCAGUCGAUCACUGCAUUGUAGUAUUUAUGUUUUUCUGGGGUAUCCUUGAGACUGAAUAAUCUCGAGUGAUUCCUGAACCAUGUUUGUUCAGCCAAAAAACCGUAGCUGCGAGGAUUAGAAUCCAGCUGAUCGCUGUGGUAGUUAAAGCUAGAGAGAUUAAUGGUUAGUGACUGAAGGGGCUUGGGCACUGAAGUUUGGCAGCAUCCAAUUCCUGAACAAUCAGCAAUUUCUUGGGUGAAGUUUAUCGGAAUUUCGUUUAUAGUGUUGCUACUGCAUACUGAGAUACAGCCAGUAGAUAAUCGGUAUGACUUGCUAUCUGAAAAUCGAGUUAAUGUAUCACAGCCAAUGGCCAUGAACAUGGUGUGACUACUCGAGAUUGCAAAUGGGCUGUCUACAAAACUCAUCGUUUUAUUCUCUACCUUGGACACUCCUGACUUAUUGUAGCAUUUGUAGGCAAUAAGACUUUCGACAAUUACUAUGCCUUCUGCCACUGAUAUGUUGAGAAUUGGAUUAUUGUCCAAAAACAGUAGUUUAUUGAGAUUACAUGGUUUAUUGGUACCAAUAGAAUUAUAAACCUGAAUAAAAUUUAGGGGUAAGUCCUGGUUAAUGAGAAUUGAGCUUUAGAAUUUUGUCACCUACUUCUGACUAAAAUACCCUUUUAGUCAUGGUUUUUUGGUAAAUUUAAAUAAUACCUUUUAAGUAAUGGUUUUAUCGUAAUUUAACAUAUUUUUAUUUAUGGGCUGGAUUUUUAUUUAUAAGCAAAAGGUCCAAUAAUAAAAAAAAAAAAAUUAAAUUAAAAAAAUAUAAUAAACUCCUAUAAAAUAUUAAGAAAAACUACCCAAAUUUACUUAAGAAAUCAUUAUUUUAUAAGAUUUAAUAAAUUAGUGUAAUUUAUAAUAUUUUUAAAAAUCAAUAACUUAAAACUUGAAUGGUAAUCGAAAAUAGAUAAAUUAAAAUUAUACGCACCAGCUAAGACACUAGUAUACAUAAGAUCCCAAAAAAUAAAACAAUAUAAGUCCCAAAAUACGUUGAGCUCCCAAAUAAAGACUAAGAACAAUGAAGCACUAAAGAUCCCCAAACCAAAUAUAGAGGUCAUCAGAAGAAAAAAUAAAGUUCUACACAAAACCACUGAAAAUCCCCCCAAGAAAACAUAAAGAACAUCUUACUACUACUGUAAGAGCUUAUUUCAUAUGCUAUACCUAAAAUAGAGAGUGUUAUAUGCAAGAGAGAUAUAUAAUUAUCUGGCCUUAUUAAUAAGAGAUGUAUUUUGCAAGUGGAAAAAAAAACUUUUUACAAAGUUAUCAAACUUUAUAUGAUUGGGAUAUAUAGUUUACAGUAAACUGAUUAGUCAAAAGUUGGAUCCGUGGCGCAAUGGUAGCGCGUCUGACUCCAGAUCAAGAGGUUGCGUGUUCGAUUCACGUCGGGUUCAAAACAAUUGACUAAUCUUUUUCCCAAUUAAAUAUCACAUCAAAAUGACGAAAUUACCCUCAAAGUUUUUUGCGUGUUACUGAAGAACAACAAUCUCUCUCAGAUUGUCAAAACCCUAGGUUUAUUAUUUUUGUUGAAAACCCUCUUAACACUUUAUAUUCCCAUUCUUCCAUUAUCGAAGAACAAGUAGAGAAGAAUUACUAAAGAGCGAGAGAAAGAGAUGGAACAUCAAGAGAAAAACAAUGAAUACGAAAUACCAGAUAAAGGAUUGAUAGAUGCAGAUGUUCAGAUGUCUUCUACAGCUGUUGUAUAGGUGGCACUUACUAUAGCCUAAUUUUCUGUAUGUCUGUUGUAUUCUAUGUUUGUAUAGGUUAUCGUGGUGACCGUGGUAGAUACCGUGGCGGUGGUGGUGGACAUGGCGGGGAGGACUAUGGAUACCGGAGAUCACCUAGGCGCUCGCCCUAUCGAGGAAGCCGUGAUUAUUCUCCAAGGUGCUCACCUUAUGGUGGUAGGUCAAGAAGAGAACGCUCCAGGUCUCGAUCUUAUUCUCCUUAUGGUAGCCCAGUGAGGAAUUAUCGCCGCUAGUAACUUAGUUAACAGUUUUUCUGGCUUUUUGAGGCUUUUGGGAUCCUUUGAUCAUUACCAUUUUGUGGACCUGGUGUGGUAGAAUAACUUUAUGUUGUAUUUUGGGAUGUUGAAAACUUAGGCCAAGAACCGAUCAAAAAAAGAAAACUUCGACUAAGUUUGAUGUUUCUGUAAACCAAAGAGUGGCUUUGAUGUUUGUAUUCCCUUUUGGUUAUACUCUUAAUUCAAUUUGGAACAUAGAAUCUCUGAUUUAAUAUAUCUGUUUGAAUUUGCACUUAGUCUUAUUGUUGUAGUGCAUGUAUGAAUUUGCAGUCUUGCAUAGCAGUCAGCAGAAGCUUUUGAAAUUUGGCUGUAUCAACUGAUUGUAAAGACUUAAAAUUUACAUAAUGGGGAUUGGAAAGUUGAGCAGCUUGUUAUUAUUUUUUUUUAUGUGAUAAAGCAGCUUGAUGUUAAACCAUGCUGAAACCAUUCCAUUCAAGAUUUAUGGUGAUCUUUCAAUGCUGAAGACAGAUUUAGAUUUAUUGUGGUCUUCCCCAGCUUACUUGUCAAAAAAAAAACUUCUGCAGGAUGUCUUUUUACGAAUGGCCUUGUGGAUUUAAAGAGAUUAUUCAUAUUUCUCUCAAUCCUUCCACUUUCUCUUCUCCUUUUCAAUCUCAUUGAUGAUGCGACGCUCCAAUGGGGAACAGAUUCAACUGAACUUUUCUGAAUCUUAUUGAUGGCAUUACGCAAUAAGGUCCCAUAUCAGAGUGAUGUGGACGGUGAGCUUGUCUAGAAGGCACAAUUUUCUGUAGAGCCAUAGCUCAAAGUUGCAGUUGAUCAUUCUUUUUGUGACAAUACUAUAACAAUCUGGAAUUUCCCAUUUAUUUUAGCUAGUCUCCUGAAAUAGGUAAAAUUGAUAAAAAAUACAACGUACUUUACCACUUUUUCCCAUUAAUACAAUGUACAAAAAAACUGACCAAACAAUGCUUGUACUUUCGUUUUGUUUCCACGUUAUACAAUCUGUUAAAAUGAAGCUAACAGACUGCUUAUCUGUACAAGAUUAUCUGACGUGGCUUUAUCUAAUUAAGUUAAUUUGCUGAGGUGUAAAAAACAUAAUUAAAGUUUUAAUAAUCCACGUGUUAUCAGAUCUUAUUUCCACAUGUUUCGAUCUUAACCGUUUAUAAAAUCGCUCGUGAUUCUCACGUGAUUCUCUGUUAAUGCUUAUGGUUCUUAUGCAAGGAAACUUAAGCUUGAUAAUUCUAAACAAUUACGAGUUUUUGAAGAUUUGAGUAGAAAUUUUACGAAUUUGAUUACAAGGUAUUCCUUAUUUAAUACUGAACAAGCUAUUGAUGAAGAUGUUUUGAGACAAUUUGAGAAAGAAGUAAAAGAAAAGGUUAAAAUUGCUAGACAAUUGAUUUCGGAUGCCAAAGAGUCUUUUGAUAAUCAAAUUAAAAUUCAGAAACUUAAAGAUACAAUUUUUGCUGUAAAUGAACAACUUACUAAGACGAAAAAACAUGGGGCGUUUUCGAGUUUGAUUUCUGCUAAGUCAAUUCCUAAGAGUUUGCAUUGUCUUGUAAUGAGAUUAGUUGGAGAGAGAAUUGCGCAUCCGGAGAAGUAUGUUGAUGAUGGGGUGAAGGCAGUUUUUGACAAUCCAAAUCUUUAUCAUUACGCGAUUUUUUCAGAUAAUGUGAUUGCUGCAUCAGUUGUGGUGAAUUCUGCGAUUAAGAAUGCUGACGAGCCGUCUAAACAUGUGUUUCAUGUUGUUACUGAUAAGAUGAAUCUAGGAGCAAUGCAAGUUUGGUUUAAAAUGAGGCCUCCUCAGAAUGGUUCUCAUGUUGAGGUGAAAGCUGUGGAGGAUUAUAAGUUUUUGACUUCUGCUUAUGUGCCAGUUCUUCGACAACUUGAGUCAGCAUCUCUGCAGCAGUUUUAUUUUGAGAAUCGGGCAGAGAAUGCAACUAAAGAUGCUAAUAAUUUGAAAUUUAGAAACCAAAUUUGGUUUAAAACCAAAUUCACCAAACUUUUCGAAAGAAACCGAGAGAAAGAAAGAGAGAGAGAUUUGUAUGUUUGAGAUCUAGGGUUUUGGAGUUUAAGAAAGAGAUGACGAGUUCAUAUCAAAAGGAGAGAUUAUCAAUAACUCCUUUUAGUUUCAACACCAAUUUCAGGUAAUGGAACAAGUUCUGUUGAUGAAGGUCUUUCUUCUCGUCUUCGUGAAACUGGAUUUGAUGAAGAUUCAAUUAAACGGAAAGAUAGAACAGCUCUUAUUGCUUAUAUCACUAAACUAGAUUCUUCUCUAAUUUUGAUAUUAGAAAGCUAGGUUUUUUGAAACUUUGAUUUGGGGAAAAAUCGAUUUGAGAAGAAGAAGUGGUGGAACUAUUUUAUAAACGGUUGAGAUCGAAACAUGUGGUAACAACAUCUGCUGACACGUGGAUUAUUAAAACUUUAAUUAUGUUUUUUACACCUCAGCAAAUUAACUUAAUUAGAUAAAGCCACGUCAGAUAAUCUUGUACAGAUAAGCAGUCUGUUAGCUUCAUUUUAACAGAUUGUAUAACGUGGAAACAAAACGAAAGUACAAGCAUUGUUUGGUCAGUUUUUUUGUACAUUGUAUUAAUGGGAAAAAGUGGUAAAGUACGUUGUAUUUUUUAUCAAUUUUACCCCUGAAAUAUUCAAUUCAGGGUGGCUUCAUUUCUGUGGGAAAGCAGGUUAUACUCUGAUGUUAUCCUCCUCUCACUAAAUUGAGAAUCCUUGUGCAUAUUGAUUUCUUUUCUCUAAUGUCAGUUGGUUCCAUUCCCUUUUGUUCCUUACCGAAGAUUGGAUCUUCGUCUUUACUGGUGUCUUAGCUCAUGCUCAUGCUACGCACGGGUUAGUUUUAUUUUCAUCUUUAUAUGUUCCCAUUUCUUUUUCUUACUAAAACAAAUUUUAUUGAUAGGCUCAAAGAAUUACACAAAAGUAGAGGACAAACACGCUAUAAACUACGCGGCAAGUUCUUUCUGAAUAGCAAACCCGAUUCUCCUAAAUACAUAUUCAUUCGAACCUGCAGUCAUCACGUUGCUAUCAAUUACCUUCUACAUUUUCCUGAGGAGCUCAACUGCUUCUUAACCUAGCAAUCUAAAUGUGUCAAAUGCAAAGGGGAUGAAACUAUGUUGGUUAGCCCUACAAACUCCAUCAUAUUUCUCCAUUUUCGCUGCUGCUGCAUUGCUUGCUGCUAGCCCCAUCUCAAAAAUCUCAGUACCCAGCCCGACCAUCGGAGAUGUCCCUGUAACAUCAACACACGCAUGUUUACCUUUUUUUUAAUUAAUUAUUUAUUUAUUUUUAGUUUAUGUAGUCGUUAUAUUUUUCCAUUAAUAAUGUAAAUGCACAUUGUAAUGAAAUACAAAAUAAAUUAAAAAGACUCAUGAAAUUAAGAGUAUUCUUUACAUGUAUAAAUAAACUCUUAAUGAAUAAUGUGUCUCAAAAUUAAUUUAAAAUCAAUAUAUCUUAACGUAAACAUAAAUAGUCACUUAAAGAUUUUGAAAACAUCUUAAAUAAAUAUUGCUACUUAAUCUAAUUUAAAGAAAUUGGUACCAUAAGUUGCUUCAAUAUCAACUCCUUUCUUUUAAUUUUAGGCAUUUGUUUAUUCUUUCUUUCAAUAUUUAUUUAUUUUCAUAAGAGUUUACCAUCAAAAAUUAUUAUUUUUAUAAUAUUUUAUUAAUUAUUAUUUUAAUUAUUGGGCCUUUUGCUCAUAAAUAAAAAUACAACCCAUAAAUAAAAAUAUAUUAAACGAUAAAAUCAUUACUCAAAGGGUAUAAUAUAAAUUUACCAAAAAACCAUGACUAAAAAGGUAUUUUAGUCAUGACAAAAUUCUAAAGCUCAAUUCUCAUUAACCUCGUUAAUGUCAAUAUUGUCCCUCUUUAAUCACUGCGGAUAUCCAACAGUAGAGGGUUUUGGAUCAGGACUCACCUAUAUGGUUUUUCCCAAAAAACUUUGACAUUAGUUAGAGUAUGGUUAAACUCUAUAUACUACCGAUACAACCACUUCCUACUCAUGGGUGUUACAUCUUCCUUUCUGAAAAAUAAAACUGGUGAAGAUAUUGUAAGAGAGAGACCACAGUGUAAAAGUGUUGCGCCAAAGGUUUCCUGCCCUCUUCCUCACGACCUCACUCCUACUAGUUUCAACUAAGUAAUGGUUCAUUGUGUUAGGUAGAGUUUGAGUAGGAGUCUUUCAUGUUAUCAAUUGUAGCCUAUAAAUAGCCACCAAUAGUAGUUUGUUUUUCAAUAGAUUAAGGUUUAAUACAAUCAAGUUUCUUCUCCAUAUAUUUUCUUUGUUAUUGUUUUCUUCUAUAGCUUAGGUGAUAAACUCCUUCAAUGGUAUUCAGAGCCAGAGCAGAUUUCUCUUCCGUUAUAAAGAGAUGGCACUCAAUGGUUCCUCAAUUCAACCAUUUCUUCCAAAACUCGAUGGAUAGAACUACGAUCGGUGGAGUAUCCAGAUGAAAGUAUUGUUUGGGUAUCAAGAUAUACUCGAAGUUGUCGAGAACGGAGUUUUAGAUUCAACCGAUGCUACUGCAGUAAAGGAAAGCAAAAAGAAGGAUAGAAAAGCUUUGUUUUUUAUCUACCAAGCAGUAGAUGAAACAAUUUUUGAAAAGAUUUCUGCAGCGACUACGACAAAGGAAGCAUAGGAUAUCCUAGAAACCUCUUACAAAGGAGUCGAGAGAAUGAAGAAGGUAAGACUUCAAACACUUCGCAGACAGUUUGAGCUUUUACAAUUAGAAAAAUCUGAAACUAUUUUCGAUUAUUUUGAUCGUGUUCUUGCAUUGACUAAUCAAAUAAAAGCGAACGGAGAGAAAAUAGAUGAUGUUAAGAUUGUUGAAAAAAUUCUACGAACAUUGACAAUGCGUUUUGAGCAUGUUGUUGUUGCGAUUGAAGAAUCGAAGGACUUGUCAAAGAUGUCGGUUGACGAGUUGAUGGGAUCUUUACAAGCUCAUGAACAACGCUUGAAUAAGAUAUCCCCUGCUGAAAGUUCUCAAGAGAAAGCCCUCCAAACCCAACUUGUAAGUCAAGGUGAGAAAUCUGACAGAAAUUCAGAGUAUGAUAAAGGCCAGAGAAGUCGCGGCAAGAGCCAUGGAAGAGGAGGAAGAGGACGAGUUGGCAGAAAUAAUUAUGGACGUGGCAGAGGAAGAGGACGAAGCAAUGGGUGGCAGUCAUAAUCAACCCAUUACUCCUCUCACAGAGGUCGAGGUCGUGGAAGGUAUGAUAAAUCAUUAGUUCGUUGUUAUAAUUGUAAUGAAUAUGGCCAUUAUGCAUACGAGUGCAACUCUAGCCAGGAAAAUCAGGAUGGAAAGCAUGCUCGCUUUGCGGAAGUUGAAGUCUCUCAUAGCUUGCUGAUGGUGUCUUCAAUAACAGAAUUACCAAAUUACAAUACUUGGUAUCUCGAUACUGGUUGCACAAAUCAUCAUAUAUGUUGUAGGAAGCAGAUGUUCAUCGAUUUAGAUGAAUCUGAACGUAGUAGAGUGAAGUUUGGAGAUGAUAGUACCAUACCGAUAGUAGGGAAAGGAAGGAUUCUUAUUAAAUUGAAGAAUGGAAAUCAUGAAUAUAUCUCUAAUGUGUUCUAUGCUCCGAACAUGAAAAACAACCUGGUUAGCUUGGGGCUUGGUGGAGAAAGGCUAUGAUAUGCGAAUCUGUUAAACUAGAAUAAACGUUUACAAUAAAAAAGGUAAACUUAUUCUUAUUGCUCCUAUGACUAAAAAUAGGAUGUUCGCAUUGAUAUUCAGAAUGAUGUUUAUCCUUGUUUUAAUGCUAUUGUGAAAGAUGAAUCCUGGUUAUGGCAUUUGCGGUAUGGGCAUCUCAAUUUUCGAAGCUUAAAAUUACUUUCUCAACAAGAUAUGGUGACGGGUUUACCGUUGAUUGAUCAUCCAAAUCAGAUUUAGUGAGGCGUGUAUUUAUGGAAAACACCAUCGCAGUCCUUUUACAGGUGCAAGAAGUUGGUGUGCAACAAAUGUUCUUGAGCUUAUCCACUCUGAUGUGUGUGGACCGAUGAAUACAGUAUCAAAUGGAAAGAAUCGAUAUUUUCUAACAUUUGUUGAUGAUUAUAGCAGGCAUAUGUGGGUGUACUUAUUGCAGCACAAGUCUGAAGUUUUAGAAACUUUCAAGAGCUUCAAUUAAUACGUUGAGAAACAAAAUGGUUCAUAUAUAAAGGUGUUGCGAACAAAUGGUGGAGGCGAAUAUGUUUCAACUGCGUUUAAUACUUUUUGUGUUGAACAUGGUAUUAAGUAUGAAGUAAUAGUUCCAUACACACCGCAACAUAAUGGGAUCGCAGAAUGGAGGAACAGAACAAUUCUUGACAUGGCAGGAAGCAUGUUAAAAGCAAAAGGUAUGCCUAACCGAUUUUGGGCGGAAGCCAUUUCUUUUUCUGUUUAUCUAUUAAACAGAUCACUAACUAUAAGUGUGCAGAAUAUAACUCCAAUUGAAGCUUGGAGUGGGUAUAAACCUAGUGUAAAACACUUAAAGGUUUUUGGUUGUGUUGCAUACGCUCAUGUUCCUAGUGCAAAGCGAACAAAGUUGGAUGAUAGAGGUGAAAAAACUGUUUUCAUUGGGUAUAAGUCUGGACUCUCUAGUGGUUAUAAACUCUUUAAUCCUAUUACAAAUAAGGUGAUUAUAAGUAGAAAUGUGAUUUUUAAUGAAGACGAGACUUGGAAUUAAAAUGCACCAGAUGAACAUAGUCCACAUCAUGUGAUUCGAUUGGACUUAGAAGCUGCUGAAGAUGUCUUACCAACUCCAGCUCCUUGUACCUAUGAAUUACAGGUUCCAAAUGCUCCAGUUCUAGCAGACAACCCUGUGACAGCGACGGUUAAUAUUGACGCUGGUAGACCAGCGCGCACUAAGCAACAAUCUUCUCGCUUUGCAGAUUUUCAGGUAACUCCAGAUAUUGAAAUUGAUGAUGAUGGAGAGCUUGUUCAUUAUGCUAUGUUUGCAGAUUGUGAUCCUAUUUCAUUCAAAGAUGUUGUUGGAGAUGAUAAAUGGGUUCAAGAUAUGAAUGACGAGCUCAAUUCCAUUGAAAGAAAUGGGACAUGGGAGUUAACUAGUCUUCCACAUGGAGCAAAAGCCAUUGGUGCGAAGUGGGUUUUUAAAACAAAGUUGAAACCCAAUGGAGAAGUCGACAAGUAUAAAGCACGCUUAGUAGCAAAAGGUUACAAGCAACACCUCGGGUUAGAUUAUAAAGAGGUCUUCUCAUCUGUUGCUCGAAUUGAAACUGUGAGACUAGUUAUUGCCUUAGCUGCUCAAAGGAAUUGGAAGAUUCACUAAAUGGAUGUAAAAUCUGCGUUCUUGAAUGGUUUUCUUGGAGAAGAAAUAUAUGUAGAUCAACCUCUCGGCUAUGUGAAAAAAGAAAGUGAGAAGAAAGUCUAUCGUCUUAAGAAGGCGUUAUAUGGUUUGAAACAAGCACCACGUGCAUGGAAUACUAGAAUUGAUAAUUUCUUCCAAGACAAUGGUUUUCACAAAUGCUUAUGUGAAUAUGCAUUGUACUUGAAAACAAAUCAGAAUGGUGAUGUUUUACUUGUCAGUCUCUAUGUUGAUGAUUUAAUUUUCACCGGUACCAAUUCUAAUAUGUUUGUAAGAAGACAAUGGAGCAGGAGUUUGAAAUGACUGAUUUAGGUAUUAUGACAUACUUCCUUGGAAUUGAAGUCAUUCUAGGACAUGAUGGAAUUUUUAUCUCUCAAAAGAGUUAUGCGUGUAAGGUGUUGGAGAAAUUUCAGAUGUUUGACUGCAAUCCCGUAAAGACGUCAGUUGAAACAGGAACAAAAUUAUCUAAAAAGGGUGAAGAUGAUCAGCUAGUUGACUCCACACCAUUUAAGCAAAUUGUGGGCAGUUUGAGAUACUUGACUUGCACGAGGCCUGAUAUCUUAUAUGGAGUUGGACUGAUCAGUAGGUAUAUGGAGACACCUAGCUAGGCAAUCUCAUCUUCAAGUGGCGAAAAUAAUCUUGCGCUACAUCAAAGGGACCUAUGAUCAUGGCUUAUUUUAUUCUCGUUCUAACAAGUUUGACCUUGUAGGAUUCUCUGAUAGCCAUUGGGGAGGUGAUCCGGAUGAUAGAAAAAACACUUAUGGCUAUGUUUUUAACAUUGGUUCAGCAGCGUUUUCAUGGACAUCCAACAAGCAACCCACCCAUUGUUGCCUUGUCCACUUGUGAAGCAGAGUAUGUUGCAGCGGCUUCAAGUGCAUGUCAAGCUAUUUGGUUGCGGAGUUUGCUGAAGGAAAUUAGUUUUCCAAUGAACAACCCAACAAGAAUAUGGGUUGAUAAUGUGUCUACAAUUAAUCUCGCGAAAAAUCCAGUCACUCAUGGAAGAAGCAAACACAUUGAGACACGUUACCAUUUCAUUCCUGAUCAUGUCAAGCAAAGUGACAUUGAGAUAGUUUAUUAUCGAUCUGAAGAUCAAGUGGCAGAUAUUUUUACAAAACCGUUGAAGUUGGAUGUUUUUGUGAGGCUGAAGAAGAUGCUGGGAAUGCAACCUGGACUAGGGGAGGAUGUUUGAACUAGUCCAGAUUAACUUUUGAAUUAAGGGAGGAUGUUGAAGUUUAUCCAAAAGUUAUUUAAUUUUAUUAGAAGUCUAGAGUUGAUUAAGUAUUAGUUCAUUGUGUUAGGAAGAGUUUGAGUAGGAGUCUUUCAUGUUAUCAAUUGUAGCCUAUAAAUAGCCACUAAUAGUAGUUUGUUUUUCAAUAGAUUAAGGUUUAAUACAAUCAAGUUUCUUCUCUAUAUAUUUUCUUUGUUAUUGUUUUCUUCUAUAGCUUGGGUGAUCAGUGGCGGAGCUAUAUAGUAGCUAACUGGGGCACGUGCCCCAGGUGAUUUCCCAAAAAUUGUAUAAUUUUUUUUUUCUAACCCUCAUUUGUUUAUGAUCAUGUCUUAUGUUCAUGUGAAGUGUUGAUUUUUCUUAACUACCAAAUUCAUAGACAACUUUUGUUGACUGGACUCUUUUACCAAACAUAAUACCCAACUGUUUUUUUUAAUUCAUGGGCUUGGACUGGGCUUGCUUGAAUCAAAAGAGAAGUAUGGGGUAGACUAUUCUAAUAAUCAAUUGAUUACUCAAGCUAAUAAUCAAAAUAAAAGUUUGUAAUUGUCUCUCUCCUGAACUGUUUUCUAGUUUAAUUUUUUUUUUUUUAAAUUUAGUCAAGGCUUUAGUUUGUUUUGGUGUUAUUUGUUCGAUUUGAUUUUAUUUAGGUAUUCUUGUGAUGAUGGUUACUUCCUCAUUUAUUUAUCAUAUCACAAAUCAUUUUCAUUCUUCAAAUUUUGAACAUUCCAAUCGUCGAAACAAAAGAGAAAAAAACAAAAGACUUGUUCAAUUAUGUAUAUAGAAAAUUAUAUCUUCGAUGCUAUUUACAAUCAAAAAUUAUAUAUGGGCAAAAAGAAUUGAUCUAAUGGUAUAACUAGAGAUCCUAAAAAAACAUUUACAAUUUAUUCAAAAAAAAAAAUAUUACAAGUCAUUUAACUAAUAUUUAUUUACUAAUGAAUUAGCUUUGCUUGUUCGAUAGAGUCAUAUUUAAGAAAAUUAUUUGUUGGUGUAUUUGGUAGGGUGCCCCAGGUAAGUUAAAUUCCUGGCUCCGCCACUGUAGGUGAUAAACUCCUUCAAAGAAGAUCAUAUUUGAUAUUAAUCAUUGGAAAAUUUCUUAAAAAACCACCACAUUUAGGUGCUUCUUCCCAAAUAGCCACUCAUGAAUGCUAAUCUUCCCAAAUAGCCAUUCUACCCUACUUUCCUAAAUUUUCUUUAUUGUUAUACCCUUUUGCACAUUUGUUGCUCUUGUCCCCAUCAAAUCAACCUUUUAAGCAACCGUAUACCAACUCUGAAAUGUAUUUAAGGUUUAGACGACGACAUGAAAACAAACCUAACCGUUGGAUUAAAAAGAUGAUAUCCCUACCGUUGGAUUUUUUAUUAAUGUACUACACAUACAACCAACAACACAGUGUCGUCUUCAUCUUCUUCUACUUUUCAAUCUUCUCUGAACCUUAAUACAGUUUGUUCUUCACCUUCUUUUACAUAUUAUUCUUCUAUAAAACCUUAAACACACAAAUAUUGUGGUUCCUUGUUAUAUUGUACUUCUUAUCAACCAAAAUGCCACCCAAGAAAAAAAGGGAAAUCUAAAGCUUUGAUUGCAAAGGAAGUGCAGAUCAACAAUAAAUUAGGUAAGCUUUAAAUGUUCUUAAAUAUGAAGCUUUGAAUGCUUGGACAAUAAAGUAGGUGUUGUUGUUUGCCUUUGAAUGCAGUAGGUGUUGUUGAUUUUUGUAAGCAUUUUAACAUACGUUUUGUUCUGUUUUAUGACAAGAAUGUGGUGAAGGUGUUGGUGAUUUAAAGAUGGUAUCUUCAUGAAAAGAUAAAAUCUUUAUAAAGAUACCAUCUUUAUGAACCCUAACCUUCAUAAAGAUAGAAUCUUUGAUAAAGAUUGUGUAUUUAUGAAACCCUAAACUCAUAAAAAUUGAAUCUUUAAAAAAAUAUUGUAUCUUUACCAAACUCACAUCUUCAUAAUUGAGAGGCAAACUAACAUAGAUGGUGUUUGAUUUCGAUUGUAGUUCAUUGUUAGUUUACUGGAAUACAUCUGAGGUCCAUGUCACUCUGUUUUAAAACUAAACUAUAACUUAUAUUAUAUUAGAGGCUACAUGAAAGUAUGUUAACCGACAUGUUAGUUACGUUUAACCGAUAUGUUCUUAUAGUUUGCAUGAUAUUGUGGUUUCAGGUAGCACGAUCAAUGUUGUGUUUCGCUAUGGUGGUCAGGUGGAGAUUAAUGUAGAUGGAUUGUUAUCAUACAAAAAUGGUGACACAAAAAUAACAGUUUGGGAGUUGAAGGCACCAUAUGAAGAGUUUAUGGAGAUGGUUGAAGAUAUGACUUAAACACAAAGACACAAAUUUGUAAUUCAAGUUGUCGUCAAUGACAAUGCACGUAACAUUCAUGCUCAAUCUGACUAUGAUCAAUGAUGUUGGGGAUUGUUGCUGCCAAGAAUUUAUAUGUCAUGUCUGUUUGGAUGGUGGAAGGUUUACAAUCAAUGAAUGGGGAAUCAAGCUCCAAAACACAGAAAAAUGUGAAAGAAAAGGAGAAAGUAAUUGAGAAAGAAAAAGGUAAAGGAAAAACUGGAUUGAAAAAAAAAACUUUUCCCAGAACCUACUCCUCCAACAGAUUAGGGUAAUCAACCUGAUUAUUCAGAUUUUUCCACACCUGUAAAGCAAGGUUGUAUUUCUUCCCAAUAUCUCCUAGACCCUGCAUCAGCAAAGAAGAGCCAUGUUAUCUUCUCAAAGGGGUAUAGGAAUGAACAACAACCUCUUGUAUUGGAUACCCCACCUGGGACUUAUCCCCAAGUUGUUAUAACAACUCCCCCUCCUGCUCCUUCUAGAUUUUCAUCUAGGAGUGAAUCUCUAUUGGUGGCUAAUGUUGUGCAAAUUGGAGUUGAUAAUGAAGUUGGGUACAGAUCUCAGACAAUAUCCUCUAAUAUUCAAGAUAUAUCCUCUAAUAUGCCCAAGUCAUCCGCUAAUAUGGGUGAUGCAGCGGCAAUUCUUUCUGAGAUGUGUAAUAAUGAUGGAUUUUGGAAAGGAUUCUCAGAUGAAAUUGAAGAAUAUAAUGCACUGCAACAAAAAAGAUGCAUGAUAUGUAAAGUUCCAACUUGCCCAUGGUAUGUUCGUGCUACACCAAAUAUGAAUGAUACUUGGCAAAUAAGAUACAUUGCUGAGCGUCACACAUGUGGGAAAUUCAGACUUGGAUCAAAAAAUCGUCAAGCUGAUAAUGAUUGGGUUGCAUCUAAAAUUGCGAGAAAAUUACGGGAUAAUGAAGAUCUUACAUCCAAACAACUGAAAAACCAAAUUGAGGAGGAAUAUCUUACCCAGAUUUCAUACAAAGUUGCUUGGAGGGCUAAAGAAAAGGCAUUGGCCAAGGUAUUGUUCUGUUUAAAAUUGCACCUUCCUAUCUUAUCCUCUAGUUCAUUCACAUAUGUCGGCUAAUAGCUUGUGUUAUUUCCUCUAAAACGUAGUAUGUGCCUAUAGUGCGUUAAUGUUAUCCUCUAAAUAUGUAAUUUAUAACAGCUAAUUAGUCUGUUUAUCCGCUAUUUCUAGUUAAGGGGAAGCUUCAAUGAGUCAUAUCAACAACUUGAAACAUACUGUAAUGAACUUAAGUUGGUCGAUCCCGAUUCUCAGACUGAUAUUAUCACAGGCCCUGGUGAUGAAUUCCAAUGUAUGUUUUGGUCAUAUGGUAUAACUGUGAGAGCUUACAGAAGCACAUUAAGAUCAGUAAUCAUUAUAGAUGAAACAUUUCUGAAAGGAAGAUAUCCUGGAGUUGUACUAUCAGCAAUUAGAAUUGAAGGAAACAAUCAUGUGUUCCCUAUUGUUUUUGCCCUUGUGCAAAAAAGAAAAAACAAUGAGUAUUGGGAAUGAUUUCUUGAAAAACUUAGGGACCAUGUGGUUGGGAUUGACCACGAGCUUGUGCUUCUGUCAGAUAGGCACAAAAGUAUUAUUCAAGUUGUACCAAAGAUUUUGCCCAAGGCUUGUCAUAUAUAUUGUGCCCAACACAUGUCCCUUAAAUAUGGGAAUGCAAAAGUAAGGUGGUUGCUUAAAGAGGCUGCAAAGACACUCAAUCAAAAUGAGUUCUGGGGUUUGAUGCUGCAAAUAUAGGCCAUAUCGCCAAAGGCAUACCACAGCCUAAUGGCAAUUGGACCAUUAAAUAAGUGGGCAAGUGCGUUUCAGGAGAAACCCAGGUCGGUACUCUAUUCAUUUUAUCUAUCCUCUAAUUGUAUACUUUACAUCGGUUAAUAUGCUGCAUAAUAUCUGCUAACAAUAUACUUUAUAUCCUUUAAUAAUGCAGAUAUGGAAUUAUUUACACCAAUCAUGUGGAAUCGUGGAAUAGAAUGAUUAUACCAAAAAGAAUGCUUCCUACUACAAAUCUGGUCGAAGGAAUUCAUGCCAACAUCAUGAGGCAUCACAGAGAUUAUCGUGUUGAUGGUGAGAAAUUCAAGACACCUGUAACUAAGUGGUGCCACGAACAAAUUUUGCAUAAUACUUGGAGAGGUAGAACCUUCACUUGUGAGAAGACAUCUCCAACUAUUUGGACAGUUUAUGGUGAGAGCAGGACAUGUGUGGUUGACUUGAACACAAGAGAAUGUACAUGCAAAUGGUGGCAAACUAUGGGAAUACCAUGUGAGCACGCAAUGUCUGUUAUUGGAGAAUGUCAAAUGGAUCCAUACACAUUUUGUGGUGUAUACUACAAAAGGGAGACAUAUAUGGAGACCCACAAAGAAAAUUGGAGACCCACAAGAGGAAAGGAUGAAUGGCCAAAGGAUAGAGUAAGCAGAAAGAUCCUUCCACCACUACCAUGUGUUAUGCUUGGACGUCCAAAGAAAAAGAGAAGGAGAGGCAAACUUGAAGGUAUCCCAGUACAGGAGAGAAGAUGCUCAAGGUGUAGGGGAAGAGGACACAACAAAUCAACAUGUAUCGAAGUUGUACCAGACUUUGACUAUUUUUUCCAACCUUUACCUGAUGGACCACCUGAUUCCUAUUAAGUGUUGGGAGUUUUUUUUUCUAAGUUAUGCCUUUUGAAGUUGUACCAGACUUUGACUAUUGUUUCUAUGUUUGCCUUUUAUAUGGCACAUUUUGUAUGUUUACCUUUUAUAUGCCACAUCUUAUAUUUAGUUGGAAGUUUGCUUAGUAUAUUAAUGUCUUUUGCAUUACUAACCUAGAGAUUACAUCUGUAUCCUCUACUUUGAAUGAACAAUAUCUCUAAAUAGUAAACAUUUAUCCUCUAAUAUAUACUAAAUAUUGGUACUAAAGAGAAUGUUAUAUAAUAAUACUUUUAUUUAUUUGUAGUAAAGGGAAAAGAAAGGGAACCCUAAAGAAAAAGGGUUUGUACAUCCAAGAAAAAAAUAACACUUCAGCAAAAAAAAAAAAUACUUUAGCAAAAAAAAUCUUAAAAAAAACACUUCAUCUCCUUCACUCUUCAUCAUCAUCAUCAUCACCAUCGUCCUCUUCUUCAUUUUCACCAGAAAAGCUGCUCUCCACCUCAUCAUCCUCAUUUGGGCUAUCCUUAUCUUUUGUAGCAACACAUUCUUGGGAAGAAGGCACAUCACUAUCAUCAAGGUACUCUACAAGAGGAUUAGGCUGGACAAAAUUUGCAGUAUCUCCGGAAUCCUCUCCAUCAUCAUGUUUUUCUCUUCACUUGCUUUAGAAUCCUCAUCCUCGUCAUCUUCUUCUUCUUCUUCACUUUCAUCCCCAUUGAAAUUGUCUGAUAUUUCGAGAAGCUUCAGAUGUACUUCAUCUUUUCCAUCUUCAGCAAUGAGUAUUUGCAUUGCAAGCUUAGCAGAGAUUUCACUCAAUGAAGCCAUUUUCACUCAAAUAAGCUCUCAAGAAUGGUUUGGGUUGUAACCUCACCAUGGUUUUAUACUAUUAGAAUUUAAUAAAGUGCGAAGAUCAAGAUGCGAAUUCCAAGCAUUUGACUUUACAUUUCACCUGCCAACUAAUCUUCUUUAUGACCAUUUAAGAACAGUUAACACAAACCCCAAAAAAAGAGAAUAGUUGUACCAAAAUACAUUGAACUGAAAGUUGUACCAAUACAUUGAACUAAUAAAUAAUUUUACAAAAGUUCAAAAGUUUUUCAGUCCUCUACACUGUAGGCACCCCCUUACUUGGUGGCUUCAAUCCACAUUGAACAAGGUCCAUAGCAAUACGCUUCCUCAUAAGAGUAAACAUUCUCUUGAAAUCGAGUUCUCUACCCCUGACUAUACAAUCAAUGUAACCAAACAAAAAAACUCCACAACUGUGACCAUCAUCUUGUUCUGGGCAAUUCACAAAUUCCCUUUCCCAUCCAAAUUCCAAGUCAAAAUCUGGAAUGUUAGGGUCAGCAACAAAUACCACGUAAGGCAACAUCUUCUCCAACCCUAGUUGUUGUCUUGAUGGUCUAUUCAAGCCCAAAGAGUCAUAUAUUCUCACCUUCUUUUCCCUAAAUCUAAAACUCAAGAGUACCCAGUGGUUAUCAUUGACCUGCAUUAUUAACAAAUUUUAAUAAGUGUUUAGCAGAUAUUAUCCAUGCUGUUAGAGGAUGUGUUCAAUGUAGAUUAGAGGAUACAAAGUGAAUACACUUACUUGUAAAGGAAUAAGGAUAGCCUUUGCAUGGUAAGGGGAAACUUGGUUCUCCAUAUGACCAGUAGGGCUCAUAAUGUUUAUGGCACAUGUCUUAAUUUUGAAUGCACCACUCCUUACUCUGUUUGCUAGUGAUAGUGCAGCAAAAGUUGGAUCCCUCAUAAGCCUAUUGUAUGUAUAUUGGACAUCACCAUAAACCAUGCCCUGAAACAACCAAAAAAAUAUAUUAGUACCAAAUAACUCAUAUUGUAAACUCUAAAUAACAUAAUUGUAUCCUCUACUCAAAGGUUCAAGCAUAAGAGAUUAAUAUAUAUAUAUAUAUAUAUAUAUUUACAACAAAAUAUAUUGUUGGAACAAUAGCAUACUGAUUAUUUGCAUUGAUAUGCCUCCUCAUCAUUCCAUACCAACGAAUGAUCAAGCUAACAUAGGCUUCAAUGAUAUCUCUAUGCACCCAAUUAGUGUUCCAUAGGCUGUAGAACUGUUUCACAUGGACUUCCAGUCCAUAUCCAUAAACCAUCAUAACUUUAUGCUCAAAAUUUGGCUCAUUUGCCAACCAUCAGUAAUAGUUCAAAACAUCUGUCUCAUUAUGAGUUGUAGUUCUGUCUAGAAAUGACAUGCCCAUGGUAAUCAUCAGCUGAGCAUCAACUUUUUUCCCAUCUUCCUUCCCCUAAUCCUUUUUUCUCAAUCUUUUUUUUGGUGUUGUUAAAGUCAUCAAUAGCUUGCUUAUCCACUUCUUCAUCUUCUUCUUCACCAGUGAAAACUAUAUCAUCUUCAUGAUGUUCAACAUUACCCAUCUCACCAGCUGAUACACCAUCUAUUUCUACUAAAUAUUCUUCAGGAAUAUUCUUAGGAGUUGGAAUGUCAACAUCAAAGCUAUAAUCUUCUUCUUCUUGCCCAUCCUCCUUAGCAUCUACCUCUUGAAUUUUAGCAGGCAAGCUAUUUAUUUUAGCUACCAACUCUUUCACUUCUUGCACAUCAGUAUUCUUAGUCUUGAGGAUGGCCAACUCCUGCACGUCAGACAUGGUAGUAUCAAGAAUAUCUGAUUAGGCCAACCUUGCCAUUCCAUCAGCAACAAUAACUUCUUGUGUUGUAUUUUCUUCACUUUGAGCCUCUCCACCCUUCUUAUCUUCUCCUUCAACCUUUUUUCUCCUUCAACCUUUACCGCAACCUUUCCUUCACUUUCAUUUUUUCCUUCUCCUUUAACUUUUUCUUCAUCAUUCUUUCCUUCUCCUUCAACUGCUCCUUCAUCAUUUUUUUCUAUCUCUUUCCCCCCCUGUGUAUGUUUUUCUUUCUUUUGAACCUGUAUAUCCUCAUCUUCAUCACUAUCUGGCCUUGGAAUAAAUCUUCUUAUUUUUAGCUUCUUCUUUGGCAUUUUUCUUCUCAGCAUUUCUUGCAUCUUGGUUUUAAUAUUUUUCCUCCAUGACUUUUCAAGACCUACUACUUUGCUUUCCCUGAGGAUAUAAGAUAAAAAUUAGAGGAUAUAAAAUUAACUAUUAGCUGCUAAUAAUCAAGGUUUUGGGGAUAUAACAUGCAAAUCAUACCUAUGAGGUUGUUUUCUGGUAGGAGGUGGGAUGGUCUUCUGUUUCUUUGGUGGAGGUAGAGUAAUGUGUUGCUUCUCCUGUUCUCUAAUUUGACUUGUGCUCCUUGUGGCCCUCAUCCUACCUAAAGAGAGUUGUAAAGUUUGAGACCUCUCUGGAGUUGUUGCAACUGGUGAACUUAACUUCUCACUGAAAAUUUUCUUGCCUUUUCUAUCUGCACUAGGACUUAAAAUGGUCUUUGCAUUGGUUUUAGAUGGAGUAGGCUUUCUCUUGGAUGGAGUGGGAAUGUUUUGACUCCUUGUAUUAACACCCCUCUUGGAGAUUGCUUUGGUGGUGGUGGUGGUGGUGGUUGUGUUAUCCUUCUCCAGAACUGACUUGGGUGCAGUAGUUGUUUUAGUCUUGGGUGUAGCAGUUGUUUUAGUCUUGGGUGCAGGUCCAGUUGUUUUAGACUUGGCUGCAGCUGCUUGACUCUUCUUGGUUUCAUUUUUCUUACUGAGGGUACUUGGUUCCUUCUUCUUUUUGGUGGGGGUAGUGUCCUUCUUCUGUGUCCUUACUUUAGGAGUGUUUCUCAUCUGGGUUGAAGAAGAAGAUCCCUCUUUCAGUGCCUCGGGUUUCAAUAUCGUGCUUACACCAGAAACAACUCCUUCCUCAAUGUCUCUUACCACUCCCUUCAGAAUUCCUUCCAGUGAACCCACACCUAUAUCCUUUUCUUGCUUGUCAAAUUCUUGUUGCCACUACAACACCAUUAUACAUGCUAACAUUAACACAUAAUAUUUCACCAUUUAGAGGAUAAGAUUUGCAUUUUAGCCGAUAAGAUAGCCAUAACUUGAGGAUAGAUAUAUAUUGUUACAUGUAAUGUAGGAAUUUACUAGCUACAAGAUAGACUAUACAUAAAGUAUGGGAUAUAAAACCUAAUUAGAGAGUAAUAUACAUACCUUUUCUGCUUCAAGAACAAGUGUUUGACCAUUUAACGUUGGCCCAGCUAAGGCCCGGUUUAUAAAAUUGGCCUUGAUUAAGCAUUUGUCGAAUAAGAAAAUACUCAUUUAACGUUGAUAUUGUAAAAAUGACCAUUCACUACCGAUAAUACCCUUCUAGUUUAUGCAAACAAAUGUUUGCAUUUUAUGGUAUGCGGUGGUUGUUGUUUCGACUAUGCAAAUAAGUUUUUGCAUUUAAUGUUUAUGUGUGUUGUGACUGAUGCAAACAAGUCUUUACAUUUUAUAGUUUAUGUGGUUGUCGUUGCGAGUAUGCAAACAAGUUUUUGUAUUUAAUGUUUAUGUGUGUUGUGACUGAUGCAAACAAAUCUUUACAUUUUAUGGUUUAUGUGGUUGUUGUUGCGAGUAUGCAAACAAGUCUUUGCAUUUUAUGUUUGUGUUGUGACUGAUGCAAAUAAGUCUGUUUAUGUGUUUGUGAUAUGCGAACGAGUCUUUGCAUCAGUCGAGGGGUAAACUAGUCCAUAAGAUACGGAAAUCAACGGUUGGGCCUUUUUUACCAAUAGUUCCCUAACUGGUCCAAUCUUACAUAUUAAUAUCUUGAAGGGGUCCGUUUUUUUAUUCCCUGUAUUUAGCAGAUAACAUAACGACAUUUGAAGAUAAAUGUGUGAGUUUUAGACGUACCUAACAUCAAUGGUAUUAGAUGCAUCUGGUAAUAGGCAUGUUAACAGAAGCAACAAGCGAUUCAAACGAUGCACAUCAUUACCAGAAUUAGGAUCAUUUUGUGCUACUUCAAUUGCAUCUUUCAUGUUCUUUUCCUUAACGUUUCUCGUCUUACCAAAAUACUUCUCCCUAAAUGAACUUGGAACUUCUGAUUCCAUGAAAAUGAACUCAUGUGGUACACGACCAAUUUUCAAUCCUAAAUUUAAAGUGACAUCAAAUGGUUUGAACUGCAUUUCUUUUCCCCCAAUCUUGUACUUCAAUUUACCAACACUAGUUUUCACAAUUUGUGUAACAAUAGAGGUAAUUAUGUGUAAUUUAUCCGUUUGAACAUCUAAGAAAUACCUAAAGCAUAAAGAACUAAAAUUUUGCUUAUCCAACAGAGGUAAUUUACUUUCAAAAUGAUCACCUAUCUUCUUUAUUGAACAUCUUACCGUCACACUGAAUUUACGGCCAUAUUUCUUUUUCAUCUUUCUACUCCACUUGAUUCUGGAAUUUCAUCAUCUUGCUCUUUAGUUUCGUCUACUUCUUCUUCUAUUUGUUGUUGUUCCUCUUCAAUUUGUUGUUCUCCCCUUUCAAUUACUUCAUUCUUAACUGCAAUUUCUUUUUCUUCUUCUACAUGUUUCUUUGUGAUUUCUUUUUCUUCAUCUUUCUUUCCAAAUUCUCCUUCUUUCUCUUCAGUUUCUUCUACUUGCUCUUCAAUUUUUUUAUUCAAUUGCUUCUUCUAUCUUCUCAUUAACAAACACCUCUUCAAUUUCACAAGUUUUUUCUAGGGUUUCUGUGGUAGUGCGUUUAGGGAGUUUAACAACUAUUUUUUAUGAAAUUAGGGUUCUAGAACUACAAGAAAGUAAAAUUGGGUGUGAGAAAUGGUAACGUUGUGAUUUUGCUGUGUUAAUGGAGGCGGUUGGAAAAGAAGAAAAACGGUUAGGUAAGUUAGGGUUCUUCUUUGUAAGUGAUUAUCUUCUCCAAAAUUUUCCACCUAAAUUACCCCCCAAACGGUAUAGACAUGUGUCAUCUUUUCGUUGUAGGAAUAGAUCCAUGUUUAAUCUCAAUCUUACACGUCAUUUAGUUGCAAACAACUGUUUAGGGUAUUUUUGUAAAUGCAGAUUGAAUAAACGGUUGUGAUUUAAUCUCCCCUUUCUAGCAAAAUCAAUGGUUGUAAUUCUAUAUAGGUUAUUGUCAAGGGUCACAUCAGUUUGUACUUGGUCAAAUCAAGGCAAAAAGGUUUGUCAUAAGUACAAUAAGUACAAAGGGUAAUUUUCGUAUCAAAAUUUCUGAAAAACAAAAUGUAGUGGGGGUAAGAUGGUUGUUUGGGAAGAUUAACACUCAUGAGUGGCUAUUUGGGAAGAAGCAACUAAAGAUGGUGGUUUUUUAAGAAAUUUGCCUUAAUUAUUUGAAUAAAAGACUUUCGCUGUGCUUGUUUCCCCGGAAUUUUUGGGGAAACGGAAAAGCAAACUUUUUUAAAAGCAAAACUUUUUAAAUAGUUUCCUGUUUUAGUUUACAAAAAUUUUGUAUGGUGCUUGGUUGCUAAUAAGAAAAAUUCUGAAUUUCUGCAAACAACCUUGUAUAUAUCUAAAAUUACAUCCAUACCAUUUUUUUAAUAAAAAAUGUGAACAACCUUAAUUAAAUUUACAAUUACAUCAUUAUCCUAAACUUAAUUAAAUUCAUAAUUACAUCACUAUCCUAAUUUCACUUGGAUAUAAAAAGUAGAAACCAAAGACACACUUGGAUAUAAAAAGUAGAAACCAAAGACACAGACCCACAUGUUCAUAACAAGUCCAUCACUUAACUAUGGUAGCAGCAUUCUACUACUUCAUUUUAAAUAAAAAUCAAGAGCCUUCAAAACUGUCGCUGUUAGGACAGUUGUACUAAACACCACUGCCAUCACAAAGACAUAGAUGAAAGUAGAACUUACACCACUUUAUACAUUUCACAAGUAGAAAUUACAUCAAAAUUACAAAUGUCUUUCUAACCAAGUAAAAUUAUAAAAACUUAUAAUAUGUCGCUACAAACUCCAAAUACACUACUUAAUUUGAACCUCACUAUCAAAUGUCUCCAAUCUGCACAAACAAAUCGUUCAACACAUCCACUCUACCUUCUUCAUCCGUUAACAAAAAUAUUUCAGCUUCCACGUGAUUUUUCAUCAAAAUCUUGAAAGCACUAUUUAAAUAUUUGUGGCUAAACCCUUUGACUCCCAUGAUUGCUUGACGUAAUUGCUUUCCAAAAGUUAAAGGGUCUAUCGUUUCUCUAAGUAGAGCAAGAUGUUCAUUUACUCCUUCCAACAUAUUCUUCACUUCAUCAACACCUCUCAUUCUCUUCCCAUGUUGUCGUUUUGUCUUCUUGGUGCUUGCGGUAGAGAUUGUUUCUUCACCAACUUCCAAAUCUAUACUCUCUUCUUCUCCAUUCUUUUCAGUGUCUUCAUCGAGUCCAUUCGCAGAAUAAGAACCUACAAGAAAGGAAUAUAAAAAAAAAAAAAUUAUAACUCAUAUCAUCUUGUCUUCUGGUGAAAGGGCAUGCAAAUGUGGACCAUGCUCAAAUGUGGGUUUAUGUACGCGUAAAUUUAACGCUGUUUUGUAAAUGAACCAAUCCAAAUUAAGUUGGAAUUGAAAUUUAUCAUCAUAGGAAGAAGGUUGAUACAUUUAAUCCAUACGAAUUCAUAAUCUGCACGCAAAUACGCAUGUAAUGGUUAUACAACGCUCACUAAGGUGAUGCUCAAUGGUGAUCUAGUUAAGGUGUCGAAGGGGACAACUGCAACCCCCUCCACCGUCCUUAAAAAAAGUCUGGGAGUCUGUCCAUGUGAUGUUGCUUGUUAAAAGGUAAGACUAUAACAACAGUGUUACAUGUACAUUUCUUUGGCUUCAUUUAACUAUAGUAGGAAUGCCAUUGACCUACAUAGAUCACUCAAACAAACUACUGUACAUUGAUGCUACCUAACAGCAGUGAGGUGGCCUACUGACCAAAGUUUCUUUCAAAUAAUUUUCCAUCUUAUAUUUAUGGAUUUUGAAUUAAAUAGUAAUCUGUUGGUUAACCCAAAAGCCAUAAAAUCUCAUGUUAAUUGAAAAUUAAUAUUUCCUCAAACAUUCAGAUUAGGUUCUUGUUCUGUACCAAUUAAAGACUACAUUUUAAACUAUAUAUCUGUAAGACUUAGAUUUCUAUACAUUUCAUUCUAUUUCAACACUUCAUUGCACGCAACUAAGACUCUGCAGGCCGGCAAUAUCCAUAGAUUCUAUACCUCUUCCUUCGUUUGGUUAUUUUAUUUCAUGUAUGAGCUGGUUAAUGUUUAAUUAGCAUUAUGAAAACUUGGUCAUUUAGUUUAAGCAAUCACUCAAUAAUACUCUCAUUUAAGCAUAGAAAAGGUUGUGUCCUAGUUGAACCAUAAGGCAAUUCACCUUUCGGUUGAUCUAGAGAUCAAAAAGCCAAUAGAUCUUGCUAUAUCCUUUUUACGACAUUAUUGUAGAUGGACUUGGUUAACACGGAAAUGCCACACCUAAAUCUCAAUACUGUUUAACUCAACUUAAAUUUUAUUAUGUACCGAAACUACUGCAGCAAUCUUCUAAACCACAUAAUCUGAGAAAUUUGUACCCACUUCCUCUGAAAUCAACCUAGGGAACCUGAGGUCUAGUUGAAAUUCCGGGAAAAAACUUACUGGUACUUCUAUGUUGCCUGAACUUAUUUCACCAAAAUAAAUCCCAUAUGAAUACCAAAACAAAACCAUGAGUCUAAACUCUAAAGCAUCUCUAUCUCAAUCUGACUUAUUCCUCCAACAAACAACAUACAAGAGAAGUAGGAUAGGCACAGUCAGAGAGAUAUCCAUCCCAUCUGACUUUUAAGUCAGAUAACCUGAAGUCAGAAACUUAAUAGUUUGCCUAUCCUGCAUCUCAAUCUGAUUGGAUGCAGUCUGUGCAUAACAAGAAUGCAAUUUUUUUGUGAAUAACCUUAAUAGAUUCCAGAAUAGUCACAAUUUAAAACUAACCUGUUGCAUGUGAGUUGCCUAUAACGGUGGAAAGCUUUUCAUAAUCCCAUUUUAGUCCUCUAUCUCUAAACGCUUUAAACUUUUUCGAGUCUUUCUGCAUUUAUAAUACAAAAACAAAUAAGACUUCACUUUCCAAUCCAAAAAAUAGAAAAAACCAUGAUAAUGUCUAAACUCUAAACCACAAGAAAAAAAUCUAAACUACUUACGGGUUUUGAUAAAAGCUCCUUCCAAUACUCAUUUGAAGCUAUAAUAGUUUGCCUUGUUGGAUCAUAUGACACCCCACUUUUCGCUUUCAAUUCAACAAAACUAUUAUAUUCAUUUCGCAUAUGGCGAAUCAUGUUCUCAACAUGUUCGGAUUUUACAGUCUCGUUAGCUUUCUCAGAAAGAGUUGCAAGCAAAUUGUUCCAAACAACGGUCCCAUCUUUUUCCAAUUUUUUUCCGCUCCCUUGCAGCCUCACCAAGAACAUCAAGAAGUACAUUAUCCAGGGUGGGGUUCCACCUUAACUGAACCUUUUUAUCAUCAAUUUUGAAGCUUGAUUCACAAUCAUUUUCUACUCCUGCAACAGAUAAACCGCAAAAAAACAGUAAUAUUAUUAUUACUUCAAGGAGACUUCUCUGUAGGUAAUUCUGAAGUGCGAGAUUAACCACACACUCAGGGAACAGCAGGUUCUUCCCCAUGUGGUUUCACUUGUUACUAAUGCACUCAGUGAACACCAAUUUCUUACUGAAAAAAAUGAACUGUCGAAUUUAUUGUGAGAUAGCACAGGACAUUUUGUUGUUCAGCGUUUGUUUCCACCACAAAACACAUUUCGAGCACUUGGAAGUUUUUCAAUCUGACAUAUGGUUUCACUACUUUUCCUAUAAAUUAUGUAAUAGUAACAGAAAGAAGCAAUGCAGAAAAACUAAAUUCCACAUGUUCCAUUUCUGCAACAAUAGCCCAACGAAAUGUGUGAUUUGAGUUUUUGGAAACAUAGUCGUUAUUCAGAUUUAAGAAAAAAUAAUAACUAAACCACAAAACUAUCAAUUGUUAUUAGGACUUUAUAUAAGGUAACAACUCUCUUCACACCAAUUUAAGUUUCAUUUACCUUUCAACUUUACUUCACCACCGGAAGGAUCGUCUCUGAUUUGUAGUUGAUCAAGUCCUCUGAAUCCUCUACACUUGGGCAUACCAACAGCCCCUCAUAUUUUUUCUACUUAUAUAUGAUGUUCGGCAUUCUUGCCAACAAGAGUGCAUACUAUGAGAAAACAAAUGUUUGUUACUAAUUAACAUUGGUUGGUUUCUGUAUCCUUGGAAAAAGAUUACCUUAAUAUAGCCUAAAAUGGUAACCUAAAUAUGCUACCGGAUAGAAGGAAAGCUGAUGAACAUCAACACAAUGUUUAAAAGCUUUUUUUAAACAGGCACCGGUUCUUAUAGCCUAGGUGGGUGAAAAAUUGAAGAUUGGCAUGCACUGAUGCACAGGCAAAUUAAGAAGAAGUUACUGAAUACUCUUAUAGCGAGGUGGCCUAUAAUCCUAUAUGUAUGCCAUCCACUCGGAGUGUUGCAUAAUAGUACUGUUCCUUCUCAAGUGUCACGAUAUUUUUUUUUUAUAGAAUUCACACUUUAUGAAUGAAACCACCAGAAACAUCCUGAACAGCAUGCCUUCCAGCACCGUCAGGUUAUGAAAUCCCAACCAUUACAGACUCAAAACUAAACAAGAGUAACUGCAGCAAAAUUGCUACUCUGCCCCCACAGACACAAUGUUAUCCUACAGUGUCACGACUCUAUACAGUUUUUCCCCCUUUUCUUUAAUAUUAUGCUAAAAUUGGACCUAUUUAAUAUGCAAUAUAUCGUUUGACGAUAAAUAGUGGCAGACUCAAAAAAGAAGCUGAAACAGGACUAACAGAUACCAAUGACUGCCCAUGUAUACAAAGAAAUAUCUGAUUAUGAACAACAAAGAUAAAAAGAUACAAAGUUGACUUAAUUACAAACCCGGCUCUUUCACACAAAAGUGUCCACAGAGAGCGACAUUGGUGCAAUUUCAGAAAAUAUAAAAACUACAAAGAUCAUUACAUCAAAAUCAAAUCCAAAUAAAUCUGAAUAAAUACAAACUAAUUCAUAUUAAAAAAACCCAAUUUCUAAUAAACCUUGGAACUCCCAAAGACAACAUUAAAACCCAUGAUUAAAUCAAACCCAUUAUAAAAAACCUUUAAUUCUAGUGAUAGAAUACAAAAUUAAAAUAAAUUUAACAACUAACUACAACAAAUUCAAAACAUCUAUUCGAAACCCUUGAUUUGAGAGAGAUUAAUCUACAAUCAAUAGAUCUAUUAGAUAUUUGAUGAUAGAAAACUGUAUAGAGAAUCUUACCUGAUUCAAAAAAGCUUUCUCCUUCUUUGUUCAAGUAAUCAAAACGAGAGAGAGGGGGAGAAAACAAAAAAAAAAAAAAAAAGAAAGAACUGAUCGAGGAGAAAGCAGUAGAGAAGAGGCGAUUUUUCCCCAGUUUUUCGGUUAUUUCGAACCGGUAUUAUUAGCUGACGUGGUUUGCCUUUUUUGCAAAAAAAAUAUAUGGGCCCCACCUUUUGUUGAAUCCAACCAAGCAGUAUAUAUUUGGGAAAAAAAAGAAAAAUCCUACGUGUCUUUGCUUUCCCUAAACUUUGCAGGGAAACAAGCACAGCCUUUAACUAUUAAAAUUUGCAAAUAAAAGAUAGUUGAUUGGUACUCUCCCAGUUUCACCCAUCCAUAAUGCUGCUUUGGCACAACUUUCAGCAAGCUCUCUCUACUAUUUGCAUCCACUCACUGUGCCUACAAUUUGGUCAAAUAUAGUAAAUUUAUUUACAUCCAUGAAACUACGGUGGAGGUUUUGUACAUCCAAAAUCCAAAUCUUGUUGUUGUCAUCUUCUUCUUCUUCUUCCCGUUCCAAGUAUUAUAUAUUUGGGCCCAUUAGUUUGUAGUCCUUUGGUUAUAUUUGGGCCCAAUAAUCUGGUUCCUCCUAUCACUUCCUUAUCAUUUUCUGAAUAAACAAGAAGAAUGCCUUAUGCCUUCUUGCUUGAACAGAAGAUUGGAUUGAUCUCCAGCUUGAUUUCAGGUUCAGAAAUAUAUUAUUAAUUUCACGCUUUAUUUAUCUUGCAUUUCCUGCAUUUCCUUAUUAAAAGCUAAUUCAAACGAUUUUUGAUUGAAAACUAGAAAGAAUGUAAACAAGAAAAUUAGGAAGCAGAAACACUUUAGCUUUAACUUGCAUACUUACAAAUAUUAUUCCUGUAAUGACUUAAAAAAUCAAUUACCUAAUUCACCCGUUGUUAUUUGUUAAUACUUAAUAGACAGACAGAAUGAAUGAAUGAAUGAAUGGAAGUUUUCGAUUGGUGAGGUGUCUUAACACAGUACAGUCAACCUACUAGUGAGUUGUUUUUCUCUUCUAGGAACUGAUCAAGGAAACAAAGAUAGAUAAACAUCUCUUGAUAAACACUCGAUCUUCUCAAGUGGAAUCAGCUAGGGAUGGUUGCCAAACCUCCUUUUAUGAAGAGCAGAUGUGGCAUUUGAAUAUACUGUUAGGCAAUUGAUUCUGGACCACCAGGGGAGGGGAUAUCAGAAUCAAUUAAUUACUCUUAAUUUAGGCUCCAAUAACUUUGAAGGGAGUAUGUGAAAGCUAGGUUACCAAGUGAAAAAUAAUGCAAGCUUGAUUUUUAAGAAGAAAAUCUCUGCUCAAGUUAACUAUUUAGAACAUCUGAGUUACAUCUUCAAGGUUACGUUUCACAACCUCACUUUCACCAUCAGUGAGAGGGGAGGGGAUAUUUUGAUGCUGGUUUCGAUUUAGUACAUUGAAGAUAGGAUAAGCCUUCCUCGUCAGUAGGAUGUCUGAUUGAGCUUGUUAAUGUCAAGUAGAGUUCAUGUGAGUGAUUCAAAGUCAUUCUGAUGAGUCUUUUGAUAUUGUUGAAGUCUUUGUAUUUCUUUAUAAGGCUACUUGUAAAUUUGUAGUGUAAGUAGCCGAGUCAUGAAAACAUUAAAGAAGACCCAUUAUGGAUUAUCUCAAAACUUUGGUGUUCACAAAGAACUAAGAUGUGGACAAACCCAAUCAGACGCUUUACUUAAUAGGAUGACUUAUUCUUGAACAUAAAUUAGGUAAGCUGAUACUGAUAAGACAGUGUUGACUGCAUAAAUGGUUGAUACACAGUUACACACCAUAUUGGUGGCAGAGAAGUGACCUAGUAAUAGUUUCCUCAUAAAAUUUACCCUGUUGCAGCCUGUAAUUCCAUCGCCAUUCAUUGUUGGUAUACCUGUAAAUUAAUGUAUAGAAUAUAUAUUUAGUAAAUCAAAGAAAACUUUACAGUGUCAUGUAAUUCACUUCAUUGCACCUUAUUUAAUCCAUUACCUCAAGAAUAUAGAAAAUCUUCUCUUACACAUUAUGUUGCAAAAGAUAAAUACAAUGGUAUACUAUAGAUACCCUUGAAAGUGAGAGAGUGUUUCUCAAAUGCUAAUAUUCUGAUGGUGUUGGACUUACGUUCCAUAAAUUCUAACAAUGUCCUUAAUGGAUUAUAUUUUCCACUGCUGCAGUUGUACCAAACUAUUCCCUGAAAACUUGUGUCUGGUGGAGAAAAUGAGUACAAUGAUGACACAUUGACACAUGUUGUUUCAACUCUCUCUUUUUUUUUUCUUAAAAUGUUUGGAAAAUAUAAUGAUAUUUCUUCGUUAGUUGUAUUUCUGAUCUCUCACUCAUUUUAAUUCGUCUGUGUUUUAUCUUUUAUAUUAGUAUUUCGCUAUUUCUUACUCCUAAAUGAGAUAAUCGCACACCUAAUCUAUCAAUAGGAUGUUUCCAACUGUUAUAUUGUUGCAUUUUAUACUAUUGGUGAUUACUUUCCUGGCCUCAGAUACACAUUACAGGAACUGCCUACGAUAGUAAAAGUCCAAUUGACUAUGCCAGAGUAAUAAAAUCUAUCUUCAGCUAAAGUAGCCAUAUAUGACUCAAUUUGGGGCAGGCCUGUCAUAAAUAGAGGUACCUACCUGGUUGAUGAGAGGCAGGGUUAUCUAUUCACCAAAGUAGUAGACCUUGUGCAGAGGAUCUGAAAUUCUGUAGACUAAUGUUAAAUUCUUACCACAUUUUUCUCCUCUACAUUAAUUUUCUUUUUUUUAGCAUCAUUUAAUUUCUUUGCCAGUGAAAUCCAUCUGCCUUGUUUGCUGUAAACAGCAUAAUUUUAUAGUAGUUCGAGAACCCUUACGUCACUUUAUCAAAGCCUUUUAAAAUGGAUUUCCGGUCAUUAUCAUUAUUAGUAUACAGCUUUUUGUGUGCACAUCAAGUAUUAGUUGACAACCUUUACAUUGUUCUCACUAAAAGUAGCAAUGAUCCCUAGCAGAUUGAUAGUUGGCACAUUAACAUUCUUCGAAAGUUCUAUUAGUUUUAGUUUGGUUAAAGGUGUUUCUGGUGAAUGCAAAGUGGAAACAAUAAAAAAUCAUCCAAGAGAAUCUUACAUCUCUAAAAGUAGUGGCAGGCAGGCAUGUUUCCCUGUUCUUUUGAUAUGCAUGCAUGACUUUAUGAAGGACAAACUAACUUACAAUAUUUUGUUAACUCCCCCAGGUAAAGCUAGGUUGAAAUAGUCCUAGUUGGCCAGUUUCAUGGUGUGUAAAGAUAUCUAUAUCCAAGCGGUUUAUUUCUUAAGCCACUAGCCUAGGCGUUUAUGAUUUGUUUUUAAAUAUGAAAGCUUAGUGCUUAUGUUUGACUGUAUAUAAUGAAUGCAGGAGUUCAUGGGUGUGAUCAAGUUGUCUGGUGACUUGCAAAAUUCUCAGUCUAGAUGAAACUUCCGGAUGGAUAGUUGAAAGGCAAGCAGUGCGAGGUAUGAAAUUCUACAAGGCAGAUAUUGCACAGUAUUGUUCCGACUUUAUCUGGGUCACGUUUUCAAGAAAAAACCUUAUGAUCUCCAAAUUAUCUGGUCUAUCCAUCAAAUUCUCAAUGCUUGCUUUCAUAUUGCUGACAUCAUCAUAAUAAAAUUAGCUAAAUCUAAACCUUUCAACCUUUUUCUUUCCCUCUUCUAUGCAUCUUGACAUCUUACUUUUGUAUGUCUAUGCCUAACUCAUAUAUGUCAUGUUCUACCUUUUUCAUAAAGUGAUCAUCGUCAUUAAUAAAUCUAGUGAUCCUAAAUUCUUCAUUAUAUUGUACCAAUAGGUAGUGUUUUGCAGAUAUCAUAUUUUUUUAUGGACCCAUCAAUGAUCCCCUGCAUGCUUGUGUUUAUGUUCUGUUGUAGGCUUGUAGCAAACCAAUGCCUAGGAAGUCAACUAACAUUGACACACUUUGCUCCAAGUCCUUUCUUUUGCUUUGACAAACUAAGUUAAAAUGUGCUUAAUAACAAUCACUGUCAAGAGUAUUAUCAUAAGUAUAUUCAUCAUGUGAAAAUAGAUACUUUCAUAAGAGACAAAAAGAGAAUGAAACCUAUGUGAGCCAACCCAAUACUAUAUUUUGCAUUAGUAAAUAGUUUCAACCCUGUCUUAAGUUGUUUAAUUCGAGAAGGCAAGGUAAGUGGAGAUGGCGGAUGUCUUGAAUCCAUUGAAGUUAGAUCCUGCAGAGGCUGUGUAAGCUCCCAUGUUGGGGAACACUAACCAAUCAUUCACCUGGAGCUCCGGCAGUUGGAAUCCAGUGAGCAAUGUGUCUAGUGCAUCACAUGUGGGCCCAAACACCGUUGAUGCAUAUGUCUUCAUUCCUCGACAUGUGGGGUUAGCACGGUUUGAUGAGCAUGCUAGAGGAGUAGCCAUUACAGUUGCAUGAUCAUAUAAUAUGCAGUUCAUUGACCCAUAUAUCCCAUCAUUGAUCCAGUAUUCUCUCAGGUCUCCUCGCACACGCUUUCCGAUUAUAUUGGUGGCCAGUGUGAAGGAUGUUUCAGCAAAGAAACGUCCAGGUUCAGAGAUCACCAUCAAACCCGGGUAGUCGCCAAAGUAGGUCUUGAUAGAACUCUUAAUGGUGACCGCAGCAUCGUCAUAUUGGUGGCCAACAGUGAAUCCACCACCAACAUUGAGAAUGUGCAUACGAGGCAUACCAAGUCUUGUCGCGGUAUCAAAUACAUUCUUGGCAGCUCCUAUCGCACUAUGGUAAGCUCGUGACUGUGUUGCUCCACUGCCAACAUGGAAAGAGACACCAGAUACCAUCAGUCUAGCUGCAUUGGCUGCUUCAAGAAGUGGGGUAAUCUCUUCAGGCAGGGCCCCAUAUUUAGGCCCAAGUGGGCAUCUUGCACCACCAUCGUCCGGAGCCUUGAGCCGGAUUAAGAGGGCACAUUUGGGAUGCCACCUUCGUAUCUUCUCAAUCUCAUUUCGUGAGUCAAACGUGGUGAGAUUAACCCCUACGCUAGCCGCAUACUUGAUAUGGGACUCAGCUUUGCAUGGGUUUGCGUAAACAAUUCUAUCAGGUGAAACCCCAAGUGCUAAGACAGCCUCCAUUUCAGCUCGGCUUGCACAAUCAAAUCCUGCUCCAAGAGCUGCAAGUGCACCGAGGAAGGAUGGCUCAGGAUUGCACUUGACAGCAUAAAAGGGACGGACGCUAGGCACCGUACGUAUCCAUUUGUCCAUGAGACUGACGACAACCCCUAAGUCCAUCACAUAGAAAGGGUCCUUCACAUCUUGCUUGCUGGAGAUUUUGGACAGAAUAAACUCUGUGAGUCCAUCUUUCGAUAGGUUCGUUACUUUUUUACCCUUCACCCCGGGUGCACCCAAGACAGCCUGAAGGCUCUUGGUGCUUGAACCCAUGGCUGAAACUUGCUCAGUGCCUAGGCAAAGACGAAGAGAUCAACAGAAAUAGAACCACAAGAUCUUUGGGUUUUGGAAGUAGUUUUCUUUUCUUGAACACGAUAUUUAUAGAAGAUAUUAAGGAGUUACUUCUCCCAUUUGGUGGAGAAAAGAUAUACUAAAGUGGUCAAUAAUUGAGUGCCUUUGUUAUGGUAUUGUGGGGAAUAGGUACAAAGGCUUACACUAGGGUAGGUGACAAAAUGUAAAUCCAAAAUUUUUACUAGGUAGAGAAGAAAAAAAAUAGUCUAAAAAGAAGGAUUCUUUGUCAUGAGCAUAGAUUUCAGGAAAUAGGUUUUGUUUCAUUUUGACAAAGAAAACAGAGUUAAGUCUGGUCAGAGAGCUUAGGUUAAGAUUACUUGCAUGGGAAACUCAACUAGUCCUCCUUUUUCGAAACUUGGCAGCGGCAAAUGACAACAGCCAAGAUGUCAGAGAUCCUCAUUCUGUUGAAAAGAUGUUUAGUGGGAAUAUUUUGAUACUACCACUUCAUAUUGUUGCUAUUAAGUCUAUGCUUUUUAGCCGUAAGAUAUGUAUCGUAGGGUUCUGAUGAGAUCAGAGUACUUGAUUAUGAUGAUUGUUAUGGAGAUAAUCAAAUAAUUUGCCCUUUUUAUGUUAACCUUGUUGAAGAGAGAUCAUUUGAAAUUUGAAAUGGACAGAGGCAAAUAAUGUAGCCUCAAAUCUUGCCCUUUAUUCUCUAGAAAUAGGCCAUAUCUGCCCUUUAUUUUAUUUGGCCCAUUGAUUUUGUCUUCCUUUUAGUCUAACAAGAUUCAAUUGAGUGUUAGGGUUAUAUUAGUAUAACAACCAGCCACCCUUCUUGAAGCCUUGUGAUUGUAGAAGAAUAUGACUUUUUAUUAAGCAGCAUGUUUCUUUGAAGAGCUAAUUAGCGUUAACACCCCCCGUUUUGAAUGCAAAAUGGACAUACCCCCAACUCAAAAAGUUUUGUGUUUUCCCCUCAGUUUUAAAUUCUGGCCAAAUAUAAUGAUGAACUACCUGUUAUACCCUUGUGCCACAUAAGUUUAUUCUUUUGGUGGUUUUGAGUUUUUGACUUAAACCUAUUUUGCCACAGCGGUUUUAAUCUGGACCAUCAGAUUAGAUUUGAUAAUAUAAACCAGAUCAAAAGUGCAAAACACAACAUGUGGAUGUGAAAAAAAAUAUUUUACAAAAUUAAAUCUUAACUAAACCACUCUCUCUCUACAUCAAAAGAAAUACCCUUUUUGAUGUAAUCCUUAAAAGUGGAACUUAAUCAUCUUUGAAUCGUCUCCAACCUUUGGAAAUUUGUGGGUUAUUAAAGCUUAUGAUGAUUGGGUUUUUUUUUCAAAAUUUGUGUGAAGUUCAAGCCAUUGAAUGGUGAAUUAUUAUGAACUUUGGAAAUGUUGUGAAGUUGAAAGAGAGAAAGUGAGCAUAAUGAUUUUCUUCAAAGUUCACAUUCUUCGCCUUUGAAGAAGGUAAUGUGAAAGUAUAAAGAAAACUUCAAACAAAAGAUUUCAAUCUCUUUUGUUUGCUAUUUGUGUACAUUCACACAUCUAUUAUAAUUAUGUUAUUAAAAAACAAUUCAAUUUCAAUAGUAGUGGUGAGAUCUUUCUUCAACUUCUUGUUUCUUCAAUUUGAGUUCAUGGGUUAACAGUGAAGGUGAAGAUGGAGGUUUUGAAGUGAGUGUUAAUGGUGAAGAUGGAGAUGAAGGGAGGGAGAAGAUGAAAUAAGCGAGGGUACAUUGGUAACUUACAAUGGUCAAAUCCAUGUGUCAUGUUUAUAAUUGUUGGAUGUCUUAGAUCUAAUUUAAUGGUCAAGAUUAAAACCACUUUGAGUCUGAUGUGGCAAAGUGGGUUUAAGUUAAAACCAUUGCCGGAAAAAGCUUACAUGGCGCAAGGGUAUAACGGGUAUAUCAUCUCUUUUUUUUGCCGGAAUUUGAAACUGAGGGGGAACAGAAAACUUUUUAGAGUUAGGGGUAUGUCCAUUUUGCGUUUAAAACCGGGGGUAACGCUAAUUAGCUCUUAUUUGAAUAUUGAAUUGUUGGUUAUUGAACCUGUAAGGAUGGAUCUACAGUAGUUGCCUUUUCAACAGCCUGGAUCUUUAGGAAUGUAAAGAAAUUUAAUACAGUAGCACUUGAAAAUUAAUCAUGUGGACCUUUGAUAUUCUGAAGCUAUAUGACAAAAUUUCAAAACCCCUUCACUUCAGUAACAACAGGCGUUUUGAUGAAUUCAGAUUUCAGAAGCAAUAGAUAUGAGAUCACAUGACAACUAGAUUAGAAAUGAAGAGUAAAAGGAAAUACAAGAAUAUUACAUGACCUUAGAAACUUAUUGGAUAAAUUACAGUGAUCAUUGGACCAGUGAACCACAGUUCACUAUUUAUGAAAAGAAAGAAAAUAGAAAAGAAGGGAAUAUAAUGGCUGUUCACUUCGCCAUAUACACCUUAUUUAACACCUUGUUUAUUUGAGUUGUAAUCAACGACGACAAAAAGAAGGAAGCCUUGAUUCACAACAAGAAGGAAGCCUUGGAUUCAUGCUUAAGCGAGACGUAAAUGCACCACCAUCACCCCAUAAUGCAUAAGCUUCCUCUCCAUGCGCUGCAUCAUCCCCAACCUUUAGAUCAUCGUCAUCCAUCCUAAGAUUGACAAUGCGACUUAUAAGAAUACAUAUUAGGCUUGUCACAACCACAUUCCACGCAGCUACAAAGGCUGCUCCUGCUAAUUGGAGAUUCAUUUGUCUCAGACCCUGAUGGAAAUUUUUUCCAAAGGUAUACACAACACCUGGGCCACGAUGGUCUGGAUAGAACAUAUUCAAAUAAUCUGGCUUGGCAAAGAGACCAGCGCAUAUUCCACCCAAUAAACCAGCCACAGCAUGGGUAUGGAAGACAGCCAAAGGGUCAUCGACCUUUUGAAAGAAUGCAAACUUUUUGUGUAGGACCAUCAUGGUGUACCAUGGUAUGCUUCCCGAUAAUAUUCCCAUCAGCAUUGCUGCCCAUGGUUCCACCAACCCUGUCAAUGUUUUUUCAGGAACACUCUGUUGAAGUUAGAACUAAGAAUUUACAAUUCAGUCUGUCAAGAGUUUUGAACUGGGAUCGAGUAUUAGUUAAAGCCUAACCUGCAGCUGGUGUGAUGCAUACAAGGCCAGUAAUCAUCCCUUGAACUGCUCCAAUCACAGAGCUCUUUUUGUAAACAACCAUGUCCAUUGACAGCCAUGUCAAGAGACUGGUUGCUGUGCAAAAAUGAGUGUUUAGAACAGCCAGUGAGGCGAUCCUGUUGGCAGCAAAAGGUGCUCCUCCAUUGAAGCCACUCCAACCCAUCCAAAGCAACCCUGCACCUCCCAACAUGUGAAUUAUGUUAUUUGGCGGUGAGUGCUGUCUAUCAUGUGCAAUCCGCGGACCCACCUGAUUGCCAAAAUCCAGCCAUCCAUCAAUGAAAAAGAUUCAACAAUUUCUUUUGAUGGAAAAACUGACACACUACUUCACUGUUACAUGUGAAUUUAAGGUAUCAUAUACUGUAGUGUAUGCCUGUCUGAGUGUCUUCCAAGUUAAAAGGCAAUCUACAGAAGGGUGAGACUAGUUUUGUUUGCAGGUCUUGAAAGACUGCUGUCUCAUGAGUGACACACGCCAGGAUCAAUGGCAAUACUACAAUGUUAUUAUUAAAUCAUUUUAUUAGCAUUAUUUAAUUUUUAUAAUGAAGAUUCAGUGAGUUUUAUUAUGUCCUAAUUAACGAACCAACUGGCAUCAAAAUUACGGAAAAAAAAUAUAUUGAAUUAUUACCCAAUAAGCAGCAGUGAAUCCAGCCACCCCAGAGGAAAGAUGUAUAACAUAACCACCUGAGAAGUCAAUUAUUCCUUUCCUUUCAAGAAAUCCAUUUGCCCAUAUAGUAUAAGCACCCACAGUAUAUGAGAAAGUGACCCAUAAUGGAACAAACAAAAUCCAAGCAUAAAAAUUCAUCCUUCCAAGCAAUGAACCAGCAACCAAAAUGACAGUAAUGGCAGCAAAAGCAAAUUGAUAGAAAACAAAAGUAGCCCAUGGAACAGAACCCAUUCUACCUUGUCCCAAAAGGUAACCAGAAGAUACAGAACUACUGGGUUCUGCAAACAAAGGUGUAGCUUUAUGAUACCCAAAAGACAUGUUAUGAGCCCAAAGCACCCAACAUAACAAAACUGCGGCAAAGGCGUAAAGGGCCAUGAAAGCAGAGUUUACAGCCCACUUCUUCUUGACCAUACUUCCAUAGAGAAUUAUAAGGCCUGGAACACUUUGUAAACCAACCAUAGCAGCUGCUGUUAACUGCCAUGCAUUAUCACCUUUGUUCAACCAAUCAGGUGAUACAUCAGUUGGAGCAAGUGAUUGUGGAAUGUAAAAGGGUGUAUUAGGAUAGUCUCCAUAUGCUGCCAUAUGAGAGUGAAGAAGAAAGAGAGAUCAAAAUUUGGAAUAGCUUAAAGGAGUUUGGAAUAUAUAGAGUGAGGAGAUUAAGAGGAAAACAUUGUUAUUAUCAUAACAAAGUGUAUACUUUUAUGUUUGUUUGGACAUACUAAGGAUUCCACUCACAUUCUUUGCUGUGUUUUGCCUUCUGGCUUUUUGUUUCUUACUGGAAUCAAUUAGAAUCCCCAAAGUUUAUAUAAAAUUGAGAAGUUGACCUGGAUAUAUUUUUUGUUGGCAAUUCAUCAAAUGGUUCCUUUCAUGGGAAACUUGAUACAUGGCAAUAUACAUUUGUGAUCCUUCCAAUACUGGGUGCCUCAGAACUGUUUCAUCUGGUCAGAAAUGGUAAAUAUUUCAUGGAAUAGUUGCUCGGUGUGAGUUGUUUCGUCAUCUUAAAUGUUAACACAUUUUAAUGUUCUGGGAUUUUCCUUCAACGUUGAGGCUUGAUCAACUGCAAAUUUGAAGGUUGAAGAUGGUACUGAUGCAGUGAUGCCACAUAACAAGCAUACCAAAACAUGUACAACAAACCCUGUAUGUCAUACAUAUGUAUAAAGGGCGUCAUUGGCUUAUGCUGAUGUAGCAGAAACAAGAAAAAUCCCAGAAAGGACCAGAGCCAAGAAGAUACUGGAGUCAGUUUGCAACUUGUACAACAAAUUAAUUAACCAAUCUUCUUGGAGAACAUGAACAUAUAAUGUGCAUCGAUCAUGCCAUUGCUAAUAGUGUCGACGAUUUUGAUUUCAUCAUUCACUAAUCUAUUAAAUCCAUGAAUAUAUAUGAUAUUAUGAUGUAUGUAUCAGGUCCCUCAAGCUAUCAAAUGCCCAUACCUCAUAAAUCAUGAUCUUCUCUUCAAUGAUCCCCACACUAGUCAGCAAUAACUGUAUUCAUAUGAGCAAUGUGAUAUAUGCCAGAUCUGGACUGAAACAAGACCCACAUGUUCACAAUAUUAACAUGCAUAGUUUGUACGUUGCUAACAAUUAUACAGUGGUUUCUAUGGUUACGAUUCUUAGCAAGCAGAUUUAUUUGGCUAUCAGUCUUGAGUAUCUGAAGUUCUCGUGGAAAGGGACCCAUCUAGUUGUGGGUGCCAACCAAGUUUGUUUGCAGCUUGCAACAUGUUUUUUGUGCCUUAAUGGGAGAUCAUGACACUUUCGAUGUCAUUCUUACAGUCACAGGUUGAUAUUGAUUGAUCUCGUGGACGGAAUUCUGUAAGAAAUUCAUCAUUUGCUGAUGAAAAUAUUGAUCUAUUUUAUAUGCAGAGAAAAACUUUAAGAGACAUGGAUGGCUGAAACAACCUGAAAUAUAUUUCCUAUAACCUGACAAUAUAUCCAUUAUAUAUUCGGAAAAUGUUUAUGCGUGUAAGGCUUCACAAAAGUAAUAAGACACACCAUAGUUGAACAAAUUUAACACGGGUCGUUCAUCGAUCAUUUGCCAAUGUCAUGAAGAUGGAUAUGCAUUGUCUCUGACCUAACUGGAUGUUUUGUUUAACAAUGAGGUAAGGUAAGCACCAAAGGAUGGCCGGUUAGGGUUAAUUGUCAGUAUUGAUGUGCAUUGCGCGCCAAUCAGUUAUAUCUAAUAAUAGCAUCAUCUAUAGCAUUCAACAACCAAACAUUAAUUUUUUUUUGUUUAUCGGCCAAUUCUACGCUUAAUCUCCAUGAACAUAUACAAUACAAAUCGUUUAAAUAAAACUAGUACUGUAUCUAUAAGGUUUUCGGCAAUAAUAUAAAUGAAAGUCAAAAAAAUUCUUGUAUUUUUUUUCUGCAAAAUUCUGAUACCUAACAAACUCAGGAUAUAUAUACCAUCAAAUUUUUUCCAUUAAUAAUUUACAAAGAGAAGAAAACAAAGGCCACAAGAUGGAGUUUAACUAAUACUUGCCAUAUUUGUGCCAACAAAGAAGCAUAACAACACAUCUCCUAACAAUGUAAAAUCUAGACCGUCUCUCCCUUACCAAAGCCAACCAUCCACGCUUUUCUGACGAUGAUGAUGAAGAAGUAGUCGAAGAAACAUCGCUCCAUCUUUUGCUUUCCUUCGAUCGAGUUGAUGUACAUUGACCCAUUACUUACCACAAUCCCAAAAAAACACCAAGAAUCAAACAAAUAUAUAAACACAAUAAAAAUGAAAAUCAAGAAUUAUUCCCUUUCAUUAUAUUGUCAUCAUCAGAACAGAAACCUAUCUCUCUUCGAUCUCGAUCUCUUGUGUGUAUAUGUGAAUGUGUUUGGGAAGAGAUGGAGAGCAUUGUAAUGUUUUGUUGGGUUUGGUUGUUUUGGCCAAUAAUAAUAUUAUUAUUACCUGGAUUUACUGGAUAUGCAUGCUUAUGGCCUAUCUAUGAUUCUAUCUCACUUCUCACCUAUAACCUAUGUAUGAGGAGAAGUGCAAGCAAAAUCUUUGGUUUGUUAUAACGGUUGGUCCACAUCACGCGGUUUUAUCACCCUGACUUGACAGCUUGUACUGUAUAUCCAUUCCACGUGUCUGGUUUUAAUUUAAUUUAUUUUUGUUAAAUUUGAAUUUUGCAACCCGCGAUUCCAUCUAGAUUUUUUUUUUUUUUUUAAGGACUAUUGACCAAAGAGAUUUUUUGUUUUGUGUUGAAUAAGGAAAAUAAUUAUUGGAAUCUAUUAUACUCUACUAUGUGAAUGUGCAUGCGUAUGCGUGCGAAGAACGAACGGACACAGCUUAUCGGUAUUAUGUGCCCAGACAAAUGAGGGAAAAAAAAUUUAUUGGGAUGAUGACAUAUCUAUAAUAUAAAAUAGGGAUGUGCACGGUUCAGUUCGGUUCCAUUUUACCACUAAACUGAAACCGAACUGUGCAAGCUGGUUCGGUUCGGUUUCAAAAACCGAAAAAUAUUAUUAAAAUUGGAUUGGACUGAACCGAUUUAAUUCGGUUCGGUUUGGUUCGGUUUUCGGUUUGGGCUUUAUUAUGGGCUUUUGUGUUUUGGGUUUUAAUAACUUCGGGUUUUUUUUUUGGUAAUCUAAUGAAUAUUUGAAUAUAAUCUAACAUUUAUAAAUAAAAAUAAUAAAAAAAAACAUAUAUAACGUAUAUAUAUAAAUAAAAAAAAUUAAAAAAAAUAUAUAUAUAUUAAUAUAUAUAUUCGGUUCGGUUCGGUUCGAACCGAAAUAUUAGAAUAGGAACUGGAACUGGGUUGUAUAUACUCGGUUCGGUUCCAGUUCCAGUUCGGUUUGACUGGUUCCUGGUCAACGCAGUUUUGACCCGGUUCGGUUCCGGUUUUAAUUCGGUUGUCCGGUUUUUUGCCCACCCCUAAUAUAAAAAGUAAAUUUUUUUUUUUUUUUUUUUAGAUUAUUUAACUUUUACGCUUAUAGUAGGUCCCAUUGUUUGAAAUUACUUUUGUACCCUUUUCAUUUUAAUAUACAAUAUGUAAUGUAUAGAGUAAAAUAGCUAAUAUAUAAGGGAUAAAGUAUGAACUGUGUAGAUAAUCAAAUAAACACGUAUCUGUAUGUUUAGUUGACACGGUAGGUUACGCAAACCAUCUCGAUUUAGGGGCGCGUUAUAAAGUAGUUAAAGAUUAAAGCAAAAAAAUACCCCUAAGAAAAUAUCUCUUGGGUUAUCAAUUAUAUUGAAAUUUAUACUUUAAUUGAAGAGAAUUUUGAUUAAGUUUGGGUAUAUUUAUAACGGGUUGUCUAGGCUGUCAUCCUUAGGAUGACAUCCAUCUUGACAGCCCAUCUCAUCCAUUGGUUCAGAUUAAAUCCAACGGUGUUAAUAUGCUUCAGAGGUGCAAGUAAAUAUAUUGGGGGUAAAUGUGUACUUUACCUCUUCUUCUUCUCUCUCCCACAUUUUAGAAGUUUAGAACAAGAAGAGUCGAAGGGAUUACUCUCUCGUCAGAUACUCGAAGAACACUGCCCACCACCCAAUAACUUCAGACUUUAUCUUAUUAACCUCUUUCCGAAAUCGAUCUCAAUUCUCAACUUCUAAUUGGAGUAGUUGGACUGCAUUCUAAAAUUUGGAAAACAAUCCGACUAUUGUGAUAAUAUUCAAUAUUCAAAGUUUGUUCUGAAACUUAAAAACUAAAAGAUCAAAAGCUACAGUUUCAGAUGAAUUUUAUCCUAGUGGGUUCUAAAAAAAUUUAGUAAACCCCAAUCAAUUUUUUUUCUCUUGUAAAAUUUCACAUUAAUCCAUCAAAAUAAAUUCAAAUCUCAAACAAUAACAAUUUCAUAAGUAUACAUCUUUUGUAACAUAAGGAGUACAAUCAAUAUUAACCAUUUUAUGAAUAUGCGUGAUGGAUUGAGAGAAGAACAGAUCGAUGUUGUAUUAGCUGAGAUUCAUUUUGAAAGGGGAAGAGAGGGUAGAUGAACAAAGAGAAAAAAAGGAGGUAAAAGACAUAGUUGCCCUAUAGUGUUUUAACUUUUAACAACAAAGUAUAUCAUAACCAUUAGAUCUUUGUAAUACCAAUGGAUGAGAUGGGCUGUCAAGAUGGAUGUCAUCCUAAGGAUGGCAGCCUAGACAGCCCUUAUUUAUAAUUACAUAAAAGUUUGAGUAUAUUUGUAAUUACAUAAAAGUGGACCACCCAUCACGGAUAUAAUCAAGUCCAAUUGGACUAAAUCACAUGCAUAAUUAAGCCCAGUCCAAAACAACUAGACCUGAUCCCAAAAUAUAAUCAAAUCAACCCCAUGCAUUGCACGGGUUUAACCACUACCGUCUACCCCUUCUAAAUAACCACUGCCAGAUAAUCUUAAUCUUAACCCUUGCCUGUAAACAUCUUAUACUGAGUUGUAUCAUAUAUGAAAAGAUUAUAAAGCUACUAAUUAUCACUAAAAGAGAAGCCAAAACUAGAAAAGCCAGAGGUAAUUAAGUUUUAUUUAUUAUUUUGAUUUGAAUCCUUAAUUAGUUUUUUUUUUUUUAAAAAAAAAAAAAAUUGGUAUAUUAAUCAUGGCCCGAAGGCUUACAAGGACAGGGCCCAAAGGGCUUACAAAGACAAGGCCCGAAGGCUACUGAUGCUACUACCUAAGUGUCCACACCCCCACCUUGCAACUCGAGCAAUUUUGCUACUCAGGGACUUGCUUUCGCUGAAGAACACCUAGCCACAUCAUCAUCAUGGGAGAACACGCCUUACCACAAAUCAUCAUCAUAAGAGCAUGGGCCUCCUAAUCUCGAACCAGGCUCGAAGGCUGACCCACCUAAGAAUUACAUGAGAAAUUCCAAUUUGAAUCCUUAAUUAGUUCUUUUGCAAUAUAUAUUGUAGACAAAAAGAAAAAACUGGAGUUAGGUAUCGUUCUCUCUCACUGGUUUCAAUUAUUCAGCUAACAGGAAAAAUCGAGGUCUUUAGACAACCAGGAUGUGUUUAAGAUACAAUUCUCUUAUGCUUUCUUAAAGGAACGUAGUCAAAGGCAAGGUGUAAGUUUAUAAAUAAGAUUAUUGAUAGUAUGAAUAUGAUGAUUCGAUCAGUAAUAAGUUCAUGGCCCAAAGCCCUCAAUGCAUCUCCCAUAAAAUUAAGCGAAAAAAAAAAUGCAUAUUGAUAUUCCCUUUGCUUUGCAUGCUAAAUAAUCUCAUUCCAUUGAGCUAGCUUAGGUUCUUAGCACUCUUUUUUUUUUAUGGUACAGUAAUCAGACUGUUAUUGUUUGUUUUUUUUUUUCUAUUUUUAUUAUUUAUUUAUGUGUCAUUUUUCAAAAAAUCACGUCAUACAUAUUCUUCCACGUCACACAAUUCAACGGAGAAAAUUACCGGAGACUUUUUCAAUGUUAGUCUUUCAAUGUUAGUCAAGAAAGUUGACUCAAAGUUCAUUGUCAAGUUUGUUCUUCGCUGUCAGUUUUGCAACCAACUUCAAAGUUCGUUGUCAUAGUGAGUAUUUUGGUCAAAUGAAAUAUGUAUAAUUACAAGGACAUGCAAGAUUACUUCAUACGUUAUCACUGGAAUGUGAAUGUCUGGAAUUGGUAUGACCGGAUGAGCCAUGAGACAAUUUAAAAUUGAAACCCAGUAUUGAAGUUGUCAAUGAUGAUCCUGGUUGUAAGUACCAAACCAGGCUAGGUGGAGUAUUGAGGACACGGGAGCUAGAUAAGGAGAGCAAACUGGGAAGUACCCAAUCGGAGUUCAGAACAUUCUAGAGUAUCACGGAUAGAGCACGUGAUGUCUGGCUGUCAAGCAUUCACUUUAUAGUAUGUGAUGGAGAAUGAAACACGUAGGAGAUAAGAGAACCAUAGGAUGCAAAGGAGGAUCCAACGGUUCAAGGAAGGCGGUGAAUAUUGCUAUAAAAGGAUCACGUUAGGGUUCGCUAAAGGUAACUGUUCAUUCUUUGCUAAAACCUAUUCUCUAAACCUAGCCGCUUACUGACUUGAUCGUUGGAGCUUUAUCCACCGGUCAUUGUCCGGUGGUCAUUGCAGGUACUACCAUUGAAGCAGUUGAAGGACCCAGCUGAGCUCAUCAAGGAAAGAGGGCUUACAUUUGGCGCUAGAAGAAGGGCCACUUUGCUGCUUCCAGAUCUAGGGUUUUGGAGAAGAAAGUAGAAAGCAAUGGUAACACAAACUAGAUCGUCGACAUAUCUCGGAGGUCUAGCAGCUGGAGAUGUUCCGCAAGUUGAUCAUCCUCAAAAUCUCCAAGAUGGAGACGAAGAUACAAGCAGAUUGAGGGAAGAGAACUUGAGACUGAGGGAGCAGAUAAGAAGGAUGGAAGAUAUGGAUCGUCAAAAUCUUCAGGAAGGAGAGAACGAAGCAGUCAGAAAUAAAAACCAUCAGAGACCAUUGGAGAGGGUAAUACUAGGAGAAGGUGAAGGAGGAACAAGGCGUCGGAUUCUAGGCCCAAGAGUGAAUGAAGAAGAAGGGUCAGGUGAAUCGAGGGUAAGAGCUCGCGAAGGGAGUCGAAGGGAAGGGGUGAAUGAUGAAGAGAUCCCGGCGGCAGAUGAAUACACCAGACUUUUCGAUAUGAUAUGCAAGGUCCAAGAGGACAUGAGGGCGCAGACCAAGGGAAAGAACAUGGAGGUGACUCAGGAUCUGGAGAGAUUGGGCAAGAGGCCAUUAGCCGAAGUGUGCUACCGUCACGGGUUCCCAAGUAAGUUUCAACCUCCUAAGUUUAAUGAGUAUGAUGGAACAACUGAUCCUGUGCAGCACUUGAAUAAUUUCAAGCAAAAAAUGGCGGCUUGGGAAGGGAGCCAGUAUGACGGAAUGUGGUGUCGACUGUUCCCUAGCAGUUUGAAGGAUAACGCUACAGACUGGUAUCUCAGCUUAUCACCAGGGAGUGUAUCAAGCUUUGCUCAGCUCAGCGAGAUGUUUGUCAAACAUUAUAUUCAUCAGAAAAGACAGGCUGCAGAUAUAGCGUCACUCUUUGAUUUGGAACAAGCUCCAGGUGAGUCUCUUAGAAAGUUUGUUACUAACUUUAAAAAUGAGAUUUUGAUAACAGAUGGCGGAGUAGAUGAAAGAACAGAGUAGAUGAAAGAACAGCUGUGGUAGCAUUUCAGAAGGGUAUAAAUAAGAAGUCUCCUGCAUAUGACUCGAUUGUGUCAUCACGGAUGGCGACUCUGGAUGAACUUUUCCAGAAGACGGAGAAAUACAUCAGACUAGAGGACAUAGCAUCACGGAGAGCUCCUAAAGUGGUACCGGCAUCCGUUAACUCGGUGGCGGAAAAAAGAAAAAAGGGAGAAGCUAGCUCACGAAGUGAUUCGCCACCAAGAGAUUCCGGCUCUAGGAGGAACAAAGAUGGAUCGAGAGGUCACGACAAAAGAGAAAGGAGGGAGGAUAGAGAUACUUCACCAAGAAAGUUGACACCACCGAAACCGCUACCGCAACUCACAAUGUCACUGGAUCAAAUUUUGAAGAGAAUAAGAGGAAGAAAGUACUUCCGGGAGCCGUCGGUAAGAUGUAGAACAGUCAGGGGAAAGCCAUUAUGUGAAUAUCAUCAGACUUACAACCACCCUACUGGAGAUUGUUAUGAGUUCAAAUCCUUGAUAUGGAAAUGGAUGGAGGAGGGCCAUUUAAGAGAGUUUAUAGUGGAAAAGAACAAGGAGGAAGACAAAACAGAAAUUCAAGUCAGAGGGACCGUUAACAUGAUCUUAGAAGGAGCUAGAGAAUCCUUGAACGAGGUCAGGAGGAAGAUAAGAAGAGUGAUGCAGAUAAGAGAAGACUUACAAACAGUCGGAGUCGUUCCAGUCAUACGAAAUGGCAGACCAGUGCAUCAGAGUGAGCCGAUUGGGUUUUCAGAGGAAGACCUCAAAGGAGUAGUCACACCACACAAUGACCCAUUGGUCAUUUCCAUACUCAUUGGAAAUUGGAAUGUCACGAAAGUGUUAGUAGAUUGUGGAAGUGAGGUAGAUGUUCUGUUCACCAGGGGCUUGGAUCAAAUGAAACUGGAGAGAGGUAGCUUGGCAAAUUCACCUGGAGACAUUUACGGAUUCAAUGGGGGAGCAGUGCGGCCAGUUGGAGAGAUAGUCUUACCGGUUACAGCACACACCAGAACCGUCAUGUCGAGAUUUGUGGUCAUAGAUGCUCCAACAGAGUACAAUGCAAUCUUGGGAAGAGAGUGGAUUCAUCUUAUGAAGGCAAUUCCGUCAAGUUACUAUCAGAAGAUCCGUUUUCCGACUGAAGAUGGACAAUAUGAGAUAAGGAGCAAUCAGGCUAUGGCCAAGAAUUUGAAGAUAGCAACAGUAAAAAGUAUGAGGCAUGGCACAGCAGGUGCUGGGCCGUCAUCUGUCCCUGCAUAGCAACGACAGAAGGAGGGUGACGGGUUCCCGCGUGAAGUGCUAAAGACAGAAGAACAAACGGAACCCGUCAACCUCAAUGAGGUAGGGGAUCAGCAGAUCACCUACAUGGGAACCAACUUGGAUGAGAAGGUGAGGUUUGAUCUUUUACAAUUCUUAAAAGAUAAUAUGGAUGUAUUUGCUUGGUCUAUGAAUGAUAUGACAGGGAUCGAUCCAGACGUAGCAUGUCACAGGUUGAAUGUCAAUCCAAGUUUCAAACCAGUUGCGCAGAAAGUGAGAACAAUAAAACCUACAUUGGCGGAGGCAAUAAAACAAGAGAUUGAGAAGAUGGAGUUAGCUGGAAUAACAAGAGAAGUUCAGUAUCCAGAGUGGGUAUCUAACAUAGUGGCGGUUCCGAAGAAAAACGGAAAGGUUCGAAUCUGUAUAGACUUCACAAACUUAAACAAAGCAUGUCCAAAAGAUAGAUACGUCAUGCCAAGGGUGGAUGAGCUAGUGGACAGAACAGCAGGCUUUGGGUUACUGUCAUUCAUGGAUGGCUAUUCCGGCUACAACCAUAUUCCUCUAUAUGGUCCAGAUCAGGAGAAAACGGCCUUCUAUGCUGGUAAGAAAACUUUAUGUUAUACCAAAAUGCCAUUUGGUUUGAAGAAUGCAGGAGCUACUUAUCAGAGGCUGGUAGAGAGGAUGUUCGAAGAUCAGCUGAGGAAGACGGUAGAAGUAUACAUUGAUGAUAUGUUGGUCAAGUCCAAGGAGCCGGAGGAUCAUCUAAAAGACCUGGAAAAAACAUUUCAAACAUUGCGGCAAUUCAACAUGAAGCUCAAUCCAGAAAAGUGCACGUUUGGGGUACAGUCGGGAAAAUUCCUUGGCUACAUUGUGACAAAGAGGGGGAUAGAGGUUAGUCAGGAGCAGAUCAGGGCACUCACAGAUAUGGCGUCACCAAGGACACAGAAAGAAGUACAGGUGCUUGCUGGUCGGAUUACGGCAUUGGGAAGGUUCAUAUCAAGAUCUACAGAUAAAUGCAAGCCAAUUCUGAAGCUCUUGAGAAAGAAUUUAUCCUUUACCUGGAAUGAGGAAUGCGAAGAAGCUUUCCAGAAGUUAAAAGAAUACUUGAGUAGACCACCAGUUCUGUCAAAGCCAUUUCCGGGGGAGACGCUCUAUGUUUAUCUAGCAGUGUCGGACAUUGCAGUAAGUGCGGUCCUGACUAGAAGGGAGGCCUCAAAGGAGAGCCCAGUCUAUUUCCUCAGCAAGAAGAUGACUUCACCAGAGACAAGGUAUUCUAGGGUGGAAAAGUAUGCCCUCGCUUUACUCUUUGCAGCUCAAAGAUUAAGACCUUAUUUCGAAGCUUAUAGUCUGACAGUGGUUUCAAACCUCCCUCUCAAUCAAGUGAUGCCAAAAAUCGAGCGUUCUGGGAGAAUGGAAAAAUGGGCAGUUUCAUUGAGUAAAUAUCACAUUCAGUAUGAGCCCAAGAAGGCGGAAAAAUCACAAGUGCUGGCGGAUUUCUUGGCAGAUUUCCCAGUGGAGGAUGUAAUCAAGGGUGCAGAAAUGCAAGAGGAAGAGCAGCUAGAGUAUCUAGAAGUUCAAGAUACCGGGUGGAAAAGCGUCAAGGGAUGGAAGGUGUUCACCGAUGGGUCAGUAAAUAAAGGAAGAUCAGCAAUCGGGAUAGUAGUGGUAACGCCAGAGGACACUAAGAUCGAGAUCGCAGAAAAAUUAGCCUUUCCGGCUACCAAUAAUGAGACAGAAUACGAGGCGGUGCUGAAAGGUUUGGAAGUAUUGCUGAAGUUAGAGGCAAAGGAGGUUACGGUUUUCACAGACUCGAAAUUGGUGGUGGAACAGUUCAAUGGAACAUAUAAAGCUCAGACUGGCAAGAUGAUGUUGUACUUGGAGGCAUUGAAGAGGAGUGUAGCAAAGUUCUCGAAAGUUGAUAUCGUACAUCUGUUUAGGGGAGAGAAUCGGCAUGCUGAUGCAUUGGCUUACCUGGCAACGGCAACAGAAGAGAAUUCGACCAAGACUAUAACGUUCAUGCAAAGAUCUCAGCCAAUGAUAGAGGUGAAGGAAGUGACUGUCAACCUCAUUCAGAACUUGGGAGCAAGUUGGAUGGACCCAAUAAUAACCCACUUAAAAGGUGGUUCUCUUCCGAAAGAGAAAGCAGAAGCUAGAUCGAUUGUGGAGCAAUCCAAAAGAUAUGCAAUGAUAGGGGAAGACCUGUAUAGGCGAUCACCAACUGGACCGUUAUUGAAGUGUGUACACCCAUCCCAAACAGAAGGAGUCAUGGCGGAAUGUCACAAUGGAAGUUGCGGCAGUCAUUCACCGGGAUGGGCCAUGGCACACAGGAUAAUGAUUCACGGGCAUUACUGGCCGAGUAUGUAUAAAGAUUGUUGCAACUAUGCUAAGAAAUGUCAUGGUUGUCAGAUUCAUGGGAGACUAAUACAUACCCCAGCUGAAAACCUUCACUUUGUAAGCAAUCCGUGGCCCUUUUCGAUGUGGGGAAUUGAUAUUGUGGGAAAACUGGAGAAGUCACAAGGAAGAGAAUAUUUAAUUGUGGCCACAGAUUACUUUACAAAGUGGAUUGAGGCAGAACCAUUACGAAGGAUCAGGGAGGUAGAUGUCAAAGAUUUUAUCUGGACCAACAUCAUCUGCAGGUUUGGCUUACCAAGGGCUAUAGUAGCAGAUAACGGUGCUCAAUUCCGUGGAGAGGAGUUGAAAAAGUUUCUGGCAAGUUAUAACAUAAAGCAACUCUUCGCAACACCAUUUCACCCGCAAGGAAAUGGGCAGGCGGAAGCAUCAAACAAGGCCAUACUGGAGGUACUGAAAAAGAAGCUUGACAAUAAAAAAGAAAAAUGGUAUGAGAAUCUUUGGGAAGUACUAUGGGCAUACCGGACGACUCCAAGAAGGUCCACAGGGGCAACUCCAUUUUCCCUCACUUAUGGGAUGGAAGCUGUGAUACCACAAGAAAUGUUGGUACAUACGGCUAGAAGAAUGGUGGUCGAUCUAGGGAAGAAUAAUGAGAUAAUAAAGAGAAAGCUGGUCUUAGCUGAGGAGGUCCGGGAGCGCGCCAAGCUCAGAUUGGAGGGCUAUCACCGCCAACUAGAGAGGACAUACAACAAAAGAGUCAAGCCAAGAAGCCUAAUUCCAGGGGAUCUCGUGUUAAGAAAACAGAAUCCGCCUCCAGCCAAACUAGAGCCAAACUGGGAAGGGCCUUUUGUGAUAGACAAGGCGGGAGCGAAUGGAGCAUACUACUUAACCUACCAAGACGGUACCCCUCUUGAUAAGCCAUGGAGUAUCAGCAAUCUAAAGAAAUACUAUGCCUAGAGGGCAGAGAUGUAUUAGAGCUACAAGAGUAGACAGUAUGUACCUAGAUUUGUUUGAAUUUCAAUGAAAAUAUAAGAUUUUGUUGUUAUUAACUUAUCUAGUUAUAUAUAUAUAGCACUAUUGUCUGAGACCAGGCCAAAGGUCAGGCAUAGAAGAAACCCAACUAAGGUUGGUGGGAAAUAACAUAAGUGUAGACUUGGCAGGGCAAGCCGUUAACUAAAUGUUAAAGUCUCUAUAUGAUUAUUUCUUCCCCAUUGAGUUUGAUUUAGACAAUACAGUGGGGUGCCUCUAAAAGAGAAGAGCAAUAGUGCUAAUGUGUUAACGGGGUUGCACUUGCUGAACCGUGACGACGGGAUCAGUAGAAGUAUAGCCUAAUGUUAGCACAUGAGAAACCAAUACCAGAAGAUAACAAUAAUUGAUAGCAAUUAUAAAAGUUUACAAUGUUGGAAGACUCUCGUCAAAUUUAAAAUUAGUCAAAUUACAACUCAAGGCAAGGGGUCUCGGGUGGAAGCGCUAGGAGGCGUUAUCCGCAUUUUCUUGGCAGAAAGAAUAGCGGUCAAGUUUUCCUUCACUUGAGCCUUCACUUGCAUGGCAAGCUGCUCUUUGAAUUUCGCCUCCAUCUCCUCGUAUUUUGAAUUGUAAUCAGUCAGGAGAGUUUCUCUUUGCUCCCGUAGGUCGGCCAGAUACUGCUGAUAGUCAACAUCAUGUGCGGCUUCGAGUUCAUUUAUUUUCACUAAGCUGUCAGCCCAUUUCCCCUCCAACUUUGCUACCUCGGUGGCAUGAGCAGCAUCAAGUGCAGCAAUACGCUCACGGUGCUCACCCUCAAGUGCAGCAAUGCGCUCACGGUGCUCACCCUCAAGUGCAGCAACGCGCUCACGGUGUUCACCCUCAAGCCUUUUCCGGUUCUUCUCAAUUUCAGCAUCACGAGACGCGGUUGUUUCUUUCAGUUGAAUCUUAAGUUGCUCGAUCUCGGCUUGAAGAGCCCAUUUCUCGCGAACUAGUCGAUUCUUAUCCACUGUAAGGUCAUGCUUCUCUUUUACAAUACUUUCUUUUUCUUUUUCCAGCCUAGAAGCAUUUGAAAAAGACUUGACGACGAGACCGUUAACCUACAAUUUAAUAGAAAAGUUAUAGUGCAAAAAAAAAAAAAAAAAAAAAAAAAAAAGGAAAAGAGGGGAGACUUACGAGAGCUAGACCACGGAAAAUUGUAUCUCGGUCCUCACCAAAGUUCAUCUGAUCAAUUUUAGCUUGAUUAGAAGGAAGAAUAGAAUUGUAGAUAGCGGCGAAAGCAGUCGCCCCAUUGUCAAAAGCCGAAGCUGAGGGAUCACGAGGAAGGGGAACGGCUGGAGUCUGGCUUGGAGACUGUGGGGAGGGAGAGUCAGCAAGUGCUUUACCGCGAGAAGAGGAGCCAACCUUGUUAGGGUCAAAGGCUAGUACAGACUCUGAAAAUGAAAAAGGACCUUGGGAAGUAACACCGGCAGGAGGUGUAGAAGUCUUGUCAGCAGUUGGUGCCGGAUUAAUCUCAGCAUCAAGGGUGGGAGAGAGUUGCUGGCCAUCUGCGGCUUGGUCACCUGAUCCAGAUGAAGAGUAAUUAAGAGUACGAUGGCGGGUAUACUUAGAUGUUUCACGAAUAGGUGCAACAAGUGUAGCAACAUCAAAAAUUUCGUGAUCAACAGGAAGUGGUGGAGGCAUCGCACCAAUAAUAGGGGGCUCAUUUGGAUCAAGGAGAGCCAUGGAAAAUUCCUUAAGGGGAGAAGAUGAAGGAUGAGAAGUUGAACCUGGUUGGGCGAGAUUGUCCACGCCGGUAUCUUCAAAUAGGAGACCACCAUCAAACCCAAGUUCAUCAAGAUUAAAGGAAACCUUGAUUCCACUAAAGUUUGGUUGUCUGGGUUCUUCCAGAGAGUCGCUGGAGGAAGCAGAAGGGGAUCCCGGUAGAGGAGAAGGAGCUUCUGCCAUUUUGGCCCUUUUCACUCUAGGAAUGGAAGGACCGUGUUGCUUUGAACGCGCCAGGUGAACUUCGGGAGAUUCCGGCAAUGUCUCUGGUUCACCUUGGACUGCCUGAAAAUCAGAACUUUCAGUUGAAGAAGAAGAAAGAUCACGACUACAGUUCCUGACAAUCUUUUGAACUCGAAAAGCAGAUAAGAAAGGAGGAAGUCGGGCAGUUACUCUUUUUUGCUUCUUCUUCUCGGAUGGCGCUGAAACUGCGGAAGGAGGUUCACGAGUUCUCUUUUUAGUUAGGAUCGUCUGAAGAGGGAUAUUAUCUCCACCGUCAUCAGAUUCUCUCUCCAACUCAGUAGCGGCAGCAGCAGAAGCUUUACCCUUCCUUUGUGUUGAUCGGGAAGUAGGAGGAAUAGCAGAAGACCUGCCCUUUUUAUCCCUGAGAUAAUCUUUGUGGCAGCAGACGGGUAAGACGUAUUCCCCUAGAUCAAGAUCUUUAACGAUCGGGGUACCGUCUUUCUUUAAGGAAGUAAGCUCACGAAUGGCGGAAUAACCGUCAGCUCCAGAUCCUAUCAAAGGUUCCCAAGGGGUGUCUUUGCGGGGUCUUAAGGCUUUGCCGUCAUCGCGAACCUCUGGGAUAGGAAAUAGAUAAAAGAGUUAGACAGACACUAUCAAAAGGAUUUUCAUCCUAGGAAUGUUAAUAUAUGAACAAAGUAGAAAAAGAAAGGAAGAAACCUCCUAGAUUAAACCGCCAGUAUUUUAAAGGGUUAGAAAUGCCAGGUCAUUUUCCCCCGAAGUUACCAAAGACAAUCAUAGGAAAGUCAGGCCAUUCCUUGUCACUUUCCGGCAAUUUUUCAAUAAUAGACCGCCUGCCGGGGCGUUUGACGAAAUAGUAAUAAGGUUGACCACAUUUUUCUUCGCAAACCCGAAGAUAGUAACAUUGACGUAUAUCAGCAAGGGAAACGGUGGUUCCUUCAUUGUUUAGUUGGUCUAAGGCCCGCAAGAUACGCCAAAAGUUACCAAUACAUUGUCCAGGGGCGACUUGGUAAAAAUUAAGUACAUCACGAACUAGAUCAGAAAAAGGAAACCGGCAACCAAAAGCUAUUUGGUGGGCUGUCACCAUAAUAGCAUCUUGGCGGCUAAAUUCGUGAUGUGCAAAGCAAAGGGCAUGUUUGUAGUUGAAAAUUUUUACGUCUUCAGGAAUGUCGUAUAGCUCACAGAGUAGAUCUAAAUCAGGUCUAUAAGGGUAGGCGCUGGGCACAUACGAAUCAAGGUAGUAACUGGAAGGGGAAGGGUGAACACCGCCAUCACCUUGACCUCCUUCAACUGUCUUCCUCGAAGAAUCUUUCUUUUUCUAUUUUGAUAAGAAGCCAUUUAUGUAUAGAGAAAGGCUCACCAAAAUCGUAGAGAAAGAAAGAUUAGGGGCGUAUACAGGGUGGCUCCUAGAGGAGGAAAAGAGAGAAGAAAAAUAAUUUGGAAAUUUACGGCAAUCGAAGUACAGAGUAUAUAGCGAGAAGAAGAAAAAUGAAAAACCUAGAUCUAAUAAUGGCUAAAAUUAAAAUCAAGAACAAGGAAAAGAGAAUAACCUGAAUUAGUCGACGGAGGAAGAAAUAAAGACGAGAAUCGAACUUUCAGGGGACCGGACGGUGCAUGAUUUCAUAGAGAAGGUGAAGACUGAAGAAAAAGAUGAACAGAGGAGGAGAAUGAAGAAGAUGAAAGGCAAAUGGAAGAAUUAGGUUAAAGGUUGUAAAUUUAUAUGUGGAUAAUCCCAAGGGUAUUACGGGAAGAAGUAAAAUAGUGACAAGACAAUAGCGUUGGGAAGCGAAAGGACAGCAGUUAAAAUCAUAAGUGCGUCUAGGUAAGAGCAAAAGAGGCACGCGUAGGAGGUUCGGGACUCGAGAGCAUGCGCAAUUAAUGAAUAGCUGGAGAGAUAGGGAUAAGGCAGAGCCUAAGGCACGUGAGGAGCAGGUGAUAGAUUAAAUAAUGAAAAGAACUUAUGACAGUUUUCCGUCAUCGUAAGGAGUUUACAUUUAGGCGAAGAAAAAGCCUUUGAGCCGCCAUCUAAGAAAUAUAGAUGACGGUCAAAGGAGGGGCGAUGUAAGUACCAAACCAGGCUAGGUGGAGUAUUGAGGACACGGGAGCUAGAUAAGGAGAGCAAACUGGGAAGUACCCAAUCGGAGUUCAGAACAUUCUAGAGUAUCACGGAUAGAGCACGUGAUGUCUGGCUGUCAAGCAUUCACUUUAUAGUAUGUGAUGGAGAAUGAAACACGUAGGAGAUAAGAGAACCAUAGGAUGCAAAGGAGGAUCCAACGGUUCAAGGAAGGCGGUGAAUAUUGCUAUAAAAGGAUCACGUUAGGGUUCGCUAAAGGUAACUGUUCAUUCUUUGCUAAAACCUAUUCUCUAAACCUAGCCGCUUACUGACUUGAUCGUUGGAGCUUUAUCCACCGGUCAUUGUCCGGUGGUCAUUGCAGGUACUACCAUUGAAGCAGUUGAAGGACCCAGCUGAGCUCAUCAAGGAAAGAGGGCUUACACUGGUAACACAUUAUACCGAACUAAGAGUUAUAUGUACAAAUUUUAUGGCUUGUAUUUAAUCAAUCAUAACUUUCAGUUCCAACAGUAAGAUCCAUGGUACACCUCGAAUUUAAUAGUACAAUAUUAUGCAUGCACCUUUUGACAUUUCAGGUCAUUUUCAUAGGAAAUUCAAGAGGAAAGAAAAACACGGCACACCAUAUUCAAAACCUUGAGUUACCCUGUAUCUUCAAUUCUACAAAGAAUGAUCUAUAUCAUCAACUUACCUACCGAGUCUACAAAAAACUGAGGCUUUGACAACUAACUAAAAGAAAAUCAAGAGUCUUUUUGAGAACCAUAUUUGACUAAGGAUGACAAUUAAUAGUAGUUCGUAAAUCAUGUAAUGUGUAUUGUGUUCUAAUAUAUGGUGUGCUAGAUAAUGCCAUGAUGUGAGUCGUUAUGCAAGUUGCUUCUUUGGAUGGCAUAGGAGUAUGAGUAUAUCACAACAUUCCCAUAAUAGAAAGAAAGAUAGUUGUGUAUUACAAAAAGAUGAUCACUGAUAUCAUUUCCUAUCCCAUUUUCAACACUCUUUGCAAUCUUCACUUUAGAACCUUUAAUUAAAUGAUAUUAAGGGUCUCCAUUAUAUUUUUAUUCAAAAGGAACACACAAUGAAAGGAGCAGGUUAGUUGGUGCUUCAGCAGGGCAAGGAAUAAUACUUGGAGACAGUACAGUUUUGCCAAGUCCCACGGAUACUCUGGCAAUGUUUGCAGGUAGCAGUGUGUUUUCCUGAAGGGCUCCAAUGUUUCAAAGCUUCUGAAGAAAGCGAUCUCUGAAUGUUUCAAAGCUUGGGUGUGGGCUGCUUUCUGUUUUUCAGAAGUUUUUGUUGUCUGUUUACUACAUUGAGGAGUGUGAGGAUUUUAUGUUUACAAUGGAAUGUCCACUGGUUAUGGCACUUGAUAUGGACCAUGGUCCAUGGAUCACGAUAAUGGCAACUUAGUCUGGUCAUUUGUAAGCUGCUUAAUUAAGAAUUAUUUCGCUGGAUCAGAAAAUGGCAAUGGAGCAAUGUAUGCUAUGCACGCAAUAACUGGAGAGAUAUCGUGUAGCUAUGUUACAGGUGCUACUGUCCAUGGUGGGAUGUUUGUGAGUAAUGGCUGCAUCUGGGAAAUGGAUAUACUGUUAAUAUUGGAGCAUUUCAACCUGGCUAUACUGUUGGGACCUCGCUUUCUGUAUUUCUUAAACAAAUGGAAAACAGUGGCAGUCUAUGCAUUGCUUUACAUAGAUCUGAAAAGAUAAAAUUGUGUUGCUCAGCUCGCGAAUAAAAUUAAGAAUAAGAUCAUGGAAGUUGGUCACUAUAAUGCACGUACAUGCAAAUUAGUAAUGUAAACUCGAUCUAACAGGACCCACUCACUUCCUAAACUGUUUUUCUGUCGUUUGAAUCCAAUUUAUGGAGGAAUAAAAUUUGAUGUUUUCAUAUUACACAUACAGUCGUGUCAUGUAAGCUAGCAGUCGUAGUUUGCUUGAAUUGUUCAAUAAGAUAUCAGUUUGGACAAGAAGCGCAAAUAUAAAUUUGGAAUUCGUACCUGGUAGAUAUAUUGCCUUCGCCAUGAACGGAAUUAAAUUUUUGGGCCUAUUGAGUAAUAUUUUGACUUUUUGAUCGGCUCAUGUCCGAUUAAUGUAACAUCAGACAAAAAAACAAAAAAAAGAGUGCUAAGAGCCUAAGCUAGCUCAAUGGAAUGAGAUUAUUUAGCACGCAAAGCAAAAAAAAUAUCAAUGUGCAUUUAUUUUUUUGCUUAAUAUUAUGGGAGAUGCGUUGAGGGCUUUAGGCCAUGAACUUAUUAUUGAUCGGAUCAUCAUAUAUUCAUACUAUCAAUGAUCUUAUUAAUAAACUUACACCUUGCCUUUGACUAAGUUCCUUUAAGAAAGCAUAAGAGAAUGGUAUCUUAAACACAUCUUGGUUGUCUAGAGACCUCGGUUUUUCCUAUUAGCUGAAUAAUUGAAACCAGUGAGAGAGAAUGAUACAUACCUAACUCCAGUUUUUUUUUUUUUUUUUUGGUCUACAAUAUAUAUUGCAAAAGAACUAAUUAAAGAUUCAAAUCAAAAUAAUAAAUAAAACUUAAUUACCUAUGGCUUCUCUUUUAGUGGUAUUAGUAGCUUUAUAAUCUUUUCAUACAUGAUACAACUCAGUAUAAGAUGUUUACAGGCAAGGAUUAAGAUUAAGAUUAUCUGGCAGUGGUUAUUUAGAAGCAGAGAAUUUUAUAUGUGUAGCCCAGAGAAUUUUAUAUGUGUAGCCUACUUGCAUGUGGGUGUGUACACCCAAUCACAAUACGCCAAAACAAAAUCCCCAAAUAAAUCAAGUCCAGACCAUCCAUAGCACGGGCCUAAGGACUAGUUUUUCUUAAUUCAGGAUAAGUUUGAAUUCCAAAUUAAAAUGGAAUUACUCCAUUGAUGUAAGGAUUUUAGGACUACUAUUGAAAGCAAGAGUAUAUAUAUUCUUUACAUCUGGACUCUUUAUAGUAUUAGAGAUGAACAACACAGAUCGAUAUCGCAUGGAGCUGAAAAGUUGGUUGAAUUUUGCGUGGCGAUCAAGGGACAACUGCAGACGCAAUUGCAACAACUUCUUUCCACUCGAGGUGGUUCACAACACACACAAGCAGGGCAAUAUAUAAUGUGUGGCCAAACUCGAACUGCAUCACAAUGUCACAAGGAAAGAACUUUGGAGACAGAAUAAGACAUAAAAUGAGGAUUGGCCAAGGAAAAAGAGAUCAAUAUUUCCGUAGCAGGUAUGAUCUAUUUGCUCCCUACAUUGCCUGGACCACUUGUCUGGUCACUUGCUGCCUAGUAGCAGUGGACCAGAUGUGCGGUUGAAUGCAGUAAGCUAUUGAUCGAUGUUGAAAAUUUAAGAUUGAUUUGUUUUACACAUGAGUAACUAAGUAUUCCCAUUUCACUCGUACUAACAAUCUAAAUGGCGCAUCCCAAAGAUUUAAGACCAUUCUUUUGAUGCCCUUUCUAUAAUCAAAACUGUGCAUCUUAUAUAUGCUUACAUCCCUAGCUCUCAAGAAAGUGCUGACAAGCAUACAUUGUGCAUUGCUGAUGAUAUAUAUAACAACUUGUAUUUAAGACUGUAUCACUAAAUGGAUACUGUAUCCAUAUAUACUGUAUGAUAUAUCCAAUAUACAAUACAUGUAAAUAUAUUUGCCUUCAAAAAUAGGACAAUUAUGUCGGCAAAGUGUGUAUUACAUCUGGACUCUUUAUUCUAUUAUACUGUAAUAUAGAAGAUGAACACCAGAUCGAGUCCAGAGAUAUUAUGGAGAAGUUGUUUGAAUUUCUCCUGGCGAGGAAGAACCACCACACCCGCAACUGCAACAACCUCCUUUCACUACUGGUGGUCCACAGCAAACACAAGCAGGACAAUAUUUAAUGGGUGGCCGAGCUCGAGCUGCAUCACAAGGAGAAAAGCAGCUUGUAGCUAGAACAAGGCAUAAGAUGAGAAUAGUAGCCAUGGUAAUGGUUUUAGAUUUGGUUUCCAUGUUUCAAGAAUAUGAACUAAAUAGGGAUCAAGAAAAUGUUAAUAUGAUAAUGAG